rnacentral:lncRNA from 1 species
UUUUUUUUUGUUCUCUCAAUAUAACUAGAGGUAAUGAAUAAAAAACAACAGUUGUGCAUGAAGAACAGGAACGGGGAGGGGGGGGGGGUGGUUACCAUCGAAAUGGCGGCAUGGGUAAGUUGGAGAACAUCCAAGCAAGCAACAACUCUACCAUCUAUUCAUGGAGAAGUAAAAUUCUGUUAGUUACAAAAAAAAACAAGGAACUCUUAGACUAGAAGAGUCAAGUUUUACCUCCAUCAACAACAGGAAUAUGCAGGAAUUUGCCAUCAUGCAUUAUAUGUAGAGCGUCAAGAAUUGAGGUGUCCAAUGUAGCACAAUCGGGAUGUGCAGUCAUUACCUUGAGCAGUAUGGUAAAUAACACUCAGUCUAGAAUGAAUUACAUAAAGCUUCACAGCAUUUCAAAACAGGACUGGGAGUUAUAAACCUUUUCAACUAGAGUUAAUUCAGGAGAAAGAUUUUGUGCCACAACACGCAUAAGAACAUCCUUUGAGCUGAAUUCCACAAUAACACACCCAUUAAUAGCUCGGUAAGAAACAUAAAAAGAAAACAACAAAUAAAAAAUUUAUAGAAAAAUUAGGGCAGUGCUUACGUAAAGAUCCCUUGCAACGAAUUUCCGUUAGUUAUAACAACUGAAUUGACGCGUAGUUCACGCAUUUUUUGGGCUGCUACAUAAACAGGAUCUGAAAGUGAAACCGUUGCUACUCUGCAAGUUAAUAGAAGAGGUAGCUCUUGUCAUCCAAAUCACCAUUUUGCUAACAACCAACCAAGAAAAAUGAAUAAGAGAAGACAGAUAAUUACUUUGUGUUUUCUGUGAUAAUGGUUGACAAAGAAGGUUUGAACAUCCUUUCUCUUAGAGUUUCUAUUAAAGCGUAAGGAGCUGUAACCACAAAUAGUCAAAAUAUUAGUUUGGUCAGCAACACAUGACUAAGAGAAAACUGCUAAUCAGGUACAAUUAUUAGGAAAAGUACACAUAUCAACCAAGAAAGACAUGGUUCCAACUUUAAAGUUGUUCUAUGACAUGUAAAAGAAACUUGCUAUUAUUAACUAUGCACAAAUAUAGUUCACAUAGCCACAACAUACAUGUUCUAUUACUUCUUAUUUGUGCACCAUCAUGUAAAUCAAUAAAAAAGAAAGAGUUAGCCGGCACAGGCUACAACACAAGACCUGUGAAGUUGCCUCCUAAUUGGCGCUCAACCCCUUCUACAGCAGCUGCAAGUGCACUUCCUUGUUCUGCUGCCUUUUCCAGUCUUGAUAUUGCAUCAUACAUGCAUUUUGCAAUAUCCAGCAUGGCGAUAACCUCACCAUUUUCAACCACUGGAAGGUGUCUAAAUUUCCCUGAAACCAGAAAAUACCAUGUUAAUUUCCAUGAGAGGAUGCAAACGUCUCUAGAAGUAAGCUUUAUGUGAAGAACAUGAGUACACUCAUCAUCAACAUACAUACAUCUGUCCUCACAAAGCUAAAGAAAAUUAGAUAUGUAACCACAUCUAAAACACCCAUUUAAAAUUUCAUCAGAAGAAAAAUAGAGCUAGUCCUUUCAUUAGGCCACUUUUCAGUUGGAAAUUUCAAAUAUAUACAGAUUUAUUAAGGUGUCUCCAAGUUGUAACAAUCAGAACGCACCAAAUAGUUCACCUCGAACCAUAAUUCAUAAACAUGUUAGUUCCUAAUGUUUCAAUUACUUCUUUAUUAAUAUGUCAAUUAAUAUUCUCAGUAUACACAAAUCACUAGGAUUUUCUACUGGUCAUAUUUCUCCCAGUUUCUUUUGUAGAAUCUUAACUUCUCGAAAAUUAUAACUUUGUUGGUUUUUUCGCCAUUCAUGAUAUGAGUUUUGAAUCCAGAUCCAUCUUCUUAGGAGUUAUGACUACUAAAUGCUAAUGCAUAGGGGAUUGAAGCUUUGCAUAGGCUAAACCUUUAAAAAAAUAAUCCUAGAGAUUUUUUUUUUAAAAAAGCAGUGAGAAACCAAAUAACGAAAAAACUCAGAGUUAUUGCAAUAACAUAAUAGGACGAGAAAUAUGGAAUAUUUUUAGGUAAAACUUAACAAACUCUAAGAAAUGAGAAAAAAUGGGAGGAGAAUAGUUAAUGCAGGGUCUUUGACUCUUGCUUAACCAGUCUGAAAGAGGGAAUGCAUUGUAAGCUGUGACGCUGAAAGAUCUUGCUGUCGAUUCAAUAUCUUAAGGGACUAAAUUAUGGCAAGUGGAAAAGAGACAUGCAACAAGCUGAAAGUUUACUGAUCAUUAUGGCAACAAUUACCUUGGACCAUUUUCUGCAGUGCCUCGAUAGCAAGUGUGUCAGACGAAACAUACAGAGGGUUUCUGGUCAUGAUCUUGGAGAUGAUUGUGUGCUCAACGCGCAGCCCCUCGGCAAUAACCCUUGUGGCUACGUCCUAUAUCAGAAUACAGAAGAAAAAGAAGAAAAAGCAGAGCAUGUCAUUCAUCUCAGAAAUUCUAAACUGGCAGUAACCAUUUCACAUGUAGCAGUCACAGAGACUGCUGAACCAGUUCCAGAAAUAUGGUUGCACACAUUCAUGCAUCAAUGAAUCAAAUCAGCUUACAGACCUUUACCAGAUAUAGACUAAAACCACUGUUCCUAAACAUCCCCCUUUUAAAUCCAAAAUAAGUGAAAACAAGCAUACAGCAUCAGUUUGAAAUUCGAAGCAUUACUCAUUAAACAAGAACAAAGGAACACAAACAUAGUCCAGUCAUAAACUAAAGCUGUACUAUUAAAUAACAAUCAAAGUACCCUAGACAAGCCAUUACUCUAGCCACUCAUUGCAUGCAGAGUUACAGACACAAGCAAUCUUUAUUAGGGCACGUAGAGUACAGUUGAAGACAGCCCACUGUUAGUACCUAGAAAUACCCUACCAUUCCAUUCGAGCUCGAAAACCACUAGACAACAACAGGCAACGAGGAUCCCCAGACAGAAAAAGAGGUCACCUUGUCUGUGACAAUGCCUGAGAGGAGGCCGUUGGCGUCGGUGAGCAGCACGGCGUCGACCCGCCUGGCCGCCAUCCGCCGGCACGCCUCCGACACCGUCGUGCCCUCCGGGAUCGUCAGCGCCUUGGACAGCCGCAGCUUCUUCACCGUCCUCUCCCCUCUGACAACAACCCCAACAUUUUUUUUUCCCGUCAGAACUUCCAUGGAAAGGAGAAUUCAAAAAGGAGGAAAGAACUUUCGGGGGCUUAGUAUCAUUACGCGGCGUGGUUGGGAGAUGCGGGCUUGGAGGAAGGAGCCUUCCCGUUCCCAUUCCCGUUCCCGUUGCCGUUGGCGGUGGUGGCGGCGGAAGCGGAAGCGGAAGCGGAGGAGGGGUCGUCGGACUUGCGGGAGGAGGCGGCGGACGGCGGCCGGCUGCGCGUGCGGCGGCUCUGCGCCACGGCGGUGUUCAUGGCGGCGGCGGAGGAGCAGGGGAGCGUGUGAAGCGCUAAUCAGGGGUUAGACUGAGGUGCGGGGAUCGAAGAGGGAGGCCGGCGGGGAGGCGGCGGCGAAUGUUGGAGGAGGGAGGGGAGCGGUCGCUGUAGACUUCUGUGUGGGUAUUCGUGGUGGAGGCUUUUUACGUUCCAGACCUUCGAUGCUGCAUUAUUUGAGUUAAGACGUUCGUCGUGUCAUGCUUCAAUGCUUCGUGCUUGGUGCAUAAAUGAUAAAAAUAAAUACAGAAAUAGGAGUACUACUUGUAAGUACACCGUAUAAUAAUUUCAACCAUAAAUACUUGUACAUUAGUAUAACGGAAUCAGGAGUAAGUAAAUAUCAUAAAACCCGACCUUUGAGGCUUCUGUAUCCCAAAAAUCAAAUUUACGAGGAUUAAAUCACAUAACCACAUUUUUAGGACACAAUAUAACAACUUACUCAAAACUCAGUAUUAAGAGGUUUUAUUUUCAUUUUUUUGGUGGGGCCAAUUGGUGGGCCUUAUGUGGAGCUACAAGUUGCUACACUGGCCAUCUAACAUGGAGGAGACCUAACCUUCAUUUUCUUGUUGCACAUUUGCCUUUUCUUAUGUGGCAAGAUUUUCGAAAAAAAAUUUGAUCGAGCGAAACGAUAACAUAGAUGGCCAUAAAACAUUAGUCAGAAUACUGGACGACGAAGGAGGUACAACUAAAGUAGGUAUCAUACAUGGAAAACAAACACUAGUGUCGAAGGAGAACGAUGAUGACCCUCGUUUUGGAUGGAGUUGUGGCAUAUUUGCAAUUAGUUGGAAUUCGUACACCCGGAUCUAUGUAAAGCCAACGGCUAUUUAGUAUUAACAAGAGACAGGAUGCAGCAAGCAUACAUCUCAUGGGUCGUUUUUGUGAUACAAAAUCAUGAUCAUUGGAUGAUCCAUGUUCAAACGGCACUUAUUAAUGGAAUAAUCAUUGGCUCAUGUUUUACUUUGAAAAUAAUAAUUAAAACAACAUAUAUUGCAAUGGAAGGAGCAUUCAUUAAUUAAAAAGGAUGCUAUUUUUAUCACACCUUGCAAACAAUGUUGCUUGUGCACCCGUUCUUCACGAGCUCAUAGUGAAGUAGCGAACCAGCCGCGGCAGAAAUUAAUCAGUGUCCUUGACGCCACAGGGACGUCCUCGUGAUAACGUGACUCAACAGGGUGCAAAACGGAAGUUGAUGCCAUGAUGAUAUCGGUGGUAUACGUAUAUCAACUUGUACGCUUCCCAGUUGACUGCGACCGGCCUGGGGAGUCACCGGACGGUGGAGCCAGGUUCUGACAGCUCUAUGGGUCCCUUUCCACGGAUUGGCUGGGUGCGCUCGUCCUGGUAGCUUUGUCGCGCCGCAUCGAGAGAAUCGAUUCGAAUUCUUCCCACGUGCGUAAUAUUCAAGCACUUUUUUCUCCUGUUUUUUUUUUAAGAAAUUGAAAGCUGCCUCUCGUGUGGCCAAUUAUAGUUGCCAAUGGGCCAUCGUUGUAAAGAUGGGCCUUUUGAGGCUUCAUUUAUUUUGCUUUGUAGAUUGGAGUGGGCUGAACAACACAUAUACAUGCGUAUGCACUGGAUCUGUCGGGCCACAUUCUGGGCUAAGCCUUAGGCCAUCGACCCCUUCGGCCCUGUCUGUCGUCUCAUGGCCGUUCCUGAGUUUCCUUAAACAACAGCUAAUGGCAGUGCAUAAACCCUGUACUAGCCUAAUAAACAACUACUACUACGUUGGAUUUAUGCCGGCUGUCAAAAAAAAAGGUUGGAUUUAUGCCGAUACUCUCGUUUUUUUUUAAUGUUUUUGGUUGAUUGUAUAGAGCAAUCCGGGCCAAUGCAUUUUAUGAACGAGGAGUAUGUGUGAGGGUGGAAUUAGCUUGCGUUCGACAAGAUUGUCCAGAACAUACUCCGUCAGUUCCGUAUUAAAUUGAUGUUGUGGAAAGCUAAAAAGUCGAUCAAAUAUUUUGGAACAGCGGUAAUACUCUAAAAAGCAUAGAUUAAGCUACUCUAAAAUGUAAUCUCUAUUGGUGUGUGGGUCUUAUUUUCUAAUUUCCAACAUGAAGUUCCAUACUGCUGAUGAUUUAUGCUGCGUACAGACCAAUCGAGUGGAUGUGUCUCUCAGAAUUAACAAAGAAGCCCACAAUGGUCUUGUCCGCCGGCGCGGUAUAGCGAGUAGAAGGUUGGUUCCUCGGUGCUCCAUAAGGCCCAUACGUGGCCACGUCGGUGAUAAUUAGAAGUUCAACUAUAUAAUCGUCCAAAGUUGCCACUGAUAUUUCCUUGACAAACUCGGAAGGGCCAAACUUGAUCUGCAGAUAGCAUAAAAAGAAACAAAACAUUACUGAAGCGGUCAUGCAAUUUGCCUAUAAAUUAGUUUUAUUGAGCUGCCAUUUUCUUAACGAACCAAUAACAUCGAGUGAAGGGGAUAAAAAUAUAUAUUUAAACGCGCGCACCGUUCAUGUACUAUAGUGAAAGUCAUCGCCCCAAUGACCUGCUGUGUGAACCUGCCCAUCUUCACCGAUGUAAGUAAAUGAAAUUCCAUCAACAUUACUCCCACUCCAGAUUGUCACCGUUUCUAGACGUUGGGGUUUUCCUUCCAUUUCUUGAAGGGAACCGCCAGUUGUACCCCAUGGUGAAAGAUCGGUAUGGUUGGGUAGAGGGGGGUGAAUAGACGACUAACAAAUUUUAAUCUUUUUCUUUUCUAGAAAGAUACAGACACUUAACCUAGGAUUUACUAAAUUCUCUAAAAGUAAUGCAACCCUAGGAUGAAGUGCAAUAGCCGAAGUAAUAGCCGAAGCAACUAGAUAACAAGAAUGUAAAGGAUAAGAAUGGAUACCACACGAGAGACGAAGAUUUCACCGGAGUUCCACCGAUUGGGGUAGGUGCACGUCUCCGUUUGGAGGAGUGCUCUACCACAAAGGUAGAGACGCCACAAAAGCUCACUCUAUUCUCCUCUCACGGCACCACAAAGGUGAGUGAGCUCCACUAAUGACUUCCUUGAAGGCGAAGACCGAACCUUUACAAACUUGACCGGGGCUAGCUCCACAACUCAAUUGGAGGCUCCUAAUCUAAUCCUCAAGCUCCACAAUCCCCAAGGAAAGAGCUCAAGGCAACCACUUCCGUCUAGGGCUCCCAAAUGCCUAAGAGAAAUGAAAUCCACAAGAGAAACAAGGAGAAUCAACUUUGUGACUUAGUGAAACCCUAGAUCUAGGUCUUCUCCUUCAAUUCUCAAAGAAUCAACAAGGAGAAAGCUUUAUGGAGGGAGAUCUAGUAGAAUGAAGCUUAGGGAGUUCUUGGGAGAGAGGGGGCUGUUCUUUGCUUCGUGCUCGGGCAAAAAAACCGUUGGGGACGAAGGGGUAUUUAUUUGGACUUCACAAAAUCUAACCGUUAUGCACCGCGAUUCCCAGGGGCGGAACUUCCACUGGUCACCGGAAGUUCCGGGUGACAGGAAGUUCUGGCCCUGUUCCGGCUGAACUUCCGGAAAUCCACAAUGGAUUCCAGUAGCGUUGCGGACCUGGUCCAGAGGUUGGGCGGAAGUUCCGGUCUACCGGAACCCCACCGGAACUUCCGGACCUGGGCAAGCAAAUGCACAUCAGUUAGGCUCUAUAGUUGGUUCUCUCUCACUUUUUGGGUAGGUUUUAUGUGGAUGCAAGAUGUUUGUUUGUGUACGUGAAAAGCAAUUCACCCAUUACCUUCCCAUGUGGACUCCCUCUUAAUAGUACGGAGUUCCAACGACUCAAUAACCGAAAAACCCGCUACCACUACUCUUCGUCUUCCAACUUGAGGGCAUCGAAUCGUUUUGCGCCAUUUGAUAUCAAAUCUGAAAUACUUAACGCACGAUUAGUCCACACCACACGUUGUCAUCACCACCAAAAUUAACUAGGAGAGAAAUGCCCUUUCACAUGACCCCACCUUUGUUGGGGCCGGAAGUUCUAUUUGCACAUAUAAUGGAGUGAGCAACCAUUGAUAUGCAACAAAUAGUGUGGGAGUAAAAGUAUAGACAUAGACAAGAGAUUAUCUACCGAAGUUUUCGUUAAACUUGUAAUCAGUUCUCUCCAUCAACAUCGGGAAGUAAAGAAAUUAAAAGAAAAUUAAGAUCGAAUUAACCGACCGACAGUUAACACCGACACACCAAUUGUACGUAGUGCUCCACGUACCCUUCAUUGUCUAUCACCACGGAACAUACGCACCCUUUCUUCUUCUCACAUGUGCAUCUACCACCACAUCUCUACCUUGCUCACCCUAGCUAUAGCAUUCCUCCUAGACCACUCUAUAUCCUGUAAUCCAUUGACACGGUGGUGGAUGCAGGUUGUCAAUACCGGUACGGCAGACAGUGUAUGAAUUUUCAAUAUUGGCCGGUGGGCCAAAGACACUGGGAUUCUAUUAAUUUCUUCCUUUUGUGUUGAUAAUUUCGACCAAUGUCUCGUUCCAUGCUUUGCCACCUUGUGUUCUUGGGGCUGUUUAGAUUUUACUGUAACAUGUUCCGUUCUUAAUUAGUAUAAACCUCACAAUCUGCAAUUCAUAUUUUCCUCCAUGCGGUCUAUAGGACGUGGACAGUACGCAGCUCCACUAUGGUUCAACAUGGACACGGCUCAUAUAUCCUAGCUAGCGGUUAGAAACUAAGUGCAAAAAUAGUUACACUUCAAAACGUCAAUAAAUGGAAUUGUUCUGCAUGACUGUUGCAGUCUGAGUCUGUAAUGCUAUAUUAAUGACAUGUGUUGCACACAUCCAUGCAUGUACUUAGUCACCCGGCCUGAUAAAUAAUCGAUCAAUCAGUCAACAAGAAGAAGAUGGCAGGAAGGUACAGCGAGCCACAGAGAAGGAACAGAUCGAGGUCAUCACCAUGAAAGCAAGAAUUAAGAUCGAGAUGUGAGAGCCAUUGCCAGCAGCGGUUGGCACUAGAGACGUGGAUGAACCAGCAUUGGGGCUAUGCAUCGACGGAGAUCUUUUUAUUACGACCUCUUUCAUAACAUAUAGCAAAGGGAAGAAACAACUAACAUCAACUAAAAAAGUUGGCACUGUUAAACGUGGGCCAAGAUCUAGCACAUUUAAAUUAGUUUGAUCAUAACUAAAAAAGUUCUACCAGCCGCUUUCAUAAAACAUAAUUGAAACCAAAUGUGCAUGACAAUUUCUGCCUUGAUUUGUUUGUUGAGUCAACUCCAUUUCCUUUCAUCUACAAUUUAGGGCCAACUUGCAAAAUACCUUGAGUAUUUGUUUGUUUUAGUCAUUUAGCCUUGCGUUACACGUAAUUUUCUCUAAACUAAGAGUUAAUUGUAGCAUGACCGUUUUGGUACUAAAGUAGAAUAUCUCUCCUAUUCAAUGAAAGAUAUCUACAUGCAUCCUAUAAAUUGCUGCAACACUUUGCGUUGAAAGAAUGUAUGCUUGCAACUAGCAACAUUGCAUUGAUGCAAUAACCACUAUAGCCACGCCACAAUACUCAUAUAUAUGCAACGCCAAUGAUAGUUGCUUCUAUGCCCUAUUACUACGUCACAUUGAUGGCAAAAGCCCCUAGGUUAUGGCAACGUUUAAAACAUGUAUCUGAAAUCUAUAGCUACGGCACCUUUACCAUCGCCUGCCAACACUUGCGUUUUGCUGCGAUAUCUAAAUAUUGCAACGAAAAGGGACAUUUUGCAACUUUUUUUUCCCGUGGCCUCUGGUGGAUUCGUUAGUAGUUUAAAUUAUGGAUCAUCCUAUUAUCAUACAUCAAGUCAUAUCCUUCUUAUAAUGACUAACCUUGAGAAUAAUAUUACGAUGAAGAGUUUAUUAUUGGACAAAUGCCGGAGACUUUGCAUGCUUUUUUUCUUAUGAUUUUUAGCAAUCUACAAUAAAGAGGAUUAAUCAUUUUACUUCAUGUGUCUAACCUCAUUACACUUCUAAACACAUUUCUUUUUUGCAUCCUAUUUACACAAUAGGGUAAGUAUCAACCUUGCGGAUGUUGAUAUGUUAAAAACACACAUAGUACUUCUUGAAGUUCGAUGAGGAGUUUUUCCUAAAACCAAUAAAACAAACAGAACCUCGCUGCUCCCCAUUCGCUAAUUGAUGUGAAUAUGAGAUACCGGUGUAUGCUAUACUGUUGGUGUAUGAGAUGGAUGGAAAUAGUUCAUAUGUAUGGGAUUCCUUCGAUGCUUGUAUAUCUGUGUUUGGGUCUAGUGUGGAUAAGUAUAGAUGGAUGGCAAUGGAUUUGUUCAUUCAAUGUGUAUUCAUAUGUAUGCUUGUUGUUCAUGUAUAUAGAUGGAGCAAGAAAAACAGAACCAACCCAAAGCAAAUUGGGAUGCAACCUGCUGCCAGUGCAUUUUGUGGGACAUAGUGUUGAUCACUUCAAACUUCACCAGAGCCAGCUCCAUCAGGGUCAAGAGCUAAGUAUAUUGUAGUUUUGUGUCUCGACGCGAAAUUAAGAGGAUUCAUGUUUCCUUUUUACUUGUGUAUUUAGGUGCACCUCCACGCCUGCAAAUUUAUUAUCCCCGGCAGACGAUAGACUUUUCAUUCUUCAAAAAAAAUAUCUCGUGCCAGUAAAUCCUCUCAUGGCAAGCGUCAGGAACUCAUACAAGAAACUCGAGAAACACAGAAAGAAAGCUCAUUCAACAUUAUCAUCACUUUGAUGCCGAUAAAAACAAUGUAUGGGAUAAAUUUAUUUUUGAUGGAACAUAACAUACAAAGUGACAACAAAUCACUGAUGCAAAGAUGGCACGGGAGGACCCUAGCCAUGCAUACAUUUUAUUCCUAGAACUUGGAAAUUAGAAGCACAACUGAAAGAAACAUGUCACGGCAGUCCUAGCCAUAAUACUUGUUGUUCGACUAGUGGAAAUUAAAUAUGCCACAACAACAUGCAGUUCCAUACUGAUGAUGAUUUAUGCUGCGUAGAGACCAAUCGAGCGGAUGUGCCUGUCAGAAUUAACAAAGAAGCCCACAAUGGUCUUGUCCGCCGGCGCAGUAUAGCGGUUAGCAGGUUGGUUCCUCCGUGCUCCAUAAGGCCCAUAUGUGGCCACGUCAGUGAUAAUUAGAAGUUCAACUAUAUAAUCGUCUAAAGUUGCCACUGAUAUUUCUUUGACAAACUCGGAAGGGCCAAACUUGAUCUGCAGAUAGCACAAAGAAAGAAACAAAUUAGACAACACUGAAUAUGGUCAUCCAAUUUGCCUAUAAAUUAGUUUUAUUAAGCUGGAACUUUCGUAAUGAACCAUUAAAAUCGAGUGAAGGGAUACAAAUAUAUAUUUAAACGCACCGUUGAUGUACUAUAGUGAAAGUCAUCGCCCCAACGACCUGCUGUGUGAACCUGCCCAUCUUCACCGAUGUACGUAAAUGAAAUUCCAUCAACAUUACUACCACUCCAGAUUGUCACCGUUUCUAGACGUUGGGGUUUUCCUUCAAUUUCCUGAAGGGAACCGCCAGUUGUACCCCAUGGCCCCACCUUCGUUGGAGCCGGAAGUUCUAUCUGCACAUGUAAUGGAGCGAGCAACCAUUGAUAUGCAACAAAUAGUGUGGGAGUAAAAGUAUAGACAUAGACAAGAGAUUAUCUACCGAAGUUUUCGUUAAAUUUGUAAUCAGUUUUCUCCAUCAACUUCGGCCGAAGAAAUUAAAACGACCAAAUAUUAUACUUUAGGAUGCGCAUGUUUGUAAAUGUCUUGAGCAAAAGUUGAUGAGAAUGUGAAUAAAAGACGAGAAUAGGAAAGAAUGUUAUGCUCACGUUCUUCAUGCGGCAGAACGCGUCGAUAUUAAGCUCUUGCAUUUCCCCAUUAGUUAUGUCGGAAUGAAAUUUUCUCUCGAUGACACCACGUGCCAUUGAAAAGGCGCCGGUCCCGCCAACGAUAGCCCACUCACCUUGUUUCUUGGCCAUUACUCCCAUUACCUCAAGCGCGGACUCCUUGAACCUAUGUAAUUGCACCGAAAAAUAUCAUGCAGGUACCCAAACAUAUCUAGCUAAUAUUAUAGUGCAUGACAAGUUAGUUUGUCGACUAGCUACGUAUAUAUAGCUAUCCACGCUGCCUGCCUAGCUUACUACAAGGUAAAAACAAAGUUCAAUGGAAACUUAAUUUGAACAUACCUUUCAUUCUGGAACACCAUGGUGAAUGAAAUGUACCAGCCAGCGGCAUUCAUAUGCAUGCCUUUUGCAUGGGCAACUACCUCCGCGUCUGGACCCACACCGUCAUAGAGCGCCCAAUUGUUGACGGCGGUCUGACCGAGCCUAGUACUAUUGUCUCCCCUUAUUAUUUCUAACUGGUUGGCACUUGGCCCAGAAAUGAUGCGGCGCAAGUACAAGUUGCUGAAGUUAAGCCUAGCAUUCUCCACAAGAUCACCGUAGCAACGGAUGACCUGGAAGCUGCUGGAGGAUUUGGCCAUGGGUGAGUGCUGGGAACUAGCUAGCUAACUGUCAACUAGGGUAUGGUCUUGCUAGCUUGGCUAAGUUUGGUUGUUUGCUGUGUAAAAUGCAGCAGAUGGCGAGGGGUAUUUAUAGGACCAGAAUCAGGGAAGCCCAUCCAUGCACCACCUUCUCUAUUCCUGUUUACUUGGAGUACUGCUGUUUUCAUCACAUGCAUUAGGAUUCAGGAGCGGCUAGUUCAAGCACAAGAUAUGAUUAAUUAGAACAUCCAAGAGAAAGCGCGUGGCACUUGCUUAAAAGAAAAGAACCGACAAAGAGUAUCAUUUGUUUCAAAGAUAAGUGAGCUUGUUAAUCACAUGAUCAAUUAAAUGGUGACAUGGAUCGAUAGACUUUAGACGAUUUUACUGAGGCACGUGAUUCAGUAAUUAAGAUCUCAUUUUGUCGGCUAUGAUAUUAAAAGCAUAUCUACCAGAGAUGCCAACGUGAAGUCCCUCUGGAAACAAAAAAAUAUUUACACCAGCUGCUGUUGGACAUUUGGAUCUUAAAAAUAUUUUUUACUAGUGCUAACAAUGCUUUCGAUAUCAGCAGAGCGGCAUUGUGGUACGUGAAGCGUGCGUGGCAGAUCGAGCACGUUUUCUUAACCGACAAACGGGGCAAAAUGGUGUAAUUUCCUCGAAGCUUGGACAAGCAACUGUGAAAUUAAACUGCUAGCCUAUACCUCCAAAUAGCUCCCCUAUUUUUUUUUUCUAGAAUCAUUUAUAGAAAGGAGAAACUCCAAACAGCUCCCCUAUUUUUCAUAGCUAGUAGCCGACGAUAGGUAUAUUUAUAUCAAAAUGGUUCAUCAAUGACAUAAGGGCAUCUCCAAUGGUGGUUGGUACUAAAUUUGUGUUCUUCAUUUUUUUUAAUGUGUUUCCUUUUUCUUAUUCAUAUUUUUUUUUGAUGAACCCACAUGUCAUCCUCUUUUCUGUCUUGGUAUCCGUAUAGUACCUGUUACUUUUUCAAGUAACCACUAAUUAGUUGUGGUAUUUAUCUCUCCUCCACAUUGACCACUAUCUUUUUGGUAUCCGUGUAGUACCCAUUGUUGAAGAUGCCCUAAUACAUGAGACACAAGUUAUACUUAUACAUAUGAGGUACAAUUUUUUUGACUUCCUACGUUUAUAUUGUGUUCCCACCGGCGGUGGUGAUUAGUUAAACAAUAACUUAGCAUAUUGCAAUAAACAGACGUUAGAACUCUAUCUUAAACUAAAUUUUAUUAUAUCACAUACAAAAUCUAUAUAUGUUGAGUUGCAUACACCAACUAAUUAAUUUUAUUUUACUUUACUAGCACAUUGUAGAAGAACUGGUGCCUCCUUUAAUUAGAGGUGUAGAUAUCGAAGGAAAGUGGAGCGAGUCGCGGUAGAGGUGGGAUGAGUGGAUCCAGAUGUAGGAGUCGGAGGAGAUGAUGAUAACGACGGGUUGUACAUGUGGGCUCACAAGCUUUUUCACAGGUCGAGUGGAAGCCAGGAGACUCCCAUUUCUGGGCCGGUCUGAUGAAGGUGAAGCGAGAUUUUCUUCGCUUCGGAUCCUUUCAUAUCCAAGACAGGUCUCAAGUUCGCUUUUGGGAAGACAUCUGGCUAGGUACACGCCCACUUUGCGAGCAAUACCCGAGUCUUUUUGGUAUCAUCCGGAACAAGCACGAUACCAUCGCCCAAGUUCUCAGUUCACCCAUAGGAAUGUUUAUUUUCAGUUAGCUCAAUGUACCACGUGUUGGUCCAUAGGCAAUUGUGGAAACUAAAAGUGCCUCUCAAGGUAAAAGUUUUCAUGUGGUUGUUGCGACAAGGGGUCAUUCUCACAAAAGAUAAUUUGCAAAAAUGAAAUUGGCAUGGAAACCCAAAGUGUGCCUUUUGUGCUCAGAUGAGACGAUCAAGCACUUGUUUUUUAAUUGCCAGUUCGCACGUUCUGCAUGGUCCACCAUUCAGGUGGCUUCUAACCUUCGCCCACCAAAGCGUGUCAAAUAUUUUUGGCAAUUGGCUAAAUGGUAUAGGUACAAAGUUUAGAGCUAUAAUUUUGGUGGGGCGACCGCUCUUUGUUGGUCGAUAUAGCUGUGCAGAAACGAAAUUGUAUUUAACAAUCGACAAUCCACCUCUUUUAUGUAGGUUAUUUACCGUUCAUGGUCGUUGCUUCAACGAGAGGAAGACAUUACCUAUGAUUACGGCCGCAUGCUUGCAAGUGAAGCGGGCAGUCAGGGAGGUGUUCACCCACAAUGGGUGGCAGCAUAGUUUACGUCUGCAGGCUUCUUAAUUAGCUGAUGUUCGGUUGUAGUUAUUUAUUUUGACUCUCGGCUUUGUUUGGUUUUCCUUUGGUUGUGUGCAUCUUUGUUAUGCAGAGGCCGGGUGCAUGCGAACUCUGUUUGGUGUAUCUUCUUGAUGCGACAUCUUAGUUCAAUAAAGCUUCCAUUAGGAAAAAAAACCACGGUUGUUGAGGCGGCGCGUUUCUACGAGCUUGGACCGAGGCAGGAGCACCUGCCUGCCACCGUGGGAGGCACACAGUACAUAGUUGGUGACGACACGGCGAACCGUGGCAUCACACUAUUGGGUCAGCCCCGGUAUGUACAUCCAUACACCACACCACUUAUAUUCGUUUCUACGUGGAGUAUUUAUGAUCGGACUCCUAUUUUCAUCACGGGCGUCAUGAGCGUGGAUCACGGUGUAGAUCAAUUAUCACAUUCAAAUGAGAGAGCAUACCGUUGUAUCACAUUCUACCGAGAGAGCACAUGCAUGACGCUUCCACGAAGGUUAAAAAAACCCCGACCAAGAGCAUAUCAUUUGUUUCAAAGCUAACAGACCUAUUUAAUAAUUACUCCCUCCGUUUCAUAAUUCUUGUCAAAAUAUUACAUGUAUCUAGUCGCUUUUUAGGAAUAGAUACAUCCGUAAUUCUUGUCUCAAAUUUGCCCAAAAAUGAAUGUAUCUAUUCCUAAAAAGUAUCUAGAUACACAUAAUAUUUUGACAAAAAUUAUGGAACGGAGGUAGUAGUAAUCACUCAGAUUAGUGCUGGCAUGGAUGGAAUUUAGAAAGUUUUACCGAUGCACGUUAAUUAUUAAGUGUUUCAGGUUCAGCGUCAUCUUUCUACAGAGAUACAUGUGCCCUCUGUUUUUCAUAAUGAUGUUUGUAGUUUUCGUUUUGCAUGCCCUGGCUAGGUCAAUUUUUCCUCUAACAUUCAGUAAGCGUGUAGAAAAAUGUACCACUGUCUAAAACACUAAAUUAAUUUAUUCGAUCUAUAUGGAUGAGGAUAUAUGCAAUGAUUUCUCAACAUGUUUGAAGGAUUAAAGGAUGUCCUAAGUGAAACGUGGAAUUGUCCAGAUCUUGAACAGGGAAAGCAUUCCUAAUUUGAGCAGCAAGAUUGUGGUCCACCUUCUUACUAAAAAGAAUAGCAGAUUUGUUCUAGUUGGGGGUCUGGCCCGAGUCGCGACAAAAGUCAUCAAUGAUUUGUCGGACAUUUUUCGCUUCCUGACAAGUUGCCUGACCACAUAUCAGAAGAUCAUCUGCAUACAUUAAAGAAUGAAUAGGAGGGCAAUGUGGGCCAAGAGAGAUACCAUUGAGCUGUCUACUCUGCAACGCUUCCUGUAAGGAGAUGGAUAAUUCGUUAGCAGCAAGGACAAAGAGGUACGGUGAUAAAGGACAUCCUUGUCUUAUUCCGCGGCUGACAGAGAAUCUCCCAAAAGGUUGGCCAUUAAUGAUAACGGAGAAGGUAGGCAACGAGAUGCAGGCCAUGAUGAGAUUAAUGAAAUUACCAUGCAGCCCUUUACGUAGAAGCGCUCUCCGAAUGAAGUGCCAUUCUAGACUAUCAAAAGCCUUGGCUAAAUCGAUCUUGAGCAUGAAAGCUUUGUGAUUCCAGGAAGAGAGAUUGAAGGAGUGGGCUAUUUCUUGAGUUACGAUUAGAUUAUAAGUGAUACGCCGACCUAAUAAAAGCUUAUUGCAUAGGGUCAAUAUGAUCAGGAAGAUGACAUUUGACUCUGUUAGCAAGAGCCUUAGAAAUGAUUUUAGAAAUGACAUUACAGAGGUUGAUAGGUCUAAAAUCAGUAGUAGAAAUUGGAACCAUUUUCUUAGGAAUUAAAGCAAUAUGAGUUUCAUUGAGUUUAUGUGGCAUUAUACCUGAGGUGAAAAAAUUUCUUACCACCUUAACAAUGUCAUCUUCAAUCCAAUCCCAAGGUGCAAAAUAGAAUCCCACAUUGAAGCCAUCAGGUCCUGGGGAAGCAUUCUUUUUCAUGGAUUUAAGAAUCUGCAAAAUUUCAUCUUUAUCUGGAAUGGAAUAGGUAUACUCAUCAGGGAGCUCCUCAUCUGCUUCAUGCUCCGAUAGUCUAUCAUGUUCAUUGUUAGAGGAGGAAAACAAUUCAAUUCCAAACUUAAUGGUUUCAAGGCCAAUCGUCUCUCCCAUGCUGGUAGACUCACGCUCAUUAAUUCGGUUUUUUCCUCCAUUCCUGUCCACUAUAUGUCCAAUUUCCUUUUUUCCAGAAAAUUCUUAGCAAAGCUCACUGCUAUCAUAAGGAAUUUCUGGUGGACUGAUGUCACGGAUAGAGAUUCAACCAAACCCCUUUGUCUUAAAGCUUGGGAUGACAUUUGCAAACUCAAGAAGAUGGGUGGGCUUGGAACCAGAAGCAUCCAUGCCAUGAAUAAAAGUCUUUUAGUCUCUUCAACCUAGAGGAUCGUCAAUGAGCCCAACAGCCAUCUCUCGCUAAUCCUUAAAGCCAAAUAUUUUCCAACAAACUCCUUUUGGAAGCCUAAUUGUAACACUCCCAAAUCUUCUUUCUGGGCUUCCAUUUCCAAGAUUAAACACAUGCUUUAUGACUCCUGUUUUUACCAAAUCAGAGAUGGUAAUAGCUCCAUUUGGAGUUCCCCCUGGUUCCCUUACUGGAAAAACAUACAUGAUUACCUUAGAAUCCAGAACAAGCCUUUUUCUUACCCGGCUGUAGUUAAAGAUCUUUGGCUUGAUAAUUGUAAAGUCUGGAAUGCUAACUUGGUUUUGUAGCUCUUUGAUCAACCGGCGGCGGAUGAAAUUCUCAGAACUGCCAUUUUACCAGGAGAUGGAGAAGAUAUCCUUUGCUGGAAACACAAUGCUUCUGGGAUUUGCACUACUAAAGAGGCUUAUAAAUUUUGUGCUCAAAGUCUUCAAUCCUCUACUUCUCCUACCACUGAUUCUCAACAGGUAUCUUCUGCCAUGAUGGAAAUUUGGAAAAGCAAAACCAUUCUUCCUAGAAUAAAGAUAUUUGCUUGGCGUCUCCUUCAAAAAGCCCUUCCCACAGGUAAAAGAGCAGGUAAAUUUCUAAGAACAUCUCAAAAAACUGCAUCAGGUGUGGAGUGAUUGAGGAUGAAGUUCGUAUUUUCUUUCUUUGCCCUUUUGUCAAGGCUGCUUGGUUUGCUUCCCCCUGCUAUGCAACACAACUCUAUCAUCAAUAUUCUUGCUUCUAUUUCUCAUUCAAGUCAUCCAAAUGCUUCCAUUCAAAACAUCUUCACCUUCAUCUGGUGCAUUUGGAAGUCCAGGAACUCUCACCUCUUUAGCAGGAAGGUCACCUCCCCUUUACAGAUUGCUUCAAAUGUGAAUAACUUGUUUGCAGGGUUGGAGCUGGAGUCUACUGCGGAUUUGAACAAAAAAACAGGAUCUUCCACACUCUUACUCCACCCCCAUUUCUACUUCACAAAUUUCUCAUUUGCAGGGCUUUAACGUCUACUCUGAUGCAGCUUGGAAGUUGCCUGGUGAUGGCAAUGAUGCUUCAAUUGCAGGUCUUGGUGUCUUCAUCGAAUCGCUGGGCCCAAACAACAGAUGGAUAGCCAAGAUUCAAGCUACUUCUUCCCCAGUCUCUUCAGCUCUGCAGGCUGAAGUUCUAGGUGGUCUCCUUGCUGAAGCAAAGCAGAUCACAGAUAAUCAAAUCCUGAUGGUUGCCUGUCAGCUGAAGGAUGUGAACAACCACCCUGGUCACUGGUCAAUAAGAGCUUAUCUAUCACAGAUCAUUGAUAUCCAUUCUAGGUUGAAUAACAGGAUGAUUUUCACUCCAAGAGACAACAAUACUUUAGCCCAUCAAUUAGCUAAGGAUGCUAAGAAAAGGGGUAACAACAGCCCUAUCAUCUCUUGUACCAAUGAUUUUCAGAGGACUGUGGGUUGUCCUUUUAGACAACGGUGUAACUCCCAAAGUUCUGUUUUAUACAGGCUUCGCCAUGUACUAUGUUGUUAAUGAAUAAAUUCCCUUUCUUAAAAAAAAAAACAUGUUUGAUUGUUAGACGUCGGUCAUUAUUGAACCCUCACACGCGGAAAAUGUAUAGGCCCCCGGCCUCCGACCCAGCAUCUCCAUUGGGCCUCCGACCCAGCAACAGGGCCCCCGAGGCUGUUCUAAGAAAAAAAAAAGCAGAAACAAAAAACAGGGCCCAUCGAUGUGGCUGUCCACCGAAAAGGUACAAUGCUUGGUUUUGGACGCGAAAGAGGGUGUGGGCUGUCCAUCGAAAGCAUAUCACCGUUGGGCCUCCAACCUGGCUGGACGCACACCUACACCAACAGGGCCAAGGCCCUAGGGGCAUAUUCGCUCAUAUUUCACCCUUAAAUGAAAUAUGAAGCAACAAAAAAGCAAAAAAAAAAAAAAAGCCCAAGGGCCAUCGGAGCGGAAUCCAUGGCGGCCGCCGCCUGCUGCUCAUCGCCGUGCAGUCCGCCGGCGGGAUCCUGACGACGGCGAGAAGAUUGGAACGGCCAGCCGGGCCCCGCGGCGCGGAGGAGGGAGGGAGUUCGCUCCAGUCGCGCCGCCCGCGAAGAAAGGCCACACUCCUACCCUGCGGAGCCCGGUGCCUCGAUCCCAGGGGCGGCGGAGGGCGUCCUCGUCUCCCAUGAGCUGAAGCCGCCGGCGUCUUGCUUCAAUGGAUCUCGGAGGUAUGCAAUCUCGCUAGAUUAUGCCCCUACAGUCCUACACAUAGCACACGGCGGUUCUCUUCUCUAAUUUAUUUUUGCAUACAAAAUCCCGGCCCAAAUUCAACAUGGUCGUAUAAGGGAAGAACAGUUGCUGUCCAUGAAUCCAUGAUCCUACCAAUGUAGUAGAACUAUACGUACUAAUAAAACCAUGGAAAUAGAUAAUGCCUGGUUUCUCUUCUCAUCUGAAUCAAACAUCUAAAUUGUGGACUGUCUGAGCUUAAUUAGUAAUUACCGCCUUUCCAUAAAAAAGGAGCUUAUUACCACCUUCAGAGAAUGCAGGCAUGGUUAGGAGUUGAGACCACUUGACUUGACCGAUCCAUGGAGCUUGGAUGGACCACCUUGGCUGAUCCAUAUGUCUACUUGUUCCAGCUUGCAAUUUCAGCAGCAUAAUGUACAUGUCAGCUAAUUUGCCGUUAACUUCAAACCUGCUGCCAUCAAAUAGCAGCAAGCUGCAGGGAAGAAAAUAUGGCAAACUUAAUCACAAUACAAGCUAUCCCAAAAGUGUAGUGCGAAAUACACUAUAACUAAUAAAAGACGGCAAUAGGAAGCUCUAACAACAACGAAUUAAGGGGAGUUUUGUUUGCCCAGAUCCUUUGCAAACCGCAAAUUCUUCACUAGUUCACUCCUUGCGAUUUCAGUUUUGUUUGCCCAGAUCCUCUGGACGUCCUUCUAUUAAAUUAAUUUGCCGUUUCUCAUUCUGGAAAAUAACCCUAACAGCAUACUACAUUUACAUGGUAAAUUACAUACAGUCAUACAGAAUUGCGGAUACAUGAAUCAACAAGUAGCAUGCACUCACCAUGUAUAAUAUUUGGAUCAUGCUAAUUCCUGAAGCUGCUUGGGUGGUUCUUUGCUUCACUAUCCUUUUGGUUUUGAUUCGCUGUAUCUGUCUGAGCAUUCCUCUGCUCCCUUUCGCCUUUCGGCCCUAUAAUUGCUUGUCCUGCACUCAUGAGGACUCAUUUACGUCCUUAUUAGGUUACUCCUGCAUAGGUUGAACAUUGCUGGUUUUUCUAUUAUUCUGCUGAGUUGCUUCAGUAUUGCCUUCAGGUGCUUCAUCCUUGUCCCACAGUCUGCUCUUCUGGAUACCACAGUGCCAAAGGAAUGCCCAGAUGAGGACUAUGGAUUCACCUCUUGCUUAUCAAGGUUGUUCUUGUGAUCUGCUGCAUUCCACCUGGAGGCGAUGUGCACAAGUAAGUCAGCCCAGACUCCAGCUAUAAUCUACCAACGGCUUUCUUCAUUCUCGUAUUUGAUGAGAUCCUUGACUAGAGUAGCACCUUGCUCAAUUAUGCUCAUACUAAGCCUCCAUCCACACUGUGGCUUCCAUGAGUUUGUUAUAUCUAUAUUGAAUCAAGUUACAAUCUGUGAGUCGUCGGCGAGCAUGUCCCACGGUUUCCGAAAGAUAACCUCGGGUACAACAAAACCAUCUGGAAAUAUUCCAGGCUGAAAAAUCUGGAAACAGCACGGAGCACAGUAUUGUGGCUGUUGGAGAAGAUUUAGUUUUCAGCCAUCUGGUUUGGAUAUAAACUGCUUUCACGAUAUGCCAACGAUUUUUGUUGCGCUUGUCGUCGGCUCAUGCCUUGGAAUUUGCAACCAUCCUGGAAAUCCUGGCCAUGUAGAGUUAAGCUACGGUUAGGAUUCAAAACGGCACCAGCGUGCCCUUAUACAUAGAUACAAAGGCAGACGAUUUUCUUCCAUAUUAUUUGAUAUUUCUUAUAAGUCGUCUAAAAUUAAGCAUAAGGUGUAACUUCGGGGACAUCUGAUAAAACCCAUAUGCUGCAUAUAAUUCGAUGAAGACAUGUACAUAUAUAUCCAAGAAGUUGAAACAAAACGAGAAAAACAGCCAUGAAUAAAUCACACAUGCCCACGUGCACGGGAUGCAUGAUGUCUGUGGAUCAGGCUGCAAUGAGGUCAACAAGGUCUAGCAGCUGCUGGCCAUGGUCGGUAUCUGCACCGAGGAAGCCAGCAUGCGACAGCCGAGAGCAGAGCCCAGAGGUGCGUCGUCAGCUCUCCCUGCCCUUGGAGGUGUAUCUGAUGAUUGGCUGCUCUCGUGGACGCCGACAGGUGCAGGAGAAACCCUGCCCAAAACUUACCCAGGCUCCCUGUCGACAGCACCAUAUGUGGACAUGAGCUCCAUCGACAGCUUCGCGCCGAUCUUGACAAUGGACAGGCCCUUCUGCUGGUCAGGCGCCCACACCGUCGCAACUAGCGUGUCAUGGACCUUCCCCAUCGUGCGGCAACCCCUCAAAUCAUAGUAGACCUCUUCACGGCGUCGAACACCUUAUUGGCCACGAGGCAUUGUCUGGCACCAGCGCCUCCGUGUCCAGGUAGGCGCAAUAGUUGGACAGGCUCACCACGCGCCUCAAGGCCCCGAAGAAGGGUGGAGGGCAGGCUCAACGUGUACAAAUCACCUGGGGAUCCUGUGGCUUCCCCCCAGCAGCAGCAGCAGCAUCAGCUUGAUAUGUCAGAGGCUGGUGGCGACAUGCCAUACCCAGAACCUUGUGGGGUCACCGGCCUUGAGCGCGUGGUGGAUAGCGCUGAUUUUGGACUGCAAUAAUCUCUUUUCGGCGAAGGCCUUCCAAUGGUGAGACAUGAGUAAUUUGUUUCUCUUUUCCUGAUCCCAGAACACAGCAAAGAACGACAGAAACAACAGGCGAACACAAGAGGGAUUUUGCGACACCUUAACUUGCGCCUUUUCUGACAUUUCUUUUUUAUUCAAUCGCGGAACUCAGCAAAAGCUUGCUGGCCCGACAUGUCCGCCAUGACCCAACAUACACGCCCUCUAGGGCGACCAGAUCAAAUAACCAUAUAUAUCAGCUAGCGUGAUCAUAACUUUCAGGUUUACAAAACUGACGUGAGACGAAACAUAAAUAACGUGGUUUGAGAUACCACACAACAAGGCUUAACAUUAACCGUGUACUCAGGCAUUCAGGUCAUCUGUGUCAAGCAUCUGAUGACCAUGGGUGGUGUCACCAAGGAAGCCGGCGUGCGACAGCAAAGCCCAGAGGAACGUGGUGAGCUCUCCCUGCCCUUGGAGGUGAACCUGAUGCUUAGCUGCCGUGGUGUUUGCCGACAGGUUAAGGAGAUAUCCCGCCCAGAACCUGCCCAGGCGCUCCCAUAGGUCCUCCCCGUCGACGGCGUAUGUUGACAUGAGCUCCAUUGACAGCUCCGUGCCGAUCUUGACGAUUGACGGGCCAUUUUGCUGGUGAUCAGGUGCCGACAUCUCCGCAACCAGUGCGUUGUGGACCUCCCCCAGCGUGCUGCACUUGCUCAAAGUGUAGGCAGCCUCUUCACAUACUGCGUUGAACACCUUGUUGGUGACAAUGCCAUUGUCCGGCACCAGGGCCUUGGUGGCCAGGUAGGCACAGUAGUUGGACAGGUUCACAGCCGUGGAAUAAUGCUCCGGCAGGCCUGCCAUUGGGCAUAGGCUGUACAAGUCGACUCCGGCAGAUUCCCUGGCUUUCAUCUUCAGCAGCAGCUUUAUCUGGCAGAGGUUGGUGGCGACAUGCCAGACCAGAAUUCUUUGGGUCUCGCCGGAGUCGAGGGCACAGUAGAUAUCGCUGAUUUUGGAUUGCAGCUGUCUGUUGUUGCCCAAGGCCUUUCGGUGUUGAGACAUGAGUAAUCUGUUUCUCCUUUUCUGAGCCAAAGCCGAUGAUGGUUUCUUCUUCGCAUCUUCAGCAGACGCUUCGCUCACGACUUGGUUGAGUGACUCAAAUAUCACCCUCUGUACGUUAAUCCCCAGCUUGACUGAUCUGGCAAGGCAAAACGAUAUUUAUUCAUCUUGAAAGAUGAGACUUCUAUAUAUAUUAUAAAUGGAAUCUAUAUAUUCCAAAGUACACAUAGCAUCUGGCCUGGCAUUUUUGGAACUUACUAGCUAGGCAGUGUUAAAUCAAGAAGGAAGGAAGGUGUUGUUUGCAUGAGUAUAUACCUGGAGCGAAGUCGUCUAUUUCGGGUGGUUUUAGCUCGAGCGGCCAUCAAUAGGUUGUGCUGUCGUAUGUUUUGAUGCCACCGGCCCCUUCUGACGAGGCAGAACAUGAUCCUGGCCACCUUCUCCAUCACAAAGCGAUGGAGCAUCGGGGUCCACCCUGUCGGACUCUGUGGCAGCCGGAUGUAGUGGCAGAUGAUCACCACCUUGGUCCACUGAGACAGCACGUAGACACCCAUCUCCCACAGCUCCCUGCAGACCAUGAUCAAGAUGAUGAAGCGCGUGACGGAGCCACCGUGGGUAAUCCUCGCCAGGUAGCCGCCUUUGGUGACGGCAAUGGUUGCUGUGGGCAGGCCACGGACAGCAUACGCCAGGUAGGACGCUGCACCGGUCAUGAGCAGAGACAGCAUCAGCCUCAGCGUAGGGAAGCCGUCAGCGAAGACGACCGGGUGCUUGCUGUAGGACAAGUCCUGGAACAAAGACGGCUCGACCUCCGUGACGCGGAACACCCUCGUAGCCGUGGUUUUCCGGUUGCUCGUCGAUAAGGUGGGCGACGAGCUUCCUUGAGGCCGGGUGAUUGGCCUCCGGUAUGGGGAAGUCGAAGAAGCGGUGGCGGAGAAGCUUGUAGAGUGCGAAGGAGAGGCACAUGUCCUUGAACCGGCUGUCGCGGUCGGCGCCCCUGCCCAGCAACUUGUCUUGGGCGUCGUCACUGCAUUUCCAUACCCUGGCCACCGUGAUGAGGUCCUCUUUGUGUGUCUUGUCCAGAUGAAACAUGAACCUGGGCCUCUGGAUCAUCUUCACCUGCCAUUCUUCCCCAAGGACUAAGUAAUCAUACCAGGCCAUGAAUGUGGUCUCCGCCUCGGUGAUGGCGCUGGUGUCGUCCUUCUGCUGCCUGGACGCCAUGUAGUUGCUGACGAGCUUCAUGUUGUCGACGCAGGCGCCGGAUGCCUUGUUGGAGAAGUAGAACCAGAUGACCCGCAACGCGUGAAUGGUCCAGAUGAUCCAGAGAGGCGCCUUGAGGUACCUGGCUGUUCUUGCCCGGAGCUGGUUGGUGGACCACAGGGAGUUGAGCAGGUCCAGCGUGGACAGCUGCCGGGGCUUUUACGGCCGCCUGAUUCGGGCGCUGUCCUGCAUGGUGACAAUUAGGAUGGCCCAUACCUGGAAGAGGUCGUUGGUGACGGACCCUCUCUCGGCGGAAAACGGCUGCAUCAGGCCGAGGCUGUAGGACACAAAGUAGUGGCUGAGUAUCAUGAUGAUCUGGACGCCGAGCUUGACGUUCUGGGACGAGACUGUGAACCGUGGCCCAAUGGCGCCCACGGCGAACUUGAGCAGCAGCACCACCACCGACGACACCACCCAGAACUGCACGCUUGCUGCACGGGUCGACGGGUCAUGCUGGAACAGUGAUCGCACCGUCUCGGGGAUGGAUGACAGAAACUCCGACGCCAUCUUGCUGGCCGGCCCCAGGUGGCAACGCCCUCCUCGGUACUACGUACCCAGCUAGCUCUACUAGCUCUGGCCCGUCAAGGCUCUAUCCGCCUCCGUUUCGAGAUGUGCGGCAAGUAGGCGGUCAGUAGCUGCUAAUACAGGUAUUUCUCUUUUUUUAAAGAAGGAGCAAGCUCCAGAUUUCAUUAAGGAAAUCACACAAGGUUCAAGGUUGCUCCUAAUACAGUUUACUAGUACUAUUUUCUUCGUUAUGGACCACAACGACAGGUGCCUGGCGCUUAGAUGUAGACCAACCUUGUGCAUAUGCUAGGAGAUAUCGAGUGUGAAACUAAUGUACUAUAUAUUUCACAAUGUGUCAUACUCAUUACACGCAACAACUGGGGCUUUUCUGCUUUCCUUCGGCCUAUUCAGCCCCAAAGCCACCGGCAAGCCACCGGCUGUUAGGGCGAGUUGGCGUGGGCAGUCUUCUUCUUUUCAGCUUAGUAAAACAUCGAAGCCCCCAAGCUCUCAAUUGUUCGUGCGAGUUGGCGAACUUGGGCGGAUAGUUUUCUUGUUCUCUCAUUUUAAGAAAAUUUACAUCAAAGCCUCCAAGCCCUCGAUUGUUUAGGCGAGUUGAAUAACUCGGACGGGAAGUUUGUGAUGGUUCUAUAGACUUGUCUAUUAAAAAGGUUAGAGUAACAUGUCAGAAAAUUGAAAAACCCCAACGGAAGCAUAUGGUGAAUAACUUUCCUAAAGAUAACCCAAGAGCCUGAUAUCUUACACAAACUCGAGGUGCGGAGAGUCGUGGAACUUGCAAUUAGAAAGCCCUGAGCUUAUAUGAGCGGGGAAGGGCAGAGAUGCGGGCUCGUUUCAUGAGUGGGAACAAUGUGGGGAAUAGACCACACUGGACCUGGUAGACUUUAUUCAUGAUAUAAAAAAGAGGCUAUACCGAUAUGAUCCACGUUUUUGUAUAAGUCAGGGAUCUCUUCGUCGUCACACGCAAAUCGAUAUGAUCCACGUCGUGGGUUGGCUAUACCGUAGUGAAGGGGCCUUCCCACUUAGAGAUGAGAGUUUAUUUUGUUCUUUGGUGGAUUGGAUAAGUGGGAGAACGAGAUCCCCAACAUAUAUCUGGAGUUCUCUUCUUGGCGUUGUGCUUCAAAAUGGCGUCAGAGCUAGUCCUUGCUGGUAGAUAACAACUAGUACUAACGACAUGGCGCAUGUUCUUCGACUGUGUCAAGGUCGUCCUGUCGACACGAAAAACCGGCUUCCUCGUGAAACUAGAUUGCCUGAGGGACCUGAUCUUGAGUUCAGAGGGCAACAUGCAUGGUCUCAGCCUCGAAGACCAUAGUUAAAGAUGUGUCGCUCAUACGUCCGAAACAUAUCUAAUCCUUUCAAAGUUUCCAUUCAUGUUUUUAUUGUUUUUAGUAAGUUUUUGGACUUCAUUACAUUUAACAAACGUCGUCUUCAUUUUGUUAUUUCAGGAAUUUAAACAGGACGUCAGCAAAAUGACGGAGCCAGGGCCCAUACGAAGGUCUCGGGCGACCAGAGCAGACGUCCCGGACCUUUGGCCUGGGAGCCUUCGUCGCCGUCGCCUUUUGACAUAUUCUUCGUCCCCCGACUUAAAAGACAUUUUUAUAAAUUCCGUGCACAGAAAAAACCGCCUAUUAGAAAGCGAAGCAAAUCCAUAGAAAUUUCUGCCGCCGGAAAAGGACCUGACUGUACCAGCUCGUGAUACCUAAGGACCUGGAUUCAGUGAAGUCACUUCACCUGACUUUGGGUGGCUGACAUGUGGGUCCCAUGACCCAUUGGCCCACGUGUCAGCCACCCGUUGGAUUCAGUGAAGUUACUAGUACCGAACUCUACCGAUGGAGCUCUAUCCUUCCCGGAGAUGCGCAGCAAGUAGCUCCGAAUGCAGUUUUUUACUAGUGUGCCCGCUACGGACCACAAAGAAAGACAGGUGCGCGCGGCCGCGCAUUCUGUCUAUUAUAUACUGCUCAGCUUAUUUUGUAUAAGCACUUAGAUGUAGACUAAACUUAGCCCAAACUUACACAUAUGCUAGUGUACUUUGAUACUCGUAACGAUAAUUUAGAAAAGCUGACCCCAGCUUAGCCUCUUGCAAGCAAUUUGACAUAGACCGCCGUAUACAUUAAUUACUCUAUAUAUGUAACCAAAGGGAAUGGCCCUCGCAAUUUUGUACACAUUCUCUUAGUCUAUGGUUUCGGAAAUUAUAAUGAGCUAACGUCUCAGCUCUCCGGCAUGCAAACUCACUCAUUCGACCCUAACCUCCCUUUUGCUAAUUGCAUUUCUUCUUCACAAAAUAAUUAGAUUAUUAAUAUAAUUACCUUGUUAAUAUAUAAUUCAUGCGAUUUAAAUUGAUACCAUUUUAUUCGAAUACAAAAUACAUAUUUAUGGUUAUGAUUUGGAUCAUAUAAGUCUCAUAAUAAUGGAGAGCAGUUGCUGACCAUGAAUCCAUGAUCCUACCGAUGUAGAACUACUAGUAAACCAUAGAAAUGGAUAAGGCCUGGGUUUUUUUUCACCUCUUCUCAUCUGAAUCAAAUAACUAACUACAUUGUGGACUGUCUGAGCUUACCACCACCUCCAGAGAAUGCAGACAUGGUUCGUAGUUGAGACCCCUUGACCGAUCCAGAGUAGAGUUGAGACCCCUUGACUGAUCCAUAAGUUCACUUGGUAUUCCAGCUUACAAUUUCAGCAGUGCCAUCUGAGCAAGCAGGACAGGAAGUAUGCCAAUUUAAACCACAAUUCAAGCUAUCCCAAUGUGUAGGGUGAAAUACACAAUAAGCAUUAACAGCAACGUCCAGCAGUGACAACAAAUUAAGGGGAAUUUUGCCAGGAUCCUUUGCAAACCGCAAGUUCUCUAUUCCAACCGAUUCACUGAACUUGUUCAAGUCACUGUUGUGUUUGAUCUAGAUGUCCUUCCAAGUAAAUCUGGCAUUUCUUUUUCGAGAUCAGUUUAUCAAUUUCUCGUAUUAUGUUACGGUUUUGCUAAAUCUCAGGCAACUGAGAAAUAAGGAAAUAGCUUAUUUCUUGGUCGAUCUUUUUUCAGCCGUCCGAUUUGCUGAUGCCUCAAGAUUCAUGCCCCUGGCUGCCUGAGCAACGGGCUGACGACUGCCUGCUGCUGUUUGUAUCGGGAAUAGAUGUUGUGGGCUUUUUUAGGUGUGUGUGUUGGACUUUAGAUGUGAGGACGGGUUUGGAAAUGGGCAUGCUUUUCGUUUUUCUAGGCUCUCACGUGGUUACUGGCACCAUCCUGAGAAAAAAGAUCGAUGGAGGGGAGACGGAAAGUCCCAUGAGCAGUGCCCGUCGGUAAUUUUUGAUUUCAUUUUUAUUGGCAAUGUGUUUUUAGUGUGAAAUUUUAGUUCAUUUUUAUUUUUUACGAUACCCCAACUCAGUUGCACAUUCGAAUGAAAAAUGUGCAACUAAUAUUAUUUUUGACUUCUCCCUAUAUAACAUACUAAUCCGCGAUGUGUUUUUAGGGUGAUUCUGAGUUUACUUUUUUUUUAUGAAAACCUAGCUUGGUUGCACAUUCUAAUGAAAAGUAUGCAACUAAUUUUAUUUUUUUGGUGUUUCUCUAUAUAUCAGAUGAAAUCUAGCGUAGUUGUACAUUGGGAGAUGUAAGUUAGUAGCCCAGUUGCGCGCUUUGAGUUCUAUUGUGAAACUCUCUUUUUUUUGGCAUGGGGAACAAGAUGUGUUUCUGUGGUGGGGGGACCUUAAUAGGUUACGAAGCUCAGUUGCACAUUCCGACAAACAAUGUGCAACUAAGGCUCUCUUUGUGUAUUUUCCUAUAUGAACUUGGUGCUUUAUUUUUGUUCAAUAUUCUUUUUGACAAAUCAGUAAAGAUCAAAUAAUCUCAAUUCAUGGAUAUUAGGUAGUAGCCUACUUGCACAUUUCAAGUCAAAGUGUGCAACUAGGUUUUUUUCUUUCAACGGGGUGGCGUCGUAAGGCAUGCAAAUAGGGCUGCUACGGGUGCUUAUUGAAUGUGUUUUUAGUGUGAUUUUGAGUUUCACUUUUAUUUUUACGGAACCCACAUUCGAAUGAAAAAUGCGCAACUAAUAUUAUUUUGAUUUUUCCCAGUAUUUGAAAACCCUAUAUGAAAUCAUAUAUUGAGCGUGAUUUAGAACUUAGUUGUUUUAAAACACUAGCUAAGUUGCACAUUCCGACAAACAAUGUGCAACUAAGGCUCUCUUUGUGUUUUUGUCCUGUAUGAACUUGGCAUUUUUAUUUUUGUUCAAUAAUCAUUUUGGCAAGUCGGAAAGGAUCACAUAAUCUCAACCCAUGGAUAUUAGGUAGUAGCUUAGCUGCACAUUUGGAGUCAUAGCAUGCAACUCGGUUUUUUCUCUUUCAACAGGGCAGCAGCGCAAGGCAUGCAAAGAGGGAUGCUGUGGGGCGCUUAUUGGCGAUAUGUUUAGUGUGAUUUCGAGUUCAUUUUAACUUUUAGGAAACCCAACUCAGUUGCCCCUUUGAAUGAAAUACGCGCAACUAAUAUUAUUUUUUGACUUUUCCCUGUAUAUUAUAUGAAACCCUAUAUGAAAUCAUAUAAUUGAGCGUGAUUUAUAGAGCUCAAUUGUUUUACGAAGCACUAGCUAAGUUGCACAUUCCUAUGUGUGUUUUUAUGUAUGAACUUGGCGUUUUUAUAUUUGUUGAACAUUCUUUUUGACAAGUCGGAAUGGAUCACAUAAUCUCAACCCAUGGAUAGUAGGUAGUAGCUCAGUUGCACAUUUCGAGUCAUAGAUUGCAACUCGGUUUUUUCUCUUUCAACAGGGCGGCGGCGCAAGACAUGCAAAGUGGGAUGUUGCGGGCGCUUAUUGGCGAUGUGUUUUUAGUGUGACUUUGAGUUUAUUUUUACUUUUAGGAAAACCAGCUCAGUUGCACAUUCGAAUGAAAAAUGCGCAACUAAUAUUUUUUUUUGGCUUUUCCCUCUAUAUUAUAUGAAACUCUAUAUGAAAUCAUAUAAUUGAGCGUGAUAUUGAACUCAAUUGUUUUACGAAGCACUAGAUAAGUUGCACUUUCCGACAAACAAUGUGCAACUAACGCUCUCUUUGUGUAUUUUCUUGUAUGAACUAGGGGUUUUCAUUUUUGUUCAAUAUUUUUUUUCACAAGUCGGAAAGGAUCACAUAAUCAUUUCAAGUCAUAGCGUGCAACUCGGUUUUUUCUCUUUCAACAUGGUGGCGACGCAAAGCAUGCAAAGAGGGUUGCCGCUGGGCACUUAUUGGCGUUGUGUUUUUCAGUGUUAUUUUGAGUUAAAUCUUUUUUACAAAACCCAGCUCAAUUGCGCAUUAGGAUGAAAAAUGUGCAAGUAAUAUUAUUUUAGGAUGUGUCUUGGUACCUAUGUUUUUUUGGGUGAGUUGCACAUUACCUCUCCAAAUGUGUAAUUAAGUUUUUUGAGAUGUGAAUUGCACAUUAACUCUUUAUAUGUAAUUGAGAUUUUUGUGUGUGGGUUGCACAUAACUGAAACUUAAUAUAAUUUUUUGGGUGAAUUGCACAUCACUUCUCCUAAUGUGCAAUUAAUUGUUUGGGUUAGUUGCACAUUAAAUAUAUUGAUGUGCAAUUGAGGUUGUUAAUGUGUGAUGUGUGUAUGACUGAGAUUUAAACGUAUUUCUUCAUUGCUGAGACUUAAGAGAAAUUUUUUUAAGUGAAUUGCAUAUCAUCUCUCCUAACGUUCAAUUUGUUUUUGUGGGUGAGUUGCACGUUAAGUAUAUUGAUGUGCAAUUGAGUUGUUUUAUGUGUGAUUUGUGCAUGACUGAGAUUUGUAUUUUUUCACGACUGAAACUUGAGAGUAUGUAUUUAUGUGAAUUGCACAUCACCUCUUCUAAUGUGCAAUUUUUUGGAGGGUGAGUUGCACGUUAAGUAUACUGAUAUGAAAGCGAGUUAUUUUAAUUGUGAUUUGUGCAUGAUUGAAAUUUAACUGCAUUUCUUCGCGACCGAGACUUAAGAGUAUUUUCUUAGAUUAAUUGCACAUCAUCUCUCCUAAUGCGCAAUUUAUUUUUUCAUUUUUUUCUUACAUGCUUUUUUUUGGUGUUAAUCACAACGGUUGGUGUGAGUUUACUUCAUCAAAGUCUUUAUCUUCCAAUAAUUCUCUCUAGACGGGACCCAAGUCGCACAUUUGUUUUUUCUUUUUUGCUAGAAUUGCUUGGUCCGUUUUUCUUUUAUGUGUUGUCUUUCAAUCAGAAAAAGAAAAGAAAAAAAAAGCCCACACAAGCAAGCAAAGGCCCAGUCGGAAGGUGGGAUUUGGCUAAUACACACACGCACACCCGAUAUACCAGCCCAAAAAACAGCCCAGCUAGCCACAGACAAAAAGGCCAAACAUGGCAAGCCCAAAUAAGAAAAAGCCUCCUCUAAAAAAAACAAGAAAAAGCCCAAACACUCACCGUACGUGCGCUGAGGAGAUCGUGGGGAUCGAUCCAGAUUUGGGCUACGCAUUGACCGAGAAACUGUUGUUUGUCUGUCGCCUGAGCGAUAGUCGGACCCAUUAUGUUAACCAAGGUGAUCAGUAGCACCUUGCUGAAUUAUUGCCUCCCAUCCACGGUCUUCCGCGGCUUCCAUGGGUUUGUUAGGGUGUGUACAAUGAGAUGAUGUCAGCCUUUUCUUAACGAUGUCACAUAGGAUAAUUGCUGACGUAGAAAAGAGAGGAAUGAAAAAAAAAGGCUUGAGCCUUCUCUUAAUUAAAAGAUGAUCUCUUCACAAGAAUGAUAAGGCAAUUUUCCAUUAUACGAGAUUUCACAUUUUUCUUAACAUUUAUUUAGUUAAUUUAUUCAUCAAAGCAUUAAUUGUAAAAAUGACACUAAGAGAUACCUAUUGUACAACAUGUUUUAUUGUCUUUUUUAAAUGACGUGUAACACAUAAGAAAAGACAGUUUUAUCAACCAUCGUACAUCCCCUUAUACCUAUAUCGUAUCAAGUUACAAUCUGUGAGUUGUCUGCAAGCAUGUCCCAUGGUUUCCUUGAAGAUCAUCUCGGGUACAACAAAACUAUCUGGACACAGUGCAGGCUGAAAAACCUGCAGAUAAGCACAGUAUUGUGACAAGCUGUUGGAGAAGAGUUAGUAUUCAACCAUCUGGUUUGGAUAUAAACAGCUUUUACAAUAUGCCAACAAUUUUUGUUGGGCCUGUCAAGGGCUUAUGGCUUAGAAUUUGCAACCAUCCUGGAAAUCCUGUCCAUAAGCUACGUUUAGGAUUCCAAAUGGCAGCAGCACGCCUUUAUAUAUAGUUAGAAAGGCCGAAAUUUUGCCUCCAUAUUAUUUGAUAUUUCUUAUAAGUCGUCUAAAAUGCAUAAUAGUAGCUGCUUACAAUUCGAUGAAGACAUGUUCAUAUCCGAGGAGUCGGAAAGAAGUUGAAACCAGACAAGACCAACAGCCAUGAAUGAAUCACACACACAGCCAUGAAUAGUGCUGAUCACUUGAUCAGGCAGCGUUGAGGUCAACAGGGUCAAGAAGCUGCUGGCCAUGGUCGGUGUCUGCACCGAGGAAGCCGGCGUGCGACAGCAGAGCCCAGAGGUGUGUCGUCAGCUCUCCCCGCCCUUGGAGGUGUAUCCGAUGCUUGGCCGCUAUUGUGGACGCCGACAGGUGCAGGAGGAACCCUGCCCAAAACUUACCUAGGCUCUCCCACAGGUCCUCCUUGUCGACGGCACCAUAUGUGGACAUGAGCUCCAUCGACAGCUUCGUGCCGAUCUUGAUGAUAGACGGGCCAUUCUGCUCGUCAGGCACCCACGCCGCCGCGACGAGCGUGUUGUGGACCUCCCCCAGCGUGCGGCAACCCCUCAAAUCGUAGUUGGCCCCUUCACGCACAGCGUCGAACACCUUGUCGGCCACAAGCCCGUUAUCCGGCACCAACGCCUCCGUGACCAGGUAGGCACAGUAGUUGGACAGGCUCACCACCGUGGCAUAAUGCGCCUCGAGGCCCCGAAGUAGGGUGGACGGCAGGUUCAGCAUGUACAGGUCGCCUGGGGAUCCGGUGGCUUCCUCUCCCAGCAGCAGCAGCAGCAGCUUGAUCUGGCAGAGGCUGGUGGCAACAUGCCAGACCAGAACCUUGUGGGUGUCGCCGGCCUUGAGUGCGUGGUAGAUAGUGCUGAUUUUGGACUGCAACGAUCUCUUUUCAGCGAAGGCCUUCCAAUGGUGCGACAUGAGUAAUUUGUUUCUCUUUUUCUGAGCCAGAGAUGCAGAUGAUGAAUUGUUCGUCUUCCCAUCUUCCGCCAAAGAAGACGCGGCACUCAAGGCUUGGUUUAGUGACUCAAAUAUCACCUUCUUUAUAUUGCUUCCCAGCUUGACCGACCUGGCAAAGCAACGAUAUAUGUGUUCAUCUUGAAAGAUAAAACUACAAUCUGUUCCAAGCUACAUUUAUCUGUACACUUUGGAUCAAGUUAUGUACUACUCAUUUGGGUGGUGGUAAAUUAAGAAGGGAAAUGUGUUGUUAAUUAGAGUUGUAUAUACCUUGAGCGAAGUCGUCUGUUUGGGGUGGUUUUAACUUGAGCUCCAAUUAGUAGGUUGUACUGUUGGAUCUUCUCAUCCCAUUGUCCCCUCCAGACAAGCCAGAACAUGAUCCUUGCCGCCUUCUCUGUCAUCCAGCGCUGUAGCAUCGGCACCCACCCUGUUGGACGCUGUUUCUGCCGGAUGUAGUUGCAGACGAUCAACACCUUGGUCCACUGUGACAGCACGUAAACGCCAAUCUCCCACAUCUCCCUGCAGACCAUGAUCAAGAUGAUCCAGCGUGUGACCAACACACCAUGGGUGAUCUUGGCGAGGCGGCCGCCGGCAGUGACGGCGGUGGUUUCUCGAGGCAGGUCAUGGACAGCGUAGGCCAGGUACGAGGCUGCCGAGGUCAUGAGCAGCGACAGCAUCAACCUCUGCGUGGGGAAGCCGGCGGCAAAGACGACGGCGUGUUUGCUGUAGGACAAGUCCUGGAGGAAAGAAAGCUCGACCUCCGUGACUCGGAACACCCUCUCGUGGUUGUCAUCGAGGAUAAUUUGGGAUAUGAGCCGCCUCAUGGCCGGGUGGUCGGCCUCCGGGAUGGGGAAGUCAAAGAAGCGGCGGCGGAGAAGCUUGUAGAGUGCGAAGGAGAGGCACACGUCCUUGAACCGUCCGUCGGCAUCCUUGCUGAGCAGCCUGUCGCCGCUGUCAUGGUGGCUCCACACCUUAUCCAGUGUGAUGAGCUCCUCUGGCCUCGUAUUGUCCAGCUGGAACCUAAAGCUAGGCCUCUCGAUCUUCUUCACCUGCUCAUCUUCGCCGAGGACCAAAUACCUGUACCCGACCAUUGUCUUUGGGCAGGCGUCGUGGUCAGCGUGCUGCGACGAUGAUGACGCCAUGUAGUCGCCGACGAGCUUCAUGUUGUCGGUGCUGGCACCCUCUGCGCUGUCAGAUGACACGUAGUACCAGAUGAUGCGCGAGGCAUGGAUGGACCAGAUGAUCCAGAGGGGUACCUUGAGGUACAUGGCCGUCUUGGCCCGGAGCUGGUUGGCCGACCACAGUGAGGUGAGCAGGUCGACGGUGGACAUCUCCUGUGGCUUGUACGGCCGUCCAAUGCUGACGCUAUCCUGCAUGGUGACGAUGAGCACGGCCCAUACCUGGAACAGGUCGUUGGUUGCAGACCCUUGCUCGGAGGUAGACGGCUGCAUGAGCCCCAGGCUGUAGCUCACGGAGUAGUGGCUGAGAAUCCGCAGGAUCUGGACGCCCGGGUUCACGUACUGGGAGGACACCAUGAACCGGGGCCCCAUGGAACCCACGGCGAACUUCACCAGCAACAGCCACGUCGACGCCAUCACCCAAAACUCCACGCUGGCGGCGCGGGUCGUUGGGUCAUGACGGAACAGCUCUCGCACCGUCUCGAGGAUGGAUUGAAGGAACUCGAACAACAUGUUAUUCGCCGGCAUCAUAUAUCUCUUGAUCGGCGAUGACAACGACGACGACGCACUAGCUAACUAGCCUCCUCAAUUAGUGAGAAAGCUAAGUACUCAUCAGUUAGCUAGCUACUGCCUACUAAUAUUGUUCUCCCUGACGUACAGGCAGCGCGCCCCUAGACCUGAUCAGAGCAUCUAGCUAGAGCUCUCUUAGUCAAGAUCCGUACGUUUUUCCAGAUCACGCAAAAUAUAUUAGCCACUUACUCGAAAUACUAUGUUCUUGACAAUAUAAUUGUAAGGAGUGACUAUCCACACACCGUCGUGGUUCUGUUCUUGUAUGCUUUUAGUUAGCCAGUGUUUCUAGAUCUGGAUCAACCAUUUGUUUCUGAAUGAAUAAUAUAUAUGGGGACUUGACUACAGCUUGGCGUUUGUUUAACAAAGGUUUAGCGCAAUCCAAAAGAUUCCCCUGCAUGGAAAGCUUCAGAAAAAGCGCCCCGUGGUUGACAUAAAAUGUGACAUCACACAUUCGUCCAUGAAUUACGUAGCAGAAAGUACGUAGUGGGCAAUCUAAAACACUGAGAUAGUCAAGCAAGUUAAAAAUUCGUGACCAGUAGGGAGACGUGAAUUGCCACAUGACAAGGUUUGUGAAGGACUUGAGAUUUUGGUGUAGUCCGUGUCAUUCUAAACCACACAUUUGGAGCAUCUUCUUUUCCUAUUAUCAUGAGAGUAUUGUUUGACCUUCUGUGUUUCCCUUAGCUUUACUGAAGAACCCUAUGACUUGUACUAUAUGCCAAUUGGCAACUGCAUUUGCAUCUGCACGUGACUAACAUGACUUCCGGGUCUACUCCAUCUGGUCUUGAUAUUUGUUCUGACAUAAAAUAUUCAAGGCAAUACAGGAACAAUGAUCUUUCAAUGUAAUACAUGCAUGUAAGAGGGGAGUUUUUCCCUUCUCUUUUGGUUCUUUUUUAUUUUUGCAGUCUCCAUCUCCUACACGUGCACUCCUAGACUUGUGUUAAAAACAAUGAAUUGGUGAAGAAUCUUGUUUAUAUAUGGAGCAAUAGUAAAAUCCUGGUUCGACAGUGGAAGCAGAUAAAUAAUUUUGAAUCACUUCCACUUCGCCUACUAGCUAGCUAGCUAGUUGCACUAUUUCUCUUUUCUGCUUGCAGGCAUCUCACGUGAACAAGAAGACUGUAAUUAAUUACCUACUCUGAUUUGGAGGCCAUACGCUGGCUGCAGCUCCCCAAGAAGAAGAAGAAGAAACCCUUUCCUCUACGGGAUCAGAGGCAAGAAGGGUUGUUUGGCCUGGGCAGCAUUUCAAUCAGGUAUACACAUGUAUUAGCUAAAUAUGUUGUUCUGCUGUUUGCCGAGCCUUAAAAUUAACUUGAUAUUUGAAAAUGUUCCAUUUCUACAUCUUUUGGUCAGUUCGAAACUUCAGCGAGCUUAAAAAGAUGAAGAUGGUUGACGUCGGCGGAGUGAUUGCAUCCUUAUUCAUCAUGCUGAAAGAGGACAUCUAUGUCCUGAUCCGCAUUGAAAUCCUGGUGACACUGGUGACGGCGAUGUUCCUGGUGAUGUUCAUCAUGGACUUCUACCGGUGCCGGUCUCGUGGCUCCAUCAUCAUCACGGCCUUGAAGACCGUCGAUGGGCUGUCCGAUCAGAUAGUGGUGUAUCUCCUAGGGGUGAUGCAAUCUGCAGAAUUCGAUAACCAUCUCUUUGCGGUCUGGGCCGUGGUGCUGGUGAGCCUCCGUGCGAGCCUCGGCUACCUCUCCGGGUACGGCAUCCCAGACCGCGAGCGGCGGCUCACUGAGGUGGCAAACGUGGCAAAGUUCCUGGCGGUAGGAAUAUUGAAUGGGACACGCCGCUUGGAGUUCACCAAACCACUCUGGUCAUUGUGGGCCAUUCUGCUGCUAAGGAGCCUGUAUAAAUUUUUUGCCGGUCAGAAGGCUAUAUCAUCCUUGUGGCAUGGCCGGAGCUCGGAGUUCCUCCCUGAGUACAUGCGUGCCUUGCCCGACGACAGUGAAGAGAGCAGCACUGACAAUGGUCCUCAAAAGUACCUGAUUUACGGAGAGUACAGACAGAAGAUCGACUUGAAGAGGCCUGGGUAUACUCUGCAUCUUAAAACCAUCGAAGAGAAUUCGCUCAUCACACUGGACAAGGUGACAAAAUGCAAGGAGCAGCUGAUGAGAUCUGACAGCAGAUACAAGGAUAUGACCAUUGCCUUCACACUGUCCAGGCUGCUUCGCUGUAGGCUUGAAGACGUGACGCUGCACAGAGAGAAAGCUCUAACGACACAACACCUAAUCACUUCAGAGAUCACCGUUGGUGGGCUGGACAGCAACGCAGAGAGAGCAUUCAGAAUCCUGGAGCUGGAGCUUGCAUUCGUCCGAGACUACUUCUACACCCUUUACCCGAUGGUCUUCUGGCAAGGUCUUUUUUCUCUUUGUUUCAGCCUCCUCCUUUCCAUGGCGACCUUUUCUGUCGCGUUUUGGCUGGCCCUGGGCAUCCGCGAGGUCUACCAACCCCCUCAAGAAACACUUGUGCUCUGGGUGCGUGGAUGGAACGUGGAUGCUGUCAUCACAUGGGUGUUCUUGUUCUUCAUGAUGUUCAAGGAGGCCUGGGAGAUGGUCACAUACGUGCUAUCAAACUGGACAAGGUUACUCCUUGUGUGCAAGUACGUGCAGAAGAGCUCGCCUGAUGCUCUCAUGGAGAAUCUGACAAAAUCCAUUUUCAAGUCCAAAAUUGCCAACCCAUGGCACGGUUGCAUCGACCAGUAUGACUUCUUGGAGUCAUAUACUUACAAGCCAUCCUUUUGGAAGCUGGCAAAUGCCCUUUCCAUGGGUAAGGUUCCCAAGAAAACUGAUGGAAAAAAGUGUGGCAAAGCUAUCAAGAUCCCUCAAUGUGUAAAGCCAGCAAUCCUAAAUGCGCUCCUCCGCUUAGGCCUCAACAGCCCUCAGCUGCCCAAAGAAAUCCCAUAUCUGACGCAGAGUGGCUCACCAGUCGAUCAGUUCACACGGUACAGCUGGGCCUACCUUGAGCUGCAUACAUGCUCUCAGGUCAUUCUGGUGUGGCACAUAGCGACCAGCCUCUGUGAGAUCAAGCUUGCACAAGAUCAUGGAAUUGAUUUAACCAACCCUGGGUUCCUGCGGUCUGCCUGGUCGUAUCUGUUGUGCCGCUGCACUUCGCAGCCAUACCUUGUUGGCAAGAGCAGCAAUCUGCAUGAAUCACUGGAGACUAAUUACCAUGUCGCGAAAAGCUUGUCACAGUACUGUGCUUAUCUGCAGGUUUUUCAGCCUGGACUGUUGCCAGAUAGUUUUGUUGUGCCCGAGGUGAUCUUUGAGGAAACCGUGGGACAUGCCCGCGAACGACUCACAGAUUGUAACUUGAUACGAUGUAGGUAUAACAAACUCAUGGAAGCCGCAGAAAACUGUGUGGAUGAGAGGCUCAGUAUGAACAUAAUUCAGCAAGGUGCUACUCUAGGCAAGGAUCUCAUCAAAUACGAGGAUGAAGAAAGCCGUUGGAAGAUUCUAGCUGGAGUCUGGGCUGACUUACUUGUGCACAUCGCCCCCAGCUGGAAUGCAGCAGAUCACAAGAAUAGCCUCGAGGCUGGAGGCGAGUUCAUAACCCUCGUGUGGGCAUUGCUUUGGCACUGUGGCAUCGAGAAGAGCAGCUUGUGGGACAAGGGCGAAGCACCUGGAAGAAAUGCUCCAGUACCUCUGGAAAAUAAUAGUACUGGAACCAGCAACAGUCAACCCGAGGAGGGGCAACAAGUAUCUGAAAUCAAUGCUCAAGUGCUUCAGGGAAAUAAUACUGAAACCAGCAGCAUUCAGCCUGUGGAGGAGCAACCCGAUGAGGAUGUUACUGCUGAAACCGACAACAUCCAGCCCGUGGAGGUGCAACCCGAUGAGGAUGUUACAUCGAAUCAAACUCAAAGUGAGACUGAAGAAAUAUCUCCGAGCAACUCCACGAAUUAGCUUCGCCCCCCAUGCUAUGGUAAGUCUUCUACCUGUACAUUCUUUUUACCAUUAACAUGUAGUAGUAUGCUAACGUUAUGAUGAUUCAGAACAAGAAGUGGCCAAUUCGUUGGAAAGACUCCUGGAGCAAGGGAAAGAAGCACCUUGAACAGGUACACUUCAUUGGUUCGAAGUGCAAACAAAGGACUAGCGGUUUGUAAAUUAUACGCAAAUUAAGUAGCCUUGUUUGGCCCUGAAUUUGUUGUCAUCUAGCUGGAUGUUGUUGUUAAUGCUUCUUACUGUUGUCUUUGAUUGCUUGUUCUGUAUUAUCACCCGGCACUGCAGGAUAAGCUUGUAUCAUGAUUUACUUUGCAAUAUUUUCUGCCCUGCUUGCUGCGUCGGAUGGCAGCGGGUUGGAAGUUGAUACUCUUUUCUUCUGUUUUCUCUAUGGCAAACUUUCCUGCAAACUCUUGUUUAUGUUUUUUUUUCCUCCAUGAAAGUGGUCCUAUAUGCCUCUUGCCUAAAAAACUUAGUCCUAUUUAACAACUGUGCUUCCAAUGGGCGCAGACAGUCCCUCAUUUGCAAGUUCACAGCUUGCAGGCCACGGCGUUUUUUGGUCUAAUCCUUAACCAAUCCAGAUUCCUAGUGAAACGCAGUGUUGUGAACUUCGGACCAUGUCUGCAUUUUCUGAAGGUGGUGAGCUUGCAUAGUCCACACAUUAGUUUUUUGCUUUCAGAUUGCAAACAAGUUGGAUUCGGUGUUCUGAGAACCCAACUCUUUCAAGAAAUUUUCAGGUAAGAACUUGUCUCAUCUCUCUACCUCUAUUCUAACCAUUGAUCGAUCGAGGAAGGUAAGACCAUGGUACUAUUUGUUCCAACUAGAAGUGACAGCUCUAUCAAAACCUUCUCUAGGGAACCAGCAAAAUUCAAAAUAAAAGGGUUUUGCUAUCUUUGGUGGAGUAUUACUGUAAACCAUCAACAGUUACCAGCCUGAUCUGAAACAGAUUUAUUUAAAACAGUAAGAUAAUCACCAUUCCAAAAGUUGUUUACUUAAUUAGGGUGGUAAAACACAGUAUACUUUCUGAUGUCCAUCUCCCAUCGGAGUACGCUGAUGAUCUCAACCUGUAAUUUAACAACGACUGACACACUGGCUACAGUGCCCUCUCAAGCUCAUCAAUGCCGGCGCUAGCUAGCAGCAGCACUCUCAUCACUGGUUUUCACUCACAGGCGUUGAAGCUUGAUGCGAUUAGGAUCAGUAGCUGUAGUUCUUGACGAACAUGCCUUCCUUGGCGGCGGCGGCCUCGCCGUCGCUGGUGUACUUCCCCAGCUGCGCCAGGGAGUUUGCCUUGGCGCGCAGCAGCAGUGCCUCCUGCGCCGCCGCCACGUUCUCCGGCCGUCCUCCCCACGUCUUCAGGCACGUGUUCUGCAGCGCCCUCGCGUAUGAGAAGGACACGUGCCACGGGUUCGGCGACUGGUUCAUCGCGUUCAGGUUCAGCGUUGCCUCCACCUCUGACUGCCCGCCCGACAGGAACUGAAUCCACCAAGAACAAGAUAUCAUUCAUGAACAAUGGAUAACUAAGAUGAUCCAUGAUUGUGCAUAUGUAUAUGUAUAGUGAAGGAUUGGUUGCUGACCAUGAUGCCGGGGACGGAAGGAGGGAUCCUCCUCUGGAGGAGCUUGAGGGUGUAGCUGGCGACUUGCUCAGGGGUGGCCCGCUCCUUGCACUCGGCGCCGGGUGUCACCAUGCUGGGCUUGAGGAGGAUGCCCUCGAACAAGACGUUGUUCUGGGCCAUGUAGUAGAAAGUCUCCGCCCACACCUUCUGCGCCACCUCGAAGGUCCUGUCGAUGCCGUGCUCGCCGUCCAGCAGGAUCUCCGGCUCCACAAUCGGCACCAGACCGUUGUCCUGGAACAUCAAGAAACCAGAGGUUUACAUGUUGUUACAAAUUUUUAAAAUGUCAUACCUGACCAUUGUACUGUAAAAUGUUUUGGUCUGUCGGAAAACGGCAAGAAUGAAUACCUGAGAGAUGGCAGCGUAACGGGCAAGACCCCAUGCAGCUUCCUUGACAGCAAGCUCAGAUGGGCCGUUGGGGAUGCUGACGACAGUGCGCCUGCAGGAGAACUUCAUGUCAGGCAUGGAGCUAUGACAUAAUGGAAGGUAAACUGUUCUUGUAGGUACAAGUUUCUCACCACUUGGCGAAGCGGGCGCCUUGCUGGUAGUAGGCUGCCUCACGGGAGGCAAGGCCAUCAAGACCUUGGCACCAUGACUCGUCGUUGGAACCAACGAGUGGCACAAGACCCUGUGAAUGAGCACCGGUUUAGAAGUAUGUUAUGUUUUCUGAACUCGAAAUGAACCCGGGUCAUCUGUUUUAGUUGGAUUUAAAAGUAAAUAUGGUUAUUCUGAUGCAUCCUUAGUAGUAGUAGCGGUCUCUAUCUUUAAUUUGCAUGCUUGUUCUGUUUUACAAGUAUGCCGGCUAUACUUACUUUAGUUCUUAUGCAGCUAUUGGUACAAAAUAAUUUGGAUAUACCUCAUGUUUACACUUCCAUUUGACUAGAGUGAAUUUUCAUGCCGAUGCUGGUGACAGUGAUUUUCUUUCGAAAUUAUCACAACAAUUCCAAAUAUAGGAUUAGUUCUGAUAAAGAACAACAAAAUCAAGUGUCAUUUUGGGGUGAAAUCAGUUGACUGCAUACCUUGUCAACCUUGAUGCCGGGAACGAUUCCCUGCUCGACAAGGAUGUCAACAAUCUUCUUGCCAUCAACAGUCGAUUGGUAGAGGGUCUCCUCGAAGAGGAUAGCACCAGAGAUGUAAUUUCCCAGGCCUGGUGGAGUGACAAGGAGGGUACGGUAAGCCUGGCGGUUAGCCUCAGUGUUCUCAAGGCCAAUCGAGUCAAGUCUCUUUCCACAGGUAGCAUUGGACUCAUCCAUGGCUAGGAUGCCCCUUCCUGGUGAUGCGAUGGUAUUCUGUAGCAGGAAAAAUAAAACUUGAGAGAUCUUCUAAACCAUAAUAGAAAUUUUACUUUUGUAAAGUUGAUUUAUGCUAGUAAGGAUUCAAAGUUCAUAAGUGACCAGUUGUGAUUUGUUAUGACUUACGAACCUUCAGAUCGGUCACUGAGCUUAAGCAGGAGAAUACAUGGAGUUAAAUAAAGAUGCAUCCUGUCUAAUCAUUACAGCUAGUGGUGGGUAACCUGUGUCAUGUAUUAAUGCAGAUCCCUAAUUUAGAACAUAUUACCUAUAUGUUUUAAGUUUCACAAGCCCUUUUUGGUACAACACAGCAGCAAGUAGCAACCAUAUCUCUUUAGCUUGCAGUGAUAAAGAAGAUAGAGAAUUUUACUGUACUGAUGCAGUAUAGACUAGCAUACGUUUGAAAAUGGAGAUUUGGACUAGUGAUUUGGUACAUUUGAAUCGUGAUGGAACCAAAACAGCCAAACAAUUUGCCUUUGCUGAUAUUCUCUUAUAUCUAUCUUGACAACAUAUCUAAUUCCCAUUUCACAGUGCUACCCAUCCAGACUAGACACAUAUGCAUGGAAUUUUUUGGCAGAAUUGCAAGCAAGCAUACCGCGGUCUUGACAAGUUCAUCAGCGUAUGCGCUGGCACGGACAACCAUGGAGACGGUCAUCUGCUUGGGAGUGGCAGCCUGGCGGGUGGCGCCCCAUUCGGACUUCUUGGGAAGGAAAGACGAUUUGAGGAUAGUAGCCGAGGCCAUUGUUUCUGGCUCCAAAGGCAAGAGGAUCAGGUGCUACCCUCUUCUUUGACACAAGCUUGCAAUUGCAGCCUUUCCUUAGGGGGGGUGAGAAGUGAAGCGCCUGCUCAGAUUUAAGGGUGAGUACCUGAGUACAAAGGAUAUGAGUUGUGAGGUGGAGGCUGGCCUUCUGGAUAUGAAUGGCUGUGAUUUGGUUGCUCCAAUCCUCUUGCCACCUUCUGUUUUUGUCCUGGCUCUGCCACAUGCUUGUCUCUAUGAUUUCCUUAGCUUCUCUGUGUACCAUGUAAAAUCUGCAAUACUGGAAUUUUAUCGUUUGCGCUGCACCGUCCAUAAAUAUUAUCUGGACAUUCUUGACCUUAAGGAUGGUCUUGGCUGAUGAACAAUUCUGGGUUUCUGUGGGCGCAUUUCGCCGAGGAGUAGUGCCCAUGAGCAUCUUUCGACGGUUGAGAUGCCCUGAUGUAUUACAUCCAUGAAUUUUGCCAGUAACCAUCAAUUACGUGGAAUACACAGUUUUUUCUGUCAUUGGUUUGGUGAUAACCAUUCCAGCUGUGAGUUGUUUGUAGGGUGCAGGGUGGCUUGUGUGGCAGACACCAUUCUUCUUGUGCCCCAGUGCCUGGCAGCAGAAGGCAUAUCCACCACAACUCCCUGCCAAGGAUGACAUUAAGAGGAUACCAACCAUGUAGCAAUCUUGCAUAUCAUUCCUGGACCUUUGCGACUCCUGAUACAUGAUGAUUUAAAAUUAAGAAAAAAAUCUCUGUUUCUACCCUUACUAAAUAUUAGAAAUUACAAAAUUUUAUAGAAUUUAAUUUCACAAUGCAUUUAGUGGGAACUAGUAGAAAGUAUCACACACUGGCUAUGGAUUAUUUUUAGAGAAACAUGGAUAUGAACAUGCAUUUUUUUUUCAGAGUGAAGAUCUUUCAAAAUAUUAACAUCAGAAAAGAAAUUAGGCACCCUUGUCACUAAUCACCAAAAACAUUAACAUCACAGAGCAAGUUGGUAUAUGGAACCUACUGCCCUCAAUGAAAAAGGACACAGAGUACCAUGAAAGGGAUUUUACUACUAUUGAAUAACAAAAGCUGAUAGUUACAAAUUGUUCACAAGUACACAAGGUUGGCCUACUUAAAUCAGAUGAUCUCCUAUAACUCGGGAGAAAUACAUCCAAGACUCCCUGCUGUGGUGUAUGUGCCUUUUUCUGUAAAGAGUAUGAGCAUGCCUGAACAAAAAAGUGAAAAACAUCCACUAUCACAAGCUUCAUAUGCACCAGACCUUAACUCUGAUCACCAUCGUUUAAUGCAUCUACUGUGCAGCUGUAUCAUUUCUUUCAUCAGUUCAGGCAGAAGAUAGGUUUGCACAGACAAUUAUUUCCUUUGCUGCCAGCACAUAAAUUCAUCACAUCUGAAGCUAACUUGUAAUGAAGCACAGGAAGCACAGUCUAUCCUUCAGUUUAAUGCAUUCUAUCCUCCGUAACAAACAAAAGAUACCAUGUGUUGGGCUGCAUAUCAAUCGAAGGUACCAUAAGUUCAGUUGUUUCAACCAGCAGAAAUUGAAAAUCAAGCAUCAUGCGUGAUCUCCAUUUACUCUGGCAUUAUGUAUUUGGUUGAACACAAAUGAAGUUAACUUCUGAUUUAAUCUGACUGUCAGGGCAGCCUCUGAUGGGAGUGUUUCUCCAUACAUACCGGGUGGACCGUGGCUGGUGAGGUCCAGGUUUGUAGCUCCAGAAGGCAAGCAGGGGCCAAGUUCCUUUCUCUUGCUUGUUCAAAAGAUGUGUUCAUCAAUCUCCACUCCUUGUGAAUUGUGAUACUCGUAAAGCCUUGCGAUUCCUCUGCUUAUUCUUUCCUUUCCAGGAACAUACAAAAGUACAAAUUGCUGGGAAACUAGUGCUGGCUGUAGUUCAUUCUGGACAUAGAAGGUUGUGACAUCUAGUUUGAGCAAACUCUCUUCAACUCUGCUGCUUUAGAAACCUCAUUAAUCUGUUUACCACAAGCUUCUUCAGCUGCUCCAGGACUGCUACUAGAUAAAAAAGCCACAAGCUUCUGCCUCAGCAAUGGCGAUAGCUUCUCGCAGCACAUCAACACGUCCAAUGAAGGAACCACUCCUUUCUUCACCAGCACUGUAAAUGCGCACCUCACGCACUGUGCAAUGGCCUCCUUCCUCCGAACCUCAUAGUUAUCGAUCAGAAGAAACAAGAACUCAAGCAGCAUGUUUGUGAUAUCUACAUACUGAGAUACCGAGUUCACCAUCAGGAGCAUUGCAGGCUCGAUGUUCAUGACAUUACCCUUAACCUCAUCGAAAAACAACCAGUCAUAGAACAGUGCCAACUUCACAUUGGCCGCGACGUAGCCCUUGCUGCAGCUCGUGAGCAACCAGCCGAUGAUUGCCCAGCGGGCAAUGACGCCUGACUGUAUGACCUCGUUCGUCGGGUGGUACCCGCAGCAUAUGAACCGGACAAUGUCCGGUACCCUCUCCUCCCCUCCAGGCACCAUCAAGUGCUUCCUCGCAAACCAAAGCUGGUACCUCUUCUGACUCCCCCACUUCACAUUCUUCAUAAGGAACAGCAGUUGUAUCUCCAUCUCCGGCGAGAUCGCCAAUGCUGUGCACCAACCGGGCGUGCUGACCCAGCCAAUGUCCACGGCGGCACGCUCCGACAUCAGGUCUUUCCACAGUCCCUGGAACUCCGGCACGAGCACCAGUUCAUGGAGUGACAGCACGAGGUCCCUCCCGAUCAGCGAGCAUGGUUGGAAGUGAUCCCGGAGCACAGAGACGCAGAAGGACACCAGCUUCUCCCUGCAUUCUUCGAGGUUCUUCACGUGCUUGCAUUCCUCACAGUUGUUGACGCACUCGGCGCGAGGAGAGGGGAGGACCGGAUCGAGGCGGUUCCGGGCGAGGAGGCGGAGGAAGGCGAAGACGGCGGAGGCGAGGAGCUGGGGCUCCUCGGCGGCGAGAAAGGGGGAAUUGUCACGGAUGAUAUCGAGGAGGCGGGCGUCGCCAUGGAAGGGCACGCGGCGGAGGAGGGAGAGGAGGAGGGGCGCGAACCCCGGCGCGGCGGCGCGGGCGAGCUCGGCGGCCGCGAGGAGGAGGCGGGCGCGGGGGUGGGGGAGGAGGAGCGGGAAGGGGAGCGAGAGGAGCGCGGAGGCGAAGGCGGAGUAGAAGGCCGGGAAGCGGGCGCCGGCGGCGUGGAGGAGCACGAGGAGGCGGCGCGGGAGAGGGGAGGAUGGGUCGGUGAGGAAGGAGAAGGCUAGGGCGUGCGGGAGAUGCGGGGAGGAGAGGUCGGAUGCGGACGGGGUGGGGAGGAGGAGGUGCGCGGCGAGGAGCGGGUGCUCCGGGGAGGACGGGGUCGUCGGGGACGGAUGGUGCUCGCCGCCGGCCAGCAGUCGCGGCGGCGCCAUUGGAGAUGCAGCAGAUUUUGGGCUUGUAUUUAGGGGUAUAGAGGGGAUUUUGGAUAGGUCAUCCACAUAUAAAACGGCCCACACACAAGACCCUUUUGCCCAAAAAAAGUACUUUUUGCUCUAAAAAAAAGUACUCCUCUAAAAAAAGUACUUUUGCUUGUAUUUGAGUAGUAACAAAAUUAAAUGAGAAUCCACCUUUAAAGAAACAAAUCCUGUCAAAAAAAAUUGAAUCAUAAUUUUUACAUUAAGAAAGAAGCAGAAUUUUCUUCUAAAUCGAUAUUUUUAAACGGUUCAGUUUUAUCUUUUUAUGAAAAAUAUAAAUAUUUACAGCGUAUUAACACAUGGCAAAAUUAACACCUAAUAAAGUUCAGUAAAUAAUCGUUUUUAUUUAGGUGUUAUUUUGCGAACUGAAUGAAAAGAACAUAAUGCUAGAACAUGAUAGUAGAAUGUAUGCACUAGCAAAAAAAAAUGCAAUGCAUCCAUCCUACUGACAGCUGAUAAGAAUUCAACAUGUUGCUUCCUGUUUAUAAGGAAUUUCAAACCUGUAACCCACACAGAGAAGCAGGAUCUGAACAAAUUGGAACUACAUUGGCAUUUAAGGCUUUAGCAUGAACCUACUGCACUUGUACUUUGACAGGGAACAGAAACAUUGAUACUAAUCCCCAGCUACCACCAACCAUGUUCAACAACCUACAAUGACAGGAAUACAUAUAACAGUUGGUUCAAUGUUCAUCGCAUUAUAACCUCCACUCCAGCAUCUAAGAUUUGGUUACAAGGUAGACAGUGCGCCAUUUCUCCCCCACUCUAGCUACUGCCACGAAAAUCCAUCUCUCGGAUUAGUCCAGUUGAUGAGGCACGCAAAAACUUCCAGAAAAUGGCAUCCACCGGGCCUGGCAUUUCCUUCCUGUGACGACGAGUUAGUUGUUGCUGGGAUUCAAGAUGUCGCCGAGAUUCAGAUGCAAGCUGUUCCUCAUGGUACGCCUCCCUGUGGCGCCGGCAUUGCCCUUCCUCAUCAUCGCCGUGAACUCGCUGUAAUCGAUUUGCCCAUCCUGGAAACAACAGCAGAGGGGUUAAUUGCUGAUCGGACAAGUCAGGAAUUGAACAAAAACAAGUGCAUGGAGAUGGGAUGGAGUAGAUUCAAGUAUCAAGAAGACUGACAUUGUUCUGAUCGACAUCUUUGAUCAUAUCCUCAAGGUGGACGUCAUCCAGACCGAAUUCAUGGCAUGCUUGUGAUAGCUCGUCGAUGGUUAUGAAGCCACUUCCAUCCUUGUCGAAAAAUGAGAAUGCUGAUACCAAGUUCUCCUCCCUCUCCAGUUUGUUCAUGUGCAAUGUAGCUGCGAGGAAUUCACCAUAAUCGAUAGUACCACUGUUGUCGAUAUCCGCCUUAAACAAAUACACAGGUACCAUUAAAAACCAUAAAAUCCACAAGUUGUGGUAAUUAGAGUGAAGGAAUCAUUUAUUCAGCUGGUAAAGAAGCACCUACUGCAUCCAUUAAAGCCUGGAUUUCAUGUUCGGUCAAUUCUGAGCCCACUCUUUUCAAGCCAUCUUUCAGCUCAUCAAAUGUUAUGGUCCCACUAUUGUCAGUAUCAAUCAUUUUGAACAGCUCCUUUAGGCCUCCAAUCUCUUCCUCAGACAGACUUUCAGCAAUAACCUGUAAGAAAAAUGUCUACAGUAUGUGAAAAAGCUCAAGACGACACUGCAAGUUGCGUAUUACGUAUCAACUAUUUGAGCAAUUCUGAAAUCUUCGUCAUGCAUCACUGGUCCAAUACUGCAUAUGAACUAGUUUUUUGUAGCCCAAGCUAAUGAAAAAAAAAGGAUGGGAAACUCGGAAAAAACUGCAAUAACUCCUAUCGUAUGACAGUGUGCUGCUAUGGUAAUAUGGAUCUGAACAAAAUAGUUCUAGAAAGACCGGAAACCAUCUAGGACAAACGAAGUUGAUGGACACUGUACCCCAAUAGAGGAAAGAAAGCAGGCACAUCAAGAGGAUUGAUCCUUCCUUCACUAAAUGUGUAUGGUACAGCAUAAAAAUAACAUUGAGUGGUAUACUCUGUACUCCAAAGAUGCCUGAUCUUAAUUACUAGAACUAAAAAUGGAGUUCCAGCACAAAGAAUGGAGGAGACCUGCAUAGUUAGUUGGCUUGGGUAUAUGAAGCCAUGCUAACAAUGAUGGAAACACAGGUAUUAACUUAGGUUACUUAGCAGCGACUAUAUGGUAACCUAAAUGUGCAGAAUCAGCUACUGCAUUUAAAAAGGGAUAAGUAAAUCUUCAUACCCUCAAUGCCAUCUUCUUGAGCUUGUUCAUUGCAGAAAAAUGCUUCAGCCGUGACAAAACAGCAGAAUCAAUAGGCUUAUCAGGCGCCACAGCAUCAUCAACAAUCCAUGGGUGACCUAACAAAGGGCAGAGGCAAUGCCAGUAUGAGAAGAAAAAAAAUUCAAAAUAUAUCUGUCUGAAACACCUAUACUCAGUCGCUUGAAAGAGUCGUAAGGAAGAGUAGACUUACAGAGAACCUCGUGAGCAGUGAGUCGCUUUGUAGGAUCCCGACAAAGCAUAUUACGGACUAGAUCUUUAGCACUGUCGGAGAUAGUAGGCCAGGGUUCAGAUUCAAAGUCAAGUUUGCCUCGAAGGAUCUGCCUGAAGAUUCCUGCUUCAGUUUCUGAGAAGAAAACAGACAUGACAUUGGAGAACAUGAGAACAUGAGAAUAUGAAGCCCUUCAGUUUGAUGAUUUAAGGGCACAUAGUUUACCUGCCCAAAAUGGGGGAACACCACAUAGCAAAAUGUACAGAAUCACCCCAGCGCUCCAGACAUCAGCUUCUGGCCCAUAGCAUUUCUGAAGCACCUCAGGCGCAACAUAGUAGGGGCUCCCAACAACAUCAGAGAAUUUAUCACCUAAGGAAAUGGAAACACACAUUUCAACAAACUUAGUGUGAGUCAAAGAGAAGCUUUUAGCAAAACGUAAGAGUCAGAACAUACAAAGUAGCAUAAGAGUCCCAGAUGAAAAUAUCAAAUCAAGACUGUAGACUAGAAGAAUAACAACUAGAUUGAUGAUACUGGUAGUAAUGGAUACUACCACGCAUCUUUCAAUAUCUUCCUAACAUGCAGAUGAUCUUAACUUGCUUCCCAGGUUCGAACUAGACUUGGCAGGCCAUAUGAACACACUUCACUUCCCACCCAUGAGAAGAUUACAGAUACUAGAAAUGUCAGGAUCAUCGCAGGAUUAUAUGGUUACUUCCUAAUCAGUAUCUUGCGACCAUCAUCGUAUCCAAAGAAGACUAGUUUUGACAUGCCUUGAAGGUUGCAAGCGGAUAAACCACACGAUGAGAGAAGCACCACCCUUAGCAUUCACUGAUACUAGGAACUGUUCUGAAUUGUGGCAUUGCUUUGGUCAACAACUACAAUAGCUCACAGUGAUUAUCAGUUCAAGAGGAUUCCACUAUCAAAGACAUGCCACAUCAUGACAAGCAUUCUUACUCUAGCAAAAAGAACAAUGUAUGCAAAACAUUAUUGCCAGUUUAAUCAACUUGAUCAUGAAUGUUACCAACAAAGAUCCAUAUGGCCAUUCUAAUGUAUUCCAAUAGAACACAGAGUACUACACAUAAGAGGGCAUCUUCACAUCAAGAACUGCCAAUAUGCACAAUAAAAAAGCACUAACUGCAAAAUUAAGCAAUAUGAAGCAAGGAAACAUAGCACAUACCAGGCUUGUAGAACAUGGAGAGCCCAAAAUCGGUGGUCUUGAGCGGCGCGUCCUCAGCGGUGCUGGCGAACAGGAAGUUCUCCGGCUUGAGGUCCCGGUGCAUGACGCCGAGCGAGUGGCAUCCCUCCACGACCCCGACGAUUGUCCUGAUGAGCUGUGCGGCGGCGCGCUCGCUGUAGUGCCCCUUGGCCACGAUGCGGUCGAAGAGCUCGCCGCCGGCACAGAGCUCCAUGACAAUGUGCACGAAGAGGGCGUCCUCGUAGGCGCCGCGGAUGCGGACGACGUUGGGGUGCUCGGAGAGGUGGUGCAUGAUCUGGAUCUCGCGCCAGGCGUCCUCGUAGUCCUCGCGGCACAGCAGCUUGCGCUUGGGGAUGGACUUGCAGGCGAAGUCGCCCCCGCCCUCCUUGGCCACGCACUGGUACGUGGUGCCGAACUGCCCCUGCCCCAGCUUCUUCCCGAUGCGGUAGUGGUCGCGUACGUUGGCCGUCUUGUGCGGCAGCACCGACGCCGGCCUCCCGGACGACGCCGCCGGCGCGGCGGUCACCGGCGGCGGCAGCGUCGGCCUCGCAGCAUUCGCGCCGCCGCCGCCGGUAGCGUUGCUGCUCGCGUCCGUCUGCAUUGGCGACUCCCCCGGCGCUGACCCUGGAUCAAGAAACGAAGCGAAGUCAGGAAAAUCAGGGGAAAGGCGGCGGCAGGAUGCGAUUCAAGAAGAACCGGUCAAAAAGGGGAAGCUCAUUCACCUCCGAUGGGGGAUUCCGGCGCUUUUCCCCAGGUAUUUCCUACGGAUUACGGCAGAACAACACAGAAAGCUCCCUGGAUCUAGCAACGGGGCUCCGGGAGAUUCUUGGGGGGUUUUCCAACCCAAUCGACGAGAUUAAGAACCAGCCAGGAAGACAAAAGUAGCUUUGCUACGGGAGGUUUAAGACCAAAAAAGCCUGGAGCAAACAAGAUAAGGGAGAAGAAAUCUCGCUCUCACUUUCUCAGGUGUCAAUCAAAUGGGUGGGGGAAGAACAAGAAGAUGCAAUCUCGCAGAAAAGGAAACCACUGUCGAGCUACAACUGCGAGUUGAAGGGAGCAAGUCAGGUCGCACAAAAGGACAGGAUCUUGGUGGUGGUGGCGCUGCUGCUGGUGAUGGCUCCGUCCAAUUCUUUAUAGGAGUUCCUUUUGCGGGGAUGGGAUAUGGAUGACGAAGAUGGUAAUCGCUUUGGUUUCUUGGGGCUGGGAAAUGGUAAAAAGGGGCUGGCUGUGGGUUGGUGAAGAAGGGAGGAAGGGGAUUUGCUGGGAUGGUUAGGUCUAAGGCUUUUCUUUCUCCAUUGGCAAGAAGAGGAAGGAAGGAGGCAGGAAAGGAGGAGGCGGCCACGACGCUGGUCGUCGGAACCUCUCUUCACUGUCUUUCCUUUUUUAUUGUUUCCUUUUGUUUUCUAGAAAAUCUUAUAAGAUCUGCCUAUUUAUUAUUUUUGAACACAUUAAUACCUACUCGUUUAUCAUUGGAAUCGAUUAAAAUAAAAUAAAAAAUAUGUACUUUCAUCAGCAAAUUAAUUUUAUUAAAUACUCACUCCUUCUUAUACUAAGUGACUCAAAUUUUUCUAAAUAUAGACGUAUAUAUACACUAAAAUACGUCUAGAUACAUCUAAUAUCUCGUCACUUGAUAUGGGACGGAAGGAGUAUGUCUUUUUGGUGGGAAAAUUGUAGUAAAUUCAGUAUAAUAUAGUUCAGCGAAAGCAAGCUAAACCCUUAGCAAUGUACUUCCUAAUUCCAAAAUAAAGACUUCACUUAAACCUUGCAAUGGUCAGCAAUAAUUUUUGCGAAAACUGAAAAACCUACAUGUUUCAAACUUGUUGUUGGGGAGGUUAUGACCAUCCUAAACUGAAUGCGAUAUUCUUUUUUAGAAGUUUCAUGGUAAGUACUAAAAAAAGUAUUUAAAAAAAAUGAGGCAAUUGGAUACUGAAUGUUUGUUUACUCCAUCAACUAAAAAUUUGUAUAAAAUGCAUUCUAAAAUUUACUUUCGGUUUCAAUUUACUCCAAUGACGUGCUUUGUACAAUUUUCCACCGUCGUGGCUGCCACACUAGCGAAAGAAGCACAUACAACAUGAGGAACCGAAGUGGCCGGGCAUCAUGUAAUUUUUGUAUUUAGGACCAGACAUUUUGCAAUCUUCACAGCUACGCCUCUCUCAUUUUCUUUAUCUUUCGACACAAGACGACUAAGAAAGUGGUGAACCGUGAGGGGGCAAGCAAGGUACCGGACACGCAUGACUAUCAGCCCGACAUAGAUGGAAUCUUGACAUCGAUGACCUAGCGAUCUUAGCCCAACCAUCAUCAAUCCUCCUCCACUUCUCCUUUCGGUCGACCAUAGUCUGCUUCCAUUUGUCCCCUAGUCAUUACACGUUCAAGGAGCAGACAAGAACAAGACGGCCGCAAGCAUCGUCUACUAUUUGCAUGUCGCCGCCUUCUUUCUGUAUGAUUAUCCAUGCUGAAUUGAAAGAUGGUUUGGGGAGAAAAGGGGAAUUUUCGAAAACUAGAGAUCUGACAAGGGUUUUAGAGCAAAUUUGAGACAUAUUGAGUGAUCUUUUGCAAAAUAAGCUAGCAUGGAAGAAAUUUACUUUCUCGCCGUGCAUGCGUCAUUCGUCGGCAUGGCACACCAUGGUGGCAAAAACUGUCCGAGAUACAUAGCUUUGGAUUAAGGUGAAUCUAAAAGCUAAUUCUAGGGUGCACUUUUCUACCGUGUUCAAGUUGAUGGAAAGGUGAACUUGCCAAAUUCAUGUAUCCACCAUGCAGUUACCUAUUUCCUAAAUGACCUGCCUUUUUCAGUGACAUUUAGUGAAAAAUUCAAGAGAAAAAAACAGAGAUUGGAUGCACAAGUUUGGGUUCAGAGACAGGGCUCACGGGAAUUUAUUUGUGCACAAGGCUAUGACGACAGGGACAGCAGUGAGAAUCCCUGAACAAUAAAAUACUAAAAUCCAAGGGUUUGACAUGGGGUUCAUCAAGCUCAUGCCUUUGUUUUCUAUGGAUUAGUACCUCAUUGCCCUUGUUUAUUCCUGCCAUUCCUCUGCAUCUUGACCUUUUCCUUUUUGCACAUUCAGAGGUACACGCAUCUUCCUUGGCAUUUGCUAUUGCCUUCCUGGUUCCCUCUUCUACACAUUUUAUUAAUUAUUAUUAAUCAGUGGUUACAACUUGUGAUCAUCUGGAGAUUUGUAUAAUGGAGCAUACAUGUCAAUUUUAUUUCCUUUGAGUUAGAUGGAUAGGUGAUGGUCCAUUGCCUCCAUGGUGUAGCCGUGGUAUUUGUUUUUUUCCAGUGGUGGCCCCUCUAAAUAACUCUCAGUUGGUACUAUAGACUGUAGCACUAAUGAAGACAAUUAAGCACGAAAUUUUCUGCGCCAACAAGGACCUACUACUAGGCAUGAAGAUAACACUAUCCAAAUUCUAUCCUAAAAAAAUCCCAAACAGAAGUCACUAAACAGGACAGGAACAACAUCUCAUAUUUUUAAUCAGCAACCAAUCGUGCAACACCUAUGCUUCUACUUUGCACAAACCCCACAUGCAGUUGCCAACUUUCCAUGUCAUGAAUCCUGGUGAUACUUGAUGAGAUCCAGAGAAAGGCUUGGGUGGCUUCUUCAAGGAUCCCAUCUGUCUUUCUUUUUUUUUGCGGAUAUCCCAUCUGUCUUUCCCAUAAAAUAAAUAAAUCACUUUCCUGUUGAAAGGAAGGAAAACUCAUGAUAGCUCCCAAAGAGUAGAUUCAGGAUUGGAUCAUGGGGCACACAAAAUGGGGGUGCUGAUGCUGUGCCAUUUGCAGGACAGAGGACAAUGAGAAGCAUGGGGGUGGUGGUGAGGCAUCUCCAUCCAUCAAUCACUGUCAAUUCUGUGAGCAUCUACCAAACCUUUCAAGGAUAAGAAUUUGUACUACACAUAUGCUCAUUAAUUAAUGUUGUUGUUUUUUAAGAAGCUUUUCUUCUUCACAAAAACCGGAGAUGUUAUGGAAUAUGGAUUUUUGGUUCAUUAAGACCUUGAGAGGCUGCAGGUAUGUGAUGUAUCAUGUAUAUAUAGCCAUCUAUCAGAUUUUAUCUGUGAAUACAAAGCGUACAUUUGAUAGUUUUGCAUACAUAAUCUAUCUGAAAAAUAUGUUUUAAAAGGAAAUAGCCGCUUUGAUACUUUAACUUUGGACGAUGUAUAUGUAUAUAAACAGUCAUUUCAUAAUCCUUGAACCUUACUCUUGUCUCUUGGUCAAACAGUUGUACGUGUGGAGAGAAAACUUUGAAGUCAAGGGGAGACUAGAAAAAGUUCCAAAGCUUACUCAUUCUGCUCUUGAAUUUAUUUCAGUCGUGUCUUUUCAGUUCUUGGUCAACAGUCAAACCGUGUGGAUGCUGCACCAAGAUAUUUUCCAUCAGUGGACAGAACCUUGAUUGAUGGCGUUCUGUAAUUUGUGAUAAAAUGAUAGUAGCUUCACCGGUUUCAGAAGUGCCGCAUGGAGAUUUACCGUGUGUUAAAAGUUAAUACCUCGUUUCAUAAUUUUUGUCUCAAAUUUGCUCAAAAGUGGAUGUAUCUAUUUCUAAAAAAUGUCUAGAUGAAUGUAAUAUUUCGACAAGAAUUAUGAAACGGAGGAAGUAUCAGUUACACUACACACAAAUAAAUUACGUUUAGUAAUAAGAUGAUGUAACGAGAUGGAAAGUCACCUUGUCAAACAACUUCUGUCAUUUAAAAACAAUAAAAUACAGUAAUAAAAAAUGAUGCACUAUCAAGCAUAAGUUUUCUUUUUUUUUUUGCAAGAAUGCACGAAGCAUAAUAAGUUGCAUGCACACUAACAAAAUUCAAAUGGAAUAGGUGCAUUGAUUUGAUUAGAGGGAAUGGCCCAAGAAUUUCUUUAUCGGUUUUGCUAUUUCUCAUGCGACCGAGAAAUGAUUAUUUCUUAGCCGAUGAUAACAACUUUUGAUUCAAUCAUUGAGAUUCGUUUAAAAUUAAUGUGGAUCCGAUAGAUAAGAAAAUUUUCAUUAGAUGGCUACAAUUGUCGACUGAAAAAUAACUAUUUCUUAGGCAACUGUGAAAUAGACACUUCCUUUCUUUAUUGGCAUCUGCUAAAAUGAACCGUGAUGUCCAUAACUAAUUUAACAAGUUGAUAUGCAAACCAUGGCUUAUUUCUUUUAUGGCAAAAAUGAGACUAUAAUCUAACCACUAAAAUACCAAAAUAAGAACACUACAAAGUACUAGUAGUACUUACCUGAAGCAUAAAUAGGCGUCCACAACAAAGUCCUGCACAAGAGAUCCGACGAGGACUUUUGAAUUUGAGUCAAGAACAAUACCGCGGCGCGCAGAGCUAUUAUUCCUUUGUGCACAUGGCACCACGGUUUGUUGGGCAGAGAAAUAUCUACAACUAUUAUCUGUAUGUAUGUGUAUAAUAAAUACCUGGUAUAAAAAUCUGCAGAAGGAAAUUGGGAGCCAGCUUUUGUGGUCAAAGAUGGCGACCAAGCAGCAGAGGAAGCAUGGAGCAAAGCGGGAUCCAAGGGGAAUUGGUCGGUAGGUUCCUUGGUUGGUCUGCUGCAUCAUGCACGCACGUUCAUGGCACACGUUGACACGUACGAUUGACGACCCAUUCAACAGGCGAUGCUAAUUUGAAAGAACAUCAAAAUGAUAAUUUUCUUUUCUUUACCAUAAUUUACUGAUGAAAAAAAACCCGUCAAGGUUAACCGCAAAAUGCUGGCAACGUUUGGGAGUACUACUUGCUAGCCAGGUCGGUCAGUGUUUGUCCUGUGUGCGGUCAUGCUCCAUGACGGCAUUCUUUGAGACAUGUUGUAUCGGUUUUUGUCUGGUUUUCUGUAAAUUAACUGGACAAUUCUCUUCUUCUUAAUUAGUGGAUUGAGAUCCAAAUAAUUUACUGAUGGAAGAAAGAGGAAGGGGAGGAGUUAUUUUUUUUAAGUGACUAGAACUUCUAUCAACUACUAGCUAAACGUCAAUGCUCACAUUUUUUAAAAACUUCUGAUAAAUAAGAAUUAUGUCAAAAUAUUAUUUUUGAAUUUUUUUUAUCUUGAAAGUCGUUUGCAACCAUUAAGUGGUUGUCUUGUUGGAACGAACUCACCACCAUCAACUAUGCCAUGCCGCGUGAACGAAAUGCGGAUCUAGAAAAUGCAAUUCGGCGUGAAUGAACGAAUUGUUUAAAUAAGAAUUAUUAAAUUAUUGUCAGUUUAGAUGUUUUCUUCAGUUAAAGAGAGCAUUUUUGUUGGGAUUGACACAUUUAUCAGGUAAUAUGCUGAUUGCUGACCAACCAUUUCAUGUUUCUGCUGGUCAUGUAAUCACUAAUCAUCCUAGCUAGUGCCAGUCAAGUAAUAACGCCACAGGGGUAAAGCUGAGACCAAUAAUAAUCCAGAGAUUUUUCUGAGUGUUGCACAUUACCAGACACGUAAAAACAGUCUCCACAGGGUACGCACCGUCUCCACGUUUAGCUGUUGCUCGAUUUGGUGCUAGUUACAUCAAGUCGAUGGGGACAGAAUACAGAGGACGAUCGAUCGAUCGUUGAACAUGCAGAUGCUUAACUAUGCAUGACCAAUGCCAAACGAAGCACGAGACUGUAGAAAGUAGCUAGACCCGUGUCCAUCCAUUCAUUGACAAGCAAGGUCCAGACAGUCGCUCGCACGUUCAGCCGUCAUAGUGCUCAAGGCUGCGAUCACCAGGAGGUCAGCAGUACGCCGGGGCUAGGAAUGGAGUCUUCUUCUUCCCCGCGACGGAGGCGGUGUGCGGGCAGAGGGAGGAGCUGUUGUGCAGCAGGGUCAGCUUGAGCCCCCUGGCAGCCACAAUGUGGCAGCAGCAACCAACCAGGCUUUGUGGAAGCAUAGGAACCGUAUCGUCUUCGAUCACAUUAGUCCCAGUGUGGUGCAGGUGCGAACCGAUGUGAUUGCUGAAGGGAAGGCUUGGAGUCAGGCUGGACUUUUAGGAGUAUCUUUAUUUAGUACACUUCCGAUUAGUGCUGUAGAGUGGAGAGAUUCGGGAUGAUUAUCUUGUAAACUUGGCCUAAGGCCGUUAUCGCUGCGUCGCAGCUUCCUUCUUUAACGGAUGAUACACCAUCUUGAUUCUAAAAAAAAAAGCAACCAACCAGGCCACGUGUCGAAACACAGCUGCAAGCCUUGGCCGCAGUUUAGCUUAAGGGACAUGUAAUCAUCCUAGCUAGUGCCUGUCAAGUAAUAUAUACACACAGGCCAGAGUAGGCCAGAGUACAGCUGAGAUUAAUGAAAAUCCAGGGAUUCGCUUCUUGAGUGCUGCAAUAUCUCCACGUGAAGCUGCCGCUCGAGUUGGUGCUAGUUACAUCAGUCGAUGGGAGAAGAGGACGAUCGAUUGAUCGUUCAACAUGCACAAAGUAGACUCGUCCAUGUCCAUCGACAAGCAAGCAAAGGUUCAGACAGUCGCUCUCACGUUCAGUCCUCACGCGUCCCACCAGGCAAGGAAAUCAUACCUACACCAAAAUGUUUCAUCCCAGGAGGAAACUCUCAUACUUUACAAGCGCCAUGUAUUGGAGUGCUCAAGGUUGCGAUCACCAGGAAUGGCGUCUUCUUAUUCUUCCCGGCGACCGCCGUUGUGCGGGUGGAGGGAGGAGCUGUUGUGCAGCAGGAUCAGCUUGAGCCCCCUGGCAGACUCAACGGGCCUUGGCGUCGGCGUCCUCCGGGAUCCAUGGUGGUGGUGGCUGUUGUAGUAGUUCUCUGCCAGGGCGGCCUCAUCAAGGCGCAACCACGCCGCCCCCCUCGGCGCGCUCGCCGCCCACAUGAACCUGCCGGAGCAAGGGUUCAUCAGCGUCUCCCGGAACUCCUUGGCCCCCUCGCACAACAAGCCCUGAACAAAAACAAAAGGUGCAGUCAGGAAUUUGCACACUGAAUACCUUUGGCAGGACUGCCACUGCAGAGAUUCAGAGGAGAAAGCGAAAACAGAAACAUGAAUGUUACCUCUGCCAUGGCUUUGAUCUUGAGGGCGACGCUGUUGGACAGGAUGACCAUGUUCUUCUGGCUGCCUCUCAGCUUUUGGAAGAGGAGCGCGCAGUCGAGGACACGGUCUUCGGUCCUCGGGGUAACGAUGUCCGUGAAGCUCCUCGGGGAGAAGAGGGCAAACAUUGGGUUGAAGGUACCGGCAGCAGCGGCUUCUCUUCCUUCAUCGUUGCGUUGCAUUUCUGUAGGAGUUGCAGGUGGGGUUGGGGCUACAGGCGACAUCUCGGAUGAGCUCUGCACGUGGAUCCACCAGCUCUCGUUCUCCAUGCAAUCCUCGAUCCAUUGGAGUAUGGAGGUGGCCUUUGAGGAUCUCCUGAACAGGCCUUCCCGCUGUUUCAUGCAAUCGAGCUCCCUGAUCACUGGCAAAGACAGACAAAACAGGGUUUCAGUGGAUGAGAAUAGAACAUCAUGCAGAUGCAGUCUGUUCAGUUAAUUACAAGGUGGAAGAUUAGAUGCAAUAAAAUGUACUCCUACUAUAUAAUAGAAAAUGCAAUGCUGAACACAAGCAUAUUGGAUAUGGAUGUGCAAUGGGGCCUCAUUGAGUAAAGCACAUAUUCAGCUAGUAACAGCAUAAAAGGUGGUCAAAACUUGAAAGUUACAGAAGCACAAUUCUUUAGUUAAUACCAGCAUAGCAUGAGAUGGCUAUUGCAAAUGAGUAUAUAAAGUAAAAAAAAGCAAGCAGUAUUGUUUAGCAGUUGUUAGCAGGUCGAGAGGAUGAAAUGAGUAUAAUCAUUCAGCAAAAACAAGUCUCACUGAAGUAUGGAAAAAAUGAUAUAUGCAGCAACAGAAACAUACUGCACACUUUGUUUAGAUCAUACAUGCAAGACUAAUACUCCCUCCAUCCCAUAUUAAGUGACUCAAAUUUGUCCAAAUAUGGAUGUAUCUAUAUUCAAAAAGUGUCUAGAUACACGUAAUAGAAUGUCACUUAAUAUGGGACGGAGGGAGUACUAUUCUUCUCAACUUACCAAUCCUUGGUAUGAUGAGAUGAGUUCCUUUUAUGCCUCUUAACAGCAUUAUAGACUUCCUUGAUUCAUCAUCAAGAACACAAUAGGUAUCAGCCACCAUGGUCCAGACUUUCAUCCCUUCUCCAAUACUAUCAGAUUCUUGGUUCUUGUGCUGUUCACCAACGAAAUGGCCUCAUUUUAGAAUCCAUGACAAAAGUAAAAGACGUAGAAAUGAAAAGUCUAAAAAUAAUCUUUACGGUUACUUACUGGAAGACUGUUCAGUUCAUCUUCCAACCUGAAUGACACGUCAGCUGCUCUAGCAUUAGGUCUCGAGGGAGAAUUUGACACCAGAGUUUGGAAGGGGAACCUCUCUACAACCCGUUUCUUUGUGAUGACACUUUCAAUUCGUGCACGGUUUUCAGACAUAGGAGUAUCUCUUGUUUUCUGAGCUACAGAAGAUACUGGUGUAGAGUUCUCCUUGUCGGAGUAGAAUACCUCUUGAUCUUGGUCUACAUCCACCGGAAAUAGGUUCUUUGGAAGACAUCUUCUCGCUUUCAUACCUCCUGUUGACAUAGGUGUCAAGUUCUCCUUAUCUGAAUAGAAAGCCUCAUCAUCUACUGUGUGGAAACCUUUGGAUUUUGAUGAUAGACCAUUGCAUUCCUGUUUAUUGACGCUCCUGUUUGGAGGGUAUUCUGCUGACAUUGAACUAUCCAUCCUCGAGCCAAGAACCCUCCUACCGAUGGACUUGAGACCUCUGGAGGCAGGUGUCACAUUUUCCUUGUCUGAAGAGAUGUCUCCUUGUCUCACAGGGGAGAUAGCAUCAUACUCUGAUGAAAGUUCACCGCAUUCCCGUUUAUGGACGCUGAUGUUUGAAGUGUAUUCUGCUAACACCAAACUGUCCAUCCUUGAGCCAAGAGCCUUUCCAGCAAUGGGCUUGCGACCCCUGGAGGCAGGUGUCACAUUCUCAUCUGGAAAAAGGUCUCCUUGUCUCACAGGGGAGAUAGCAGCAUCAUACUUUCCAGAACCCAGCACUGAGUUUUCAUUGUAUGGAAUGAUGUCAUUUUCAAAAUCUAGAUGCGACAUGGGCAUAAACUCUGUUUCAACUGAAAUUGAUGGGAUAACAUUUUCAGAUAUAAGUUCAUUUGACUUCAUCUGCUUCCCAAUGUUCAGCAUGGAGUUUUCACUAUCUGAAAAGGUGUCAUGUUCCAAACUCAGAGGGGAAAUGGAGUCCAACAACUCUUGGGAUCUGUUAGGCUUCAACAGUAGCUGACUCCUCUCCAUUAUUAUGUUGCCCGAAACAAGGGGAGUGGUGUUCUCCUUGUCCAGUAGGUUGCUCUGUUCAUUUUCUUCAGUUCCUUUGAUAUCCAAAUUGUCAAAUAGACUAUCAUAAAUUAUGCCUUCAAGAUCGCAGUCCUGAGGACACACGGCAAUCUUAUUUUGGGCCAUUUUAUCCUUGUUUGGGAUACUUCCAUCCAGUUUAAGAUGGGAGAAACCAUCAUGCUUCAUGUCUUUGUGCUUAUUUGUAUUUCCAUCAACUCUGUCUUGGGUGAAAGAAUUUUCUGACACAUGCUCAUGUGAUUCCAGUCGUACAUCCAGCUGUGGUCCUUUGCCUGCGAAGAUCUCAUCUUUGAAAAGCAAAGCAGAAACGUAAUUCAUUGGUUCUGACCUCAUCUGUAGUUUUGCAUCAACUGAACCUUGUGGGACAGAAUUUUCAGAGAAAAUGCCAUGCUGGUUUGUCUCCUUGACAAAACUUAGCAUGGAGUUUUCCUUAUCCAAAUGCUCAGAUUUCAGAGGGUUCGGCACUUGAUUCUCCUCCAUGGUAAUGUUGUCCAAGACAUGGGAGUUCAUGUGCUCUUUUUCUGGUGCAAACAUGUUUUCUUUUUCUUCAGCUUCUUUGACAUCAGAAUUGUCAAACAAAACCAUGCAGGCUGCACAUCCUUUCCCACAGUUUUGAGAGCACAAAAGAUUCUCAUUCUGGGCUUCUUUCUGAUAGCUGUUGCUCAAAGUGCUGUUUUUCCUUCCUGUGUAAAUACGGAGAGAUUUGACUGACUUUAACUUGGCCCUCCGGGAAAUGGUGCCUGAAGCAUCCUGUUUGUCUGAUUGGACUGUUGUUCCAGCAUUUGCAAUUGUAGCGGGCAAUGACGGUAUUAUUGAGGAGCAAACAGAUUGUGUGACUGAAUUGUCACUAAACAUCAGUUCCUCUAUGACCCUCUCUCUGUUCUCAUCAAAUUGUGUGAGUGAAGAUUCUUCCAGAUAAAAAGAAUGGGCGAACCCAGGCAAUGGUGGAGCUGAGGGGAUGACUUUGGGAGGAUAUUCAAUUUGUUCAGACACUACUUGAUGGCCUGUCUCCUGUGGAUUAAAUUUUUGAAGUUAGCAAUGCAUGCAAGGACUAAAAUUCUAAAAUUGUAAGGGAAAAAAAAAUCAAGCAGUAGAACUCACAUCAACAUGUGGAAUCCUCAAAAGAACAAUUAAACAACACAAGAAGAUAUUAGUGAAAACAAAAUCUAUAUACAAACAUGAACUAGUCAUGCAAGAAAAUCAGGGUAUGGAAAGAGUUUACAAAAUCCAAAGUGGAUAGAUACAACUUGUCAAAGUUUUAUAUCAAGAAAUUUAUGAUAAAUACCAGCCAAACAACAAGUAUCGUUAACCAAGGAAAGUAACACAUGAUCAAUUGUUAGUUGAUGUCAGUUCUGUCAUGCAUUCAACACAAAAUACAUGGCACUCAGACAAACAGACAAGCAAUUCAAACUUGCGCAAAAAAUCUGGCAUAACUUGAGAACCAUAUAUCCCGACAAUACAUCUGCCAUAAGAAAAUCAUUUGGCAAUGUAAGCAAUUGAAGAAUAUGAGAUUAGUGGGAAAAUUUAACUAAUGUACAAGUGACCUAAAUGGCACUGAGCAAAUUAUAUUUAUCUAAGUAAUUCAAGCCUGAUAAGUAAUACAUAGGUGUGGAUGUCAUGGGAGUAACUUGCGCAGAGGCCCAACACAUUCAGGCUCGUUCAGUGUCAACUUCCAUUAGAAAGUACAACAGGACAAAUACUAAGACUUAGUACUAGGUAAAUUACAGGAACACAAUAGGUCACAUAAAAGGUUGCCAACUAGUCAUAAUUUGUAAGCAUCUUUACAUUACCACUGGAAGCAGUGGAAGCUUACUAAAACUAGGCACCAGGCAGAAUUCCAGAAAGACACGGCAACAUCAAAACUUUCUAAUCAGUCAUCAUCAUUUGUAAGCAACUUGGUGCUUUCAGUAAAGAGAAAUGCAUCAUUAAUCCGAUUACUGAGUAAUUCAAUAUUCACUAUCAGAGUUGGAUCGUAAAUUUGAGUUCAAUGCAUUUCACAAAGCAAUUAAGGAAAGUGGAUCAUAAAAGUAAAAAAUGGAUGAACUACAAACUAAUUGAAUAUCAAUGAUUGUAAAUAUUACUAUUCCAAAUAAAUCAAACAUUUUAACAUAAUGCAUUUUAUGAUUUUGGCAGAACAGAAGCAAAGUCAGUGGGCAAGCAAUCUGAACUAUUUGGCAGAACAGAGGCAAAGUCCGUGGGCAAGCAAUCUGAACUAAAGGACACAAUUAAUUGGUACCCAUACCAAAUCCGACGACACGAAAUGCAUCUAAAGUUACAUAGAAGUUUUCAGUAUUAGCUUGUUGGAAUCAAACCUGGUGAUUUUCCAUGUCCAUUGGCUCCGUCUGCGCAGGCACCAACUCCUUGCUUGCCUCCUGUGCAUUUCAUCAAACGCUUAGAACACAAUCAAAGUGGUUACAGAUUCUGCACCGAGUGUCAGAAGGAGUUGUCUACCUGAUGAGCACAGAACUCCUCCUUAUCCUCCUCAAUAAGUGGUGGCAGCAGAUCGUCCAUCUCAAGUGCCUCGUGGAGCGAAAGCCAGUGAAGCCGGUACUCCCUCUUGGAGCCCCCAAGCUGCAGCACGUCACCGACCGCCAGCUCCACCGGCGUGUUCGUCGGGAUCCUUUGACCCGAGACCCAGGUCCCGUGCACUGGAUCAAAUCAAAGCCCAACCAUGGGUUGACGCUAUGUUAGCUAGUAGCAUUCUGCACUGAUUUGAUCAAAUUGCAAACAUAUUCACUAUCACCGCAGGUCCUUCCGAAGAUGAUAAGGACACGAGGUGGAGCUAAAUUCUCACAACGUUGACGGUUCGACAAGCAGAUCCGAAUGAAUCGAUCAGAUGAACUCCCCCCAAAGUAUCCCCAACAAAUAUCUCAGUCUACACGAAUCGAUUCACCCAAACAAAAACCUUAAGGUUCCUGUAACUGUAAAUCCAGGCAGGCGCAGAGAUCGCGAAGCACGGCAGGCGCUCGCAGAGGGUGGGGGGAGUGGAGAGGGAGGCGCGAUCUGAGUACCGGAGGAGAGGUCGGUGACGGUGAUCCGCCGCUGGCGGCGGCGGCAGCGGACUUCGAGGUGACGGCGGCUGACGCUGGGGUGGUCGACGAGGACGUGGCAGUCGGGGUGCCGCCCGAACAGCACCGGCGGGUCCUCGCCCUCCUCCCGAUCCCCACCCCGGCCGCGCCGCGCCUCCUCCUCCGGCGGCGGCGCGUUGAGGAAGAUGUGCUUCAGCACGACGCCGCCCUUGGCCACCGCGAACGCCGCGAUCGGAGGAGCCGCCCCCGCCUCCACUUCCGCCACCGCCAUGCCUGCCCGUCGGGUGCCACGAGGGGGGAGGGGAGGAAAGGAUGCUGACGCUGACGCCUCUCUCGCUUGCUGUGUGAGAAACGUUGCUGUGGAAUCGGGGGAAUUCGAAAUGCGGAGUAGGAGGAGCCGGGGGCCGAUUUGAGGAGGAGCCGGGGGAUCGCAACGGCUAGAAUUUUAUCUCCAUUUUUUUGUUCCUUUGAGAGAAUUGGAAAGACGCGUCUGUUCCGCGCUCCUUACCGGGCCGAAUGACCGGUGGGCCAACCAAGAGCCUGUGAGUGACUACUGGGCCGAAUGACAGGUGGGCCAAGCAAGAUCCUGUGAAUGCCCGGUGGGCCGAAUGACCGGCUAUAAUCAAUCUUGAUUUUUUUCAAUCUAAACAGCGAAGCAAGAGACAAGCUGAAACCCAAAAAAAAAGCAAGGGACAAGCUUUUUUGGUUACAACGGUUUUUGUCCGCAGUUCAUCUUGUAGCGGCCACGGGGGCCCCUCAAUCUCUCACUCGCGUGAGCAUGGCGGCGGCGGCGCAGCAGCCGCGGGGCGUGGCGCGGCGGUGAGGGUCUGAGGGAGAAGCUGCUGCUCACGGAGGAGGAGCGGAAAUCCCGGCUGGUGUCUUCUCGAUUUCCUCCCCCGCCUCCGCCUCGGCGCACCGGUCGGCGACGCCGGUGGGCAAGGACCGCGAGGUGAGUGGGGCAAGGAAGGGAUAGACCUUCUACAUGUUCUGCUUAGUUUUUUUUAUUACCGAUUCACCGUUCUUUUUUGUUCCUUUUGUGGAAUUGUAAUUUCAAGUAGGAAUUCAUCACCAGAUGAUAAUCAUGCGUUACAUCAGCAAGGUUCUAAUGUGAGGUGGAAUUUUCUCGUUAGUAACCUAGGUCCUAGAUCAUGGUGGUGUGUGAACCGGUGUAUCCAAUGUUUUGUUUAGAGGGAGACAUGUGUAGUGCCGGGAAUCACGUUCCCACCUCCCUUUUCCUGGGGUUAUUAGGGGCACCAACUCCACUAUUGCUUGAUUCGCACUCGGCCGGCCGGCGAUGAGAAGUCAAGCUUUGCUGCCGCCCUUUGUUUGUCCCUUGUCAGAGGACUAUCGUGUGAUUUAGGAGAUCAUAAUGUCAUUCUCUAAGUAGGACCAUUUGUUGAAAUUAAACCAUACAUGAGGUCAUCCGUCUUAAUAAUAAUAAUGUUGGCAUGUAUGCUGUCUCUUUCCCAAUUUUAAAAUCUUAAUAUGUCGAUGACACCUCCGAAUGUAAUUUGCUUCUCCUAUCGAUUGUCAAUGUUACAUAAUUAUGUGAUUGUGCAGUACUCUUCCAGUCUUCCUAAGACAAAGAAAGCACAUUUCUGUCGUGGCGCUCUGCUGGCCGGUUGCAGGAUCCGGAAGUCAAGCUUGCUGCCGCUCUCUGUUGUCCUUUUAUCAAAAACAGUAGUGUGAUUUAGGAGAUCCUAAUGCCGUCCUCUCGUUGAAAUUAAGUUCUGCUGUCUCUUUCUAUAUAUUCUUUCUGGAAAUUGUGUGAGUAGUCACUGCAGAGUACAGGUGCCGUGUUUGAUCAGUUUUUCUGGUUAGUUAUGCAAUUGAAUAAGAAAAUUAUAUCCGCUGUGAAAAUGAUUUUCCAUGGAUUCAGACUAAUGUAUGGUGGUAGUUGUGAGCUAGGUAGCUUUUUUCAGAUGUAGACAUUUGCCAUGCCUAUAAAUAGAGGGUGUAGUUAAGCAGCUAGUUACUUGUAGCUAUGGUCAUUAUACAACCAAAUCACCCAGGAUUUUAAUGCUCUCUUUGCACUUCAGAUGACAUGAUCAUGCUGUUUUCGGGGGAUCAUACAUGUUUGUGCAACCACUGAACGCUCGCAAGAUGAUGGUGUACAUGAAGUCAAGGUACAUGAAUCUCUACUAAGUUUUUUAGUUCUGUAAACAGUCCUCAUGUAUAGUUAGAGUUUUGAGAAUUUGAUGUAAGUGUCUUAGCUAGCUUCUUUGAGGACCUCCGCGGUGCUUGUUAGUUGACUCAAAUGGCAACACCAACAGGAUGUCAGGAUGACUCCCACAAACAACUUCCACCUUUCCCCACUUCUUCUCACUCCCUGCUGUAGUAUGACUAUUGGAUGCCUGGAAGGUGGGAAAAGUAUAUCCGAGAUAAUAAAUUAAAUACCGAAAUUAAUCCUAGUCACAAUUGGGAUGGAUCUAAAGGUAUGUGUAAUUAUUUUCCACCAUAUGCAUAACAAAUUAGAUCCAUAUUCGAGUGUAGUUUCUAGCACUUGGUUCAGUAGUUUAGGCAGCAGGUUGUGAAUCAAAAGCAGAUCAGAUAGCAAAACUAAUUAGCUCCCACAUGAUUGCAGGACUCUAGAAAAUCCAGAUAUCUCAAAUUUAAUCAGAUUUGUAAAGACUAUGGUUAUAGUACUCAAUUUGCAGUGGCUGAAAUUUCACUUCUAUUGAAUUGAAUCUUUCUUGCUUGCAGAAGGACAGUAAGCAAGUAUUGAGGGGAGUGAAGUAGAAUCCUUCAGGUAGUUUUCAUGACACAAAUGAAUGCUUGCUGACAUUGACUAUUGGAUAUCUAAAAAUGCCCUUAUUUUUGUGUUUGCAUAUAAUUAAGAUCUUCAACAAAGACAGCUUCCAGCCCAGCCAUGAGGGUUACUUCUAUCAUGCAGUUUAUCUUGGGGCUCAUGGUUUGCAAUGGACAUGCUGUCAUUUGUGACUCCUUAUAUGGAAAUGAGACAGACCGGUUGUCACUGCUUGAAUUUAAGAAUGCGAUCAGCCUCGAUCCAAAGCAAUCCUUGAUGUCUUGGAAUGAUAGCAUCCACUUUUGCAAUUGGGAAGGUGUUCAUUGCAGGAUAAAGAAUCCACUCCGUGUCAUUUCUCUUGACCUUGCAAAUCGAGGUUUAGUAGGGCAAAUCUCUCCUUCACUUGGAAAUCUAACACUCCUAAAACAUCUAUUCCUAUCGACAAAUAGGUUUACUGGGACAAUUCCUCCAGCCCUUGGUCACUUGCAUCGCCUCCAAAACCUAUACUUGAGCAAUAACACACUACAAGGAACGAUACCUAGUCUUGCAAACUGUUCCAACCUCAAGGCCCUAUGGCUGGAUAGAAAUCAACUAGUUGGGCAAAUUCCUACAGAUUUGCCUCCUUUCCUGGAAAAGCUGCAACUUUCAGUAAACAAUCUUACUGGAACCAUCCCUGCUUCUCUUGCCAAUAUCACAUCGCUAAACCAGUUUAACUUUGCUCUUAAUAGUAUCGAGGGCAACAUCCCAAAUGAGCUUAGAAAGUUACCUGCGCUUCAUAUUUUGAAUGCGGGUGGUAACCAGUUGACAGGCACGUUUCCACAAGCCAUCUUGAACCUUUCUACUCUCGUUAGCCUUAACCUUGGUCAGAAUCGUUUAAGUGGUGAGGUACCGUCAAAUCUUGGUAACUCUCUACCCAAUCUCCAGGCAUUCGCUUUAGCCAACAACUUCUUUCACGGGGAAAUCCCAUCUUCACUGAUAAACGCAUCUGAGCUAAGCAAAUUUGAUAUAUCAAGUAAUAAUUUCACGGGAUUGAUUCUUAGAUCCAUUGGCAGACUUUCCAAACUCACGUGGUUAAAUCUUGAGUUCAAUAAACUCCAAGCACGCUCCAAGGAAGACUGGGAGUUUAUGAGUAGCUUAGCCAAUUGUACCAAGCUAAAUGCCUUCUCAGUAGAGGGGAAUCAUCUAGAAGGCGAGGUACCAACUUCAUUAUCUAACCUUUCCAUUCAGCUUCAAAAUCUAUAUUUAGGACGAAAUCAAUUGACAGGGGGUUUCCCUUCUGGCAUAGCAAACCUUCCCAACUUGAUUGUUCUAGGAAUGAAUUCUAAUCGAUUUACAGGUAACAUUCCACAAUGGCUAGGAACUCUUAAAAGUUUGCAAAUACUAGGCUUAGCUAGCAACACAUUUACCGGGUUUAUUCCAUCCUCCCUUUCCAAUUUAUCUCAGUUGACAUAUCUUCUUCUAGACUCGAACCAAUUUGUUGGCAGUAUACCACCAAGCUUCAGAAACCUUCAAGGCCUUUCAAUAUUGAACAUUUCCAACAACAAUCUGAGUGGUAGGGUACCAAAGGAGAUCUUUAGCAUUCCGACACUAAUGCAAAUUUAUUUAUCUUUUAACAACAUCGAUGGAGAACUUCCUACCGACAUCGCCAAUGCCAAACAACUCACAAAUCUAGAACUGUCAUCAAAUAGGCUAUCUGGAGUUGUUCCUAGCACUUUGGGCAAUUGUGCAAGUUUGCAAGAUAUCAAGUUGGACUGGAAUAAUUUCAGUGGAAGCAUCCCCAUUUCAAUAAGCAAAAUAAGCAGCCUACAAAUUCUCAGUGUUUCCCACAAUAACAUAACUGGGUCAAUUCCAGUGUCCCUUGGCAACCUACAAUAUCUUGAGCAGCUAGAUUUGUCAUUCAACCAUCUUGAGGGGGAGGUCCCAACAAAAGGAAUCUUCAUGAAUGUAACUGCAGUCCAGAUUGAUGGAAAUCAGGGUCUUUGUGGUGGGACUCUGGAGUUACAUUUAAUGGCAUGUUCUGCUACGCCUUCGAAUUCAACAAAGCACAAGCUGUUCUUGGUACUCAAAGUGGUAAUCCCAGUAGCUUGCAUGGUGUCACUUGUUAUGAUCAUACUUGUGUUAUUGUUUUGGAGAAGGAAACAUAAGAGAGAAACUAUGUCUUUGCCAUCAUUUGGUGGAUCAUUUGGUAGACAAUUUCCCAAAGUUUCUUUCAUUGAUCUAGAUAGAGCAACAGAGGGGUUCUCAACGUCCAACAUAAUUGGCAGAGGGAUACACGGUUCUGUGUAUCAAGGGAAACUAUUUGAAGAUGGAAAUGAUGUUGCCAUAAAAGUCUUCAACCUGGAGACAAGGGGAGCACAAAAGAGCUUCAUUGCAGAAUGUAAUGCCUUAAGCAAUGUGCGGCACCGUAAUCUACUCCCUAUACUAACCGCAUGCUCGAGCAUUGAUUCUAAUGGGAAUGAUUUCAAAGCUCUAGUCUAUGAGUUCAUGCCUCGAGGAGACUUACAUAGACUACUAUACUCAACUCAAGACUAUGAAGGCUCUGCAGAUUUGAUACAUAUUACACUGGCUCAAAGGCUAAGCAUUGUUGUGGAUGUGGCAGAUGCAUUGGAGUACCUACACCAUAACAACCAAGGAACUAUUGUUCAUUGUGAUAUGAAGCCUAGCAACAUUCUUUUGGAUGACAACAUGACAGCUCAUGUUGGAGACUUCGGUCUUGCAAGGUUCAAAGUUGAUUCCGGGGUAUCAUCUUCUGAUGAUCCAUACUCAACUUCUUUGAUUGCAAUAAAGGGAACGAUUGGAUAUGUUGCUCCAGGUAGUCCCAAUUUUGUUCUUCUGGUGUCCUCCUCUUUAAAUUGAGAAUAUUACUUCUUUUUAUACCAACAUUGGGAUUAAGAUGUCUUGCAUGUGAACUGCAGAGUGUGCAACAGGCGGCCAUGUUUCAACUGCUAGCGAUGUCUAUAGCUUUGGAAUUGUCCUCCUCGAAAUAUUCUUACGGAAGAGGCCAACCGACGAUAUGUUCAAAGAUGGACUAGACAUUGCAAAAUUUGUCGAAAUGAAUUUUCCUGAAAGCAUGUCGCAAAUUGUUGAACCUGAAUUACUCCAAGAUCAACCUGAGUUUACUAAAGGAAGUCCAGUGGUCACAAAGGAAAAUGACCUGGGCUCUUUAAUUUCAGUGCUAAGAAUUGGGCUUUGCUGCACCAAGCUGUCACCAAAUGAGCGCCCCAACAUGCAGGAAGUGGCUUCAAAGCUGCAUGGAAUUAAGGAGGCUUAUCUCAGAGGGUACUAAGGUAGUAGUAAUCACCAGUUUUAGUGUAUGGUGCCGUGCUGUGGUUUUUAUCUGCCAUUCUUUUCCAAAUAAGAACACCACUCCUCUUACUGUUGUAAUUGUUCUAGAGAUUUCUGGCAGCUACGUUGCGAGCUCCGAACUAACCAGAUGUUUUUCGUGCAGAUUGCUGGCUGUCAUGCUCUCAAAACGAAAGCUGGCAGCAUAUCACAACCUCUUACGGAUUAUUGGAAGCCGAUACUGCAAUCUUCUUGGAGUAUGCAUUGGGCAAUGUGCUCUGCUUGUGCUGUUCCUCAAGAUAGAGCUUCUUCCUUGAUGAUGGCCAUGCAUGCUGUUUAGGUGAUGGCUCUGUUUAGUUUGGGAUAACCUCUUGGAGUCUUGGUGAACUUCUUUUUGAAGGAACCAGCCAUCCUUUAUAAGCUUGAAUCAAGGUUACAUCCAUGGCUUGCUGCUAUUACGAUGAUGCCUUUGUUUGACUCUUAUUGAUGUCUCCUUGAUUUCCUUUUAGAUUAAGUCUGUUGUACGAACAGUUAACUGUAAACUGAAGUUUUUUGAAAGAUCUCCUUGGCUUAUACAUUCCCUGGAUACUCCAGUUUGGAGUUGACUUGUAAAUGUCUGAUGCUGGAAAACCAAAAAUGCUGAUUUUUGCUGCAGAAGUGAAUGGGCCGCAUGAGGCGAUUCAUAGUUUGUUUUAAGGCCGGACUUGCCAAGUUCUGCAGAGGGAGUUAAGCUUAGGAGUCGUCUUCCUCUGCUUAGUAGGAGUAUAUUACAAAAUCAUUUCAAGCGAGUUUUCCACAAUAUUUAUGAAUUUCCAGACAUAUUAUCAUCAUUAAAAUUUCCCAUAAAAAAACAGAUCAGAUGUUUUACUUUUUUAUCUUUUAAAUUUUCCAGAUUUAUAUUUCUUGUUUUUAUGCUGACUACGCUGUCACCGCCAUUCAUACUGAUCAUCAUAAGUAUGUAUGGUACAGAAAGUUAAAAGAUCGAGGGCCUCUUUGAUUUGCAAGGUUUCGGAAAUAUAGAAAUAGGAAAAACGCAUGAAUACAAUAGGAAUGCAUGUGCAAGAUCAAGGAUUGGAAAACAUUAAAAUUUUAUAGACUUGUGUUUGAUUUGCGGGAACAUGAGAAACAUGGAAAUCCUAACAAGCAUGGUCAAAUUAAAAGUUAAAUCGGAAGCAAAAGUAAAGUUACAAUGUUAUUAUGGCAUCUUCAAUAGUACUAAUAUUUUAUCUCUUUCUUUUUCUUUUUUAUUCUCUACUCUUACCCAAUGGACCCACAUGUCAAUCUUUAUUUAUUCUUGGUACCCGUGCAUAAGUUGUUACUUCUACAAGUGACUGGUACUAUCUUUUUUAUCUAUCUAUCCUCCACGUAGGACCAGUACCUGCUUAAUACCUCCUGUUGGAGACACCCUAAGUACCUUGCCUCGUUCUUUGUGCAAAGGAAUUGAAAAGUAGAGGUUCAAGUGGAUCAUUGAAAUCCUACGCUUUUCCUUUAAAAUUGAGCACGAAGGAAGAGUUCGGGCUUCUUUGGUUCACAGGAAUUAAAAAAUAUAGGAAUAUGAAAAAUGUAGGAUUAGAAUGCCAUGACAUGUUGAAUACUAUAGGAAUAAAAAACACAGGAUUUACUUGAAUACACAUGAUUUUGGAAUAGGAAUAGUGUCGUGCAAAGCAACAAAUUAUAUUCCUAUAGUUUUUCUGUGAAUGAGCUGCCGAACUUGUCGAUCAUACAUAGUGUCUUUGAUUCAAAGGAAUUUCAUAAGAAUAUUGUAGGAUUCUUGGGCCAAAAUUAGUGCGUCUUUGAUUCAAAGGAGUUUCAUAAGAAUAUUGUAGGAUUCUGUUUGCAGGGUUCAAAACCAUAUAUAUGACCUCUUAAUUGCUAUGGACUACUUUGCAUCUUGUUCUAAAUAAAUUUUUCCAUGUAGUCCAAUCUCAUGGAAAAAAAAAUUCUUUAUAGUUUUGAUUAAAAUUUGGCAUAACAUUCGAUGGCAGACUUAUAAAUAAACCGGACGGAGGAGUAUAUACGUGCUCAGAAUACGAGGUGAUUAACGAGAUUAAAGAUAACAUCCUCUCGUAUCCACCCGGAGAGUCUAGCUCUACUACCGUAGGAGGAAGCCGAAGGGGCGCAUGCCAGUAGUAGUACUACUGCCGAAGGUCCCUUGGCCUCUUUUCUCAUUUCACAUCCAGCUCUAGCUAGCAGCCUGCCUCCCUUGGCCUCCUCCUCUUCCCGUUCCUCUCCGGCUCCAUUGGCAACCACGGAGGCCGGAGCAGGGUUUCAUCCGGCAUCUGAUCUCCAGAGCUUAAGUAUGGAUCGGUACGUCAGCGAAGCUUAUCUUCUCCUCUCCUCUCCUCUUGAAUUCAUUAAGAUGUACUUACUUGUUUCCUUCCAUCUAUCCCUCGAGCAUAUAUGCAUUCGCUACAUCUCAUGGCUGGGUUAUUUCGAAAAAGAAUUAACUCGCUUUGUGCAUUGUGAAAAUCCAUCCAUGUCAUUUCAUGUGUGUAUGUAUCUGCAAUCUUGAACCCGGUGGUGCAUGGCUCAAUUUGUUAGUACGAUUUUUGUGAGAAUUAACAGUCGCGAGCACGUAUGGUUUCUCUGCUUCUUUCCACACUACUUUCACAAUAACAUGCAUGCUAUAUUUUGAUUAAUUUCAUUAACAUACUCUGUUUGGUUGCUUUAUUUGAGAACUAUAUUUGUUUGCUUUGUUUGAAAACUUUGCACAACAAAUAUUGUAUGUGUUGAUAUGUUAUAUGACGUGCAAUUAUUCAUUCAUGAAUUUGUUUGCUUUGUUUGAAAACUUUGCGAGGCAAUUAGUUGUGGAAAAUGCAUGGAUAUUUGGACUAGCACAAAAGAAUUGUUGAUAUUUUGCUACUAGUGGCCUACUGAUACUGAUUUAUCAUAUAAUUUCAAGAGUUAUUAUUCACGUUCACCAGUCUACACAAACAAAUAAACCAGCCGAUACGACCAAAACAAUAUUUCAACAAAUAUGUACUGAUAUGUUAAUGAUAGUUUUGUAACAUACCAAAACGAUUGCCUUUAUCUGUAUCAACCCAAUAGUGAGCUAUAAUGAAUUUCUUCAUAUGUAUUUACAUGCUUGGUUCGAUUUUGAAAUUGAUCCUGAUCUUGCAACUUAAUCAACUUUUAAAGUAUACAUUUUACUUUCUCUCAUUACAAUAGGGAUUUUAGUCAGUGUUUAUUUAUGUAUUUCUUAGUCAAACCAAGAAAACAGGGAAUUAUAAUGCUCGAUGAUUGGCAGUGUUGUAUUUUAUUUGGACUAGAAAUGACGAUCAAUACUAGUACCAAAAAACACGAGUUAGGAUGGGAUAACUUUCCAUCAGAGCCAUCCGAAAUCUUGAAUCCAAUACACAACUGUCCAUCUAAUGGUUAUGGAGAAAAAUAUUAGGCGCUCUCUUAGUCACUCUUGUAAUUUCUGCCUCCUAAUUAUAUUUACUCAAUAUCUACAUCCAAACAAAGCCUUAGUUAUUUACCUAUUUCAAAUUAAUAUCUCAUGCUUAACAAAAUUGUUCUUCAUGUGGUGGCAUUCUUUACUGACAAAAUGCAUUUCCUUGUUUUCGAAUAUCCAUGUAUAGAUAUAUAAAUUUCAUCCAAAGUGUACAACUAAGGCAAUCCAAUUUUUCCAGGACGCCAAACAUGAUUCUCCCUGUCUACAUGAACUCCCCCGAGCUUGCGACAAUUCUCGAGAUUAAUGCUGCUGGGACCGUGUCCGUGUACCUAACUGAGACGAGAAAGGUUCACACUAGGAAGCUACUUAGCGCGUAUGCUCAUGGAUACCCUGUACCACCACAGGCUCUUGUAUACAUCCGGCAACAUCACAAGGCAUUUCUCACCGAUGAGGCACUAGCACAGCUGAAGGCCGCUGAUCCAUAUGUACCUGGCAGCGCACCAACACGCGAAGAUGGUGAUGAAAGCCGUAUUUCCGCUGACACAGGUACACAAACUGCUGGAGCUUUGAGUUUUCUCCAGCAAAGCAUUGCUGAAAUGCCCAAGUUCGAUCUCGAUGAAAUUUGUAGGACAGGUCACCCUCAAGUUAAAGUUCACACUAGAAAGCUGACAGAAGAUUCAGACAUCCUUGAGGAGUACCCGCAGGAUGAAGAAUUCAUGAAGACAUUAGAGUCAGUGUUCAAAACAAUUGGAGCUCCAUGUUAUGAUAAUGAGGGUUUAUUGGCCAUAGGUUCAUUGAGAAAAGCAGAGUAUUUCUUAAUGCCUGAUACCAUACAAUUUGAGCCAUGUGCAGUUGGUAACAUCUGCAGAGGAUUUGCAUUUUGGAAGCCUGACGUGGAGCUAGUUGCUCAGGUAUACGCGUUGGCGAAAGCGCAGGCACUGCAGCUUGGCAUCUCAGGGCAGAGACAAAUUAAAUGGGCAGUUUUGCGAACCCAGGCAUUUUCUGCUGGCUGGUAUCAUGGACAGAAAUAUUCAAGGUUUUGUUUGCCACCAAAGAACUCGGUUGACAUUUAUGCGGCCGACACGGUAGCAAUCGAGAAAUACCUUUCUGAUGCUUGGAAGCUUGCCUGCUUCCUACCGUUUCUCCAUGAGUUUGCGUUCCGAACCACUGGGAGCAUGUGGGAUUCCUACAAUGCACCUAAAUAUGAAGGUAGAGCAAGAAAGUUUGCUGUUUCAACAUCGGUUGGUCAUUGUCUGUCUUACCUGACAGGGAAGGAUCUCUACGGUCCUGCUCUGCAAUGGAUCGGUGUUGAGAUGCCAAUGAAGCUUCUUCAGAGAAAAGUUGGGCGUUAUGCGAUACCUGCAGUUUUCGCUAUCCGAACAAAAGCAGCUCCUGCUGGUAAAGUUCUGAUUACUACUACUCAAGCUGUUUUAAAACAGAUGAUGACUCUGGACUGCUGGGAAUCCUUACAGAAGAUGUAUGAUUUCAAACUAUACAAUUGUUAGUGAAGCGGCAGGCAAGAUUCAAGCAAACCCUUGGAGGUACCAUGAAUCGACAGAGCCUUAUAACUUGGAACUUUUAAGUGAAGAAGAACGACUCGAGGUAGCUGCAGCUGGAAAAUGUGCUGAAGAUUAUGCAAAGGUAACCUUUGCGUUUACUCAGACUGUGAUGAAAGGCUCCUAUCCGUUGCCAGGUUAUCAUGCACUUAAGAGGCAUGCUCAUGUGAAUGGUUUAAUUUAUCGGCACCAUAAGAAGCUAUUUGCUUCAAUCAAGAAGAAUAUAGCCGCUGCCGAUAUCGGUAAAACGGUUGUAGCUGAUGCAUCUGGUAUUCCUCGGGAGCAUGUUACCGGAACACAUUUCCCGGGCACUUGAGCGCCUUCAUCGGUAUCCUGGCCGGAUAACCAUCGUCUAAACUGGCAUGUUUUGGAGUACUUAAUUAGAUGGCUAUGCUGUCAUGUUAAUUAUGUUAUGUUUGUCGAACAGCUCGUGUCGUUUGUGAGACGCAGUUGGUUAUUUGCUGAACAAUUAUUGUCUACGGCGACAUGUUUCAGAUAGAACGUUUCUCCUGUACUACCUAACAGCGAGUAUUAAGGAAGGGCAUGAUGGACUUUUCACAUUAAAAGAAAAAGAAAAAAAAACGUACUCCGCAUCAGAUUUCUCCUUCCCAGAGUUGAUCCCGAUCCGCCACCCUCUGAAUCACCGGCGGCGCCCUCCGCAGUCCUUGCCCUCGUCCAGUGCGCCGCCGCCGAAUGCCACCCAGUCCGCGCCGGCGACCUCGGCACCCUCCUCGUCUCCGCCCAGCCCGCGCAGCCGCCGCCGCUCUCCACCCAGCGACGGUGGAGAGGUUCAGGGCGUCGUGCCGCACGCCGGCGACGUCCAUCUCGGAGAGCUUCUUCAGCUUCUUGCAGAACUUCCUCGCUGACAGCAACAGGAGGCAGGAGAUGGCGUACUCUGUUCCUGGGGCUCGCGUCCAGCAGCUGCGUGAGGUCUUGUCCGGUCGCCGGGCAUCCGCUCAUCAGCAUCGCCGCCGGUGCCACACCUGUUCGGUGGCCGCGGCCGCCGCAGCACCGGACGCGGCGGCGGAUGGAGAUCGGGAGGCGGUCUGCGGCCGCAGAGGGAGGUUGGGAGGCGGCGGAGGGCCCUCGGGAGACGGUCUGCGGCGGUGAACGUGGGAAUUUUUUGCCACACUGGCCCUGGCUAACUUUUUUGACAAAUUUUGGCCCCACGGAAAGACUUUCCGCCAGUGGCCUUUCCUUCAAUGCCAUUAGCGGAAGGGACUAAAAGCGCUUUUCGAAAUAACUGCACAAACACAAAUACUACAUGUGUACCGCUACAGUGCAUACUCAUUUCAUCAAUGCCAUUGGCGGGAAGUCCACAUGUCUCUUUCUGGGCUUCUCGUCAGGCUAGUUUUGUCAAUAAUUUUCAGAGGAGAUCAGUAUUACAAAAAUGUUGGUCAGGGGCCACUGCUGCAAAAAAUUCUGAACGUGGAGAGAAGAGAGAACGGGAAAAAUAAGAAAGUGACGGGAAAUUGUUUACGUUUUUACCCCCGUCGGUCAGUACUCCGUCCGCUUACUCCACAAUUCCAGAUUAGAAUAUCAAAGAGUAGCAAUUCAUUCGAGCCCUUAGAUCAAAACAAACGAUCGGACCUAAUUAAUUUCGGGUUACCGUAAAAAAACUCUUCAGAGAUAUAUAGAUGUUGCAGGCUUGUGCGUUUAAGAUAUGUUCCGGACAUGGUGGUGCUUAUUUUGAGUUAGCUUGAUAUCAUAUAUCACGCAUGUUGUUGCAGUUUUGUUGUUUGCUCUGACUAGCACGGUGUCUCACACAGUCCCACAGUAAUGUCGUUAGUCAUUUUUGUGCCUUUAACUUAAAUAUAUAUGAAUGCAAGUCUAGUAUAUAUAAAUAAUACAAACUUACGUUUCAAAAGAUGGUACAGUUUUGACAUGUACGUCAUAUUAUAAAAAAGAAGAAAAGUGAAUAUGUUCCAAUGCCACUAGUACUACAUUUUUGUAGAGUAUAAAACAUGUUUGCUAGUUGUCUCAACAUAGUGCGGGUAUAGCUCUUCACGGUGAACUUUAAUUCCUCCAAUAAAACAGGUGCGGUUAUUAGCCGUCGGCUAGUUGUCUCAAUCGUAGCCUUAGCAUAAAACAGGUGCGGUUAUUAGCCGACGGCUAGUUGUCUCAAUCAUAGCCUUUAAUUUGUUUUGUAGAGUUGAUGCAGACUUCUAAAAUUUCUCAGAGAGGAUAAAUCAGGUGCGGUUAUUAGCCCGCCGGCUAGUUGUACUCUCAAUCAUACAUAGCCUUUAAUUUGUUUUAUAGAGUUGAUGCAGACUUCUAAAAUUUCUCGGAGGGGAUAAAACAGGUGCGGUUAUUAGCCGCCGGGUAGUUGUCUCAAUCAUAACCUUUAAUUUGUUUUAUAGAGUUGAUGCAGACUUCUGGAAUUUCUCAGAAAGCAUAAAACAGGUGCGGUGGUUAUUAACCCGCCGGCUAGUUGUCUCAAUCAUAACCUUUAAUUUGUUUUGUAGAGUUGAUGCAGACUUCUAAAAUUUCUCAGAAAGCAUACUAUUGAAAUAUCAUCUCUUCUCUUUUUUGACACUAUUUACGUCUGAUUUGUCUUAUUUUUAAGAUGGAUUGGAUUUAAUUAGUUUGAAAUUUCUUAGAAUUAUAAGCGCAUAUCUUGUUGACUCUCUCGAUUUAAUUUCAUCAAAAAAUACCCCCUCAAAUCCUAAAAUCUUUGAACUAAAACAACGUCGACAAUAAUUUAGAACCAGAGGGAGCAACUUUUUAUGGGUGUUACGCACACCGUAACAUCCAAAGGAAUGGAAGCACUGCACGCAUCCUUAACUAAUUAAGUUGGUUGUUACGUGUGGCUGGCUGGCUCUCGUACAUGAUUUGCGUGAUAUAAAAUGGAAAGGAGCGUGAGAGCAAGGGUUGGUACUACACAGCAGCUAGCUCUCUGUCGUCCGGCUCUUCCUCCGCACUUGACGACGCCCAACUUCCUACAAGGAAAUAAGUAGAUCUCUAAUGGGCGUGGACGAGGUGAAGUUGAAGGUGGUGGAGUCAUGCAUCGUGACUCCAAGCGAGGAGACGCCUAGGCAUGCCCUGUGGCUCUCCUCGCUCGAUGUCACCAUGUCCAACACCGGAUACACUCCGACCGCCUAUUGCUACCGCCCCGAGUCCGGCGUCCACGACGACGACUUUUUCGACGUGCCUAGGGUGAAGGCGGCCAUGGCCAAGGCUCUCGUUGCCUUCUACCCACUGGCGGGCCGUCUCGGCAUGGAUGGCAACGGCCGUCUAGAGAUCGACUGCGCUGGCCAAGGCGCGCUCUUCGUCGUCGCUCGCUCCGAUCUCACCGUCGACCUCAGCAACUUUGAACCGUCGCAGGAGCUAAGGAAUCUCCUUGUCCCCCCCGCCGAGGACUAUCCGGGCUUGCUAUGCGCCAUUCAAGUCGCCUUCUUCAAGUCCGGCGGGGUGAUCUUAGGGACCGCGCUGCACCAUUCCGCCAUAGACGCCGUCAGCGCGUUCCACUUCUUCCAGACGUGGUCUGCCUUUUGCAGGGAUGGCGAUAAUGCCGCCGCGGUGCUCGGACUUCCAUGUCAUGACCGCACGCUCCUCCGUGCACGCUCCCCGCCCAUCGUCCACCCAGAUGCUCUCAAUUGUUCUUCCCCAAGCUAGAUCCAUCCGAGCUGCCGUCAUCGGGAUUACCCGUGGUCCGCAAGGUUUUCGACUUCUCCAAGGACCAGGUUACCGCCGUUAAGCGUGCUUGCGGUGGUGGUGUGAGCACCUUCUGUGCCCUGAGCGCCCACGUGUGGCAGUGCGUGUGCGCCGCUCGCCGGCUACCGGCGGACGCCACGACGCUACUCACCUUCCUUGCCAACAUCCGGAGCCGCCUGAGCCCGCCGCUCCCGGGCGCCUAUUUCGGCAACGGGAUCAUCACGAUGGGCUCUUCUUGCGAGGUGCGGGAAAUCACCUCGGAGGCAGUGGCCUCCGUUGCCGAACGGAUCAAAGGCGUGAUCCGUCGGAUGGAUGACGAGCUAGUCCGUUCGGCGAUAGACUACUUGGAGCUGGACAUAGGAAAUUCGCCGCCGCCGCCGCAAGCUCCAGGUCUGGGUGGCAUUCCAGGGACUGGGCUGAGUGUGGUCAGUUGGCUAGGCAUGGGGAUGUGCGACGCGGAUUUCGGGUGGGGGAAGCCGCUAGGGAUGACGUCGAUGCGUGCCGGCGAAGGGCGCGCCGGGUACGUCUACCUCUUGGAUAAUGACGGGGACGGGGGCGGCGGGGUGCGUGUCCUCGUAUUUCUGGAGGCUGCAUUUCUCGACGAUUUCCAGCGCCUGCUAUGUGCUGACUUCCUCUGACCAAAGCCUCAAUUUACAUGAUUAAUAAGAUUUGAGUUAGCGAAUCCUUGUGGUGAAACCGGCACACCCAUGUUCAAGCCUCCGAUUUGACAUGGGUGCUUGCAUUUCCCUGUAGGGGUAGGAUGUGCGUGCGUGCGUCAUAGGGGUGAGUGUGUGCGCGCUUGUGAGCGUCUGAGUCUGUACUGUGUUUCCUCAAAAAAAUAAAAAUAAGAUUCGAGUUAUCUUCCAGCUCCCUGCUAUGUAUGUGCUGACUUCUUCUACCUUUUGUUGUAUUUUGUUCUCAAAUUUGAUAAUGAAUUUAUUGACCAUCCUUAUAGUUAGUAUUAAUCUUGAUUCGUGUAUGCUGCAUGUUUUAGUUAUAUUUGCAUGUAGUUUAAUUAGGAGUUUGUUUUUGGGCUAAAGGGCAACGAGACAAGAUGCCGAGGGGUGUCGUGCCAUGCCACACGGAGGAGCCGUCGUUGUGCAAUGAGAAACGGUGUGGGGCGCUGCUGUUCUGGAGAGAUUCCAGGAGCAAUUAGACGUGAGUUAGUAGUGGUGUAUGGCUUGAGUAUGACGACGAGGUUAACGUAUUAGUGGUGUAUGGCUUGAGUUUAGAGAUUAGUGGCCCGAGAUUGGUUACAAUAUUAUCACGUUGGUUUAACAAAAAGAGAAGAGAGAGGAGAAAAUGCGUGAGGAAGUGCGUCACCAAAACCAUGCAAGUUGUAGUGAGAGUAUCUAUUCGGUCUUAAAAUAGAUGACAUUUUUCUUUUCGACUCCGCAGAGCCUCAAAAUGAUUAGUCCUAACUAAAAAAUCAUGAACAAUGCAAUUUGUGUGAAACUACUUUUUUGACACAUGGAUGUACUUAAAAAAAUCCCGAAAAGUGCUUUCUUAAUCUGUGGUUAGAAAAUAGUGUAGGGAGAUUUUGACCUACACAUAACUCAUCUAUCACAAUUAUUUCUACCGCAGUGACAUCUAAUUUUCACCCACCACUACUGGAGACUUGGCCGGGCCGGCGAUGGAGAUGGAGAAGAAGAAGAUAAGGUGUGAUGCAUUAAUUUAUCUUCUUCUAAACCAUCUCCCAGAGGGAGGUGAUCGAUUCUAACCUAUGACUUCUUAAAAAGAAAAGUUGGUCUCAAAUAUAAAAGGGGUGAUGCCACUAACGUCUCAAAGGUAAAAGUUUGACUCCACUAACUAUUAAAGCAACGACUCCUUGCAUUUUCAACGGAGAUCGACCAAACCAUCAAUCCGUCAUGACCGGAGUUCCGAACCAUCCUAGAAAGAGGAGCUAAAAAGCAUCCGGUUUAAGAAAACAUAGCCUAUAAGGCCCUGCUUUGUACUCAGAGGAUUGGUACAACAGUUCAACUUUGAAGGGAGCUGAACUAAAUAUCAUUAGUCCCUCUUAUAAAAAUUAUACAACAUACAAGCGGGACCGAGAGGAGAAUUUUACAAUAUCAUGGGAUAUAUCAAAAAGAUAAUCGAACUGUUGGCAAAACAUUUUUGCUAUUUCUUAGACGACUGAGAAAUAACUAUUUCUUAGUCUACGAUAACAACAUUUUGAUUCAAUCAUUGAGAUUCGUGUAAGAUUAAUGUAGGUUCAAUGGAUACGAAAAUCUUCAUUGGAUGGCUACUAUUGUCAACAGAGAAAUAACUAUUUCUUAGACAACUGAUAAAUAGACAUUUCCUCAGCAAAAUCAUUUAGUCCUUUUAACUCUCUUUUUUCAUGUAUCUUGGUCAUGGUUUUAAAUAGCACGCUACUUUCUCGCUAAAGCGUCGCUAUAGCAUAUUUGAAAAUCUGACGCUACGUUUAAGCAAUUUUUCUCGCUAUGCCGCUAUUGUCGCUAUUAGUACGCUAAAUGGAGCUAAACGCUAUUUGCUAUAUGGUCGCUAAAUAUUUUAGCGUCCAAAACCCAAAUAGUACCACGUGGACCUAAAGACCAGGCUCGAAAUCUCUCAGUCUCAGUCUCUCAAAUGUAACCGGCUCCACCAUGAUGGCGGAGGGAGCAGAUCCUCUAGCUCGUGACCGGCAGUGGUGGCGACGACUUCUUCCUCCAACUCGCAACAGGCCUCCUUUCCUCCAGCUCGCGAACAGCGGCAACACCUCCAGUGCUCCGAUAAUGCUUCAUAUUUUUGUUUCUGUCAUGGAUUUGGUCUUGUAAAUGAUUGGAGAACUUUUUAGUACGUUGUUAUGAUGAAACUUUUAAUUUUGGGCUAUAUUCGAUUCAUAUAUUUUACAAAACGCUAUUUGAAAUAGUGUGCGCUAUAGCACUCUAUAGCGUUUAUAGCAUCUGGAGGAGACCGACGCUAAAUGUCAUGGGGCUAUUUAAAACCAUGAUCUUGGUCCCUCGGUCUUCCGAAACCGGGCAACUUCGGUCCCUCACACAUCUUGAAGUGCUUUCGUCAAUGAUGUGGCACAGACCAUAGUUUUGUCCCAAGCUCGUUGUCUCGUCAGUUUCUUCUUCCUUUAUUGCUUUUAUUAUGGCACCGGAAGCAAAAGAAAGUACCAGAAACUCUGCCCAAGCACCCAAUGCAUGUCAUCUGCAAAAGAAAAAAAAGUUUUUUUUUUCUCCAAGCACUCAUGCACCAAGCAAACAGCUGAUCUAGGCAGCUUCGAGGGAAGCUCCAGUCCAGCCAUGAAGCCACCAAGGCACCAACCAGCCAUGCGCACAUUGCCUUUGUAGUUGUAGUCCUGUACUAGGUACGUACUCUGCCCGUGCUGUUUACAUGCAUUUCGUCCAUGGAGACGAGACGGAGAAUGGCCUGCUCUUCUUGAUACAUAUUGAAUGGUGACCCAGAAUGUCAGAAUCAUAUAAUGCAAGUGGCCUGUACUAGUAUGUAUGUACGCAUGCAUCUCCAAGAUAUGAUGGAUUACCCAACAGAAGAAGAGAAAGUGGAGAAGAGAAGACGAAAGGGGAAAAAAUCUUGGCUGCUGCAGUACUGCUAACUACACCGCGCGGGCAGCUUCGAGGGAAGACAAAAUCCCCGAUUCCCAAGCGAGCAUCUUCUUCCUCAGGGCACCAAGCAAACAGCUGAUCCUAGCAGCCAGGCAGCUUCGAGGGAAGCUCCAACCAACCAACCGUACUAGGUGCUCUGCCGUGCCGUUCACAUGCAUUUCGUCCUUGUGAACCAACCCAAGGAGACGAGACCGAGAAUGGCCUGCUCUUCUUGGUGCAUUCAUUGAAUGGUGACCCAGAAAGUCAGAAUCAUGCUAGUGGCCUGUACAGCUAUGUAUGUACGCAAGCAUCUCCAAGAUGGAUUACUGGCGAAAUGGAAUGCAACACGAGGCUUAGCUUGACUGGCGGCUUGGCUUGCAACCGGCAUUAUCUUUCUUACACACCAAUCAUGACCGACCGCGUGCAGCAAGUUGCCGGAAGAAAGCAAAGCAGCAUGAUUAUCUGAAAAAGAGGUAAAUGCACCGUCAGUCUAUUAACCUGGCGCGUACGUGCAGAUUAGUCACCGUACUUGCAAAAUGCUAAAUUCAAGUGUUAUAACUUGACACGUAUGAGCACGUGAGGUCAAAAAUACGAAUUCAUAUGUUUCUACGCUGACGUGGACUAAAACAAUUUGACUUAUUUACAAAAAAACACCUUGAAUUAAUAUGCGAGGGGUUAAUUGCAAAAUCACGACGAAUGAAAAAAAAGAGGUUUCAUUUUCUUCUUCCUCUAAAUCCCUAGCCAGAGGCCUCCCAGGCCCGAGGCGGCUGACCUCCUGCAGCGCGUGACCACCGUCUUCACCACCCCCGGUGACGCCUACCUUCCUCCCGCGCCUCCUGAAGCUCCUCCGCUGCAUCGCGCGACCUGCAUCUCCCGUCGCACGUACUGCAAGGGCGGGCAGAUCCCAUCAGAGCUGUGCGUGCCGGGGAGAGGCAGCUGAGCCUGACGAACAAGCUCCUACCAGAGCUCUCCUACCUCGACCUGUCCACCAACCGCCUCACCGGCAUCAUCCCGGUGACGCUCUUCUACAACUGCUCCGCGUUGCAGUACAUGGACCUCGCCUACAUCUCCUUCGUCGGCGACAUCCCCUAUGCCGACAAGUGCCACCUCCUUAGCCUCCGGUAUCUCUGCCUUUGGUCGAACUACCUCUCCGAUCCGGCCCGAUCUCACCAGCGAUUCCCAACUCUACGGCACUUAAGUGGGUUGCCCUCAAGUUCAACUAACUCCGCAGCAUUGUGUUGGCCUACAUCUCCCGACGCAAGUAAUGCAAGCUCAGCGAGUUCGUUGCCGGCGUUGGGCCCCAUCGUCGAAAUGCUGGCCACCUCUCUGGAACCUCUACCUCCUCUCCUUCACCGCCAACUUCAAGACGAAGUUGCUGCAGCACACCUUCCUGGAGAUGCCCGCCCGAUGGCUCGGCGGCGGCAGCCCCGAUGAGCCCGCCGUGGCCGCGGACAGCCUCGUGUUUGAGGAUGUGGUGAAGAGGAUGUGUUCCAUGUUGAGACUAGAAGAGAAGGGGCUAUUUGCAAACAUUACAUGGCGGCAUGUCCAUGUGGUUGUCCACGUCAGCUUCGAAACCUACAUAUUCGUAUUUUUGACCUCGUGUGCUCAUACGUGCCAAGUUAUAACACUCGAAUUUAGCAUUUUGCAAGUACAGUGACUCACAUACGCGCCAAGUUAAUGGACUGAUGAUGCAUUUACCUCUCCGAAAAAACAGUUAAUGAACCACUGCUGCAGGAGCCGCCGGAACCAGCAGCUAUAUGCCGAGGAAACGUUUGGGUCUUCAGUAAGCAACAGCACGCUAGUCUCCUCAUCCUCCGUUGAUUGCUCAGCCCUUGAUUGAUCUCUUCGCCCUACUGGAACUAUCGAGCUGUAAGCAUCUCGGUCGGUCAUCUUGUUUGUAUAUUUAUAUGCUUUUCCAUCUCCAUUUAAUCUAUGUGUUUCCGGCUGCAAUUUGUGAUACUUGGGGAGUUGGGGCCUUUCUGAUCUGAUCAGAGUGCAUCUCAUCCUUGUCUGAAGGAACUUUAUAUUCUGCAUUUUCCUUGAGGAUAUAUAGUCUGAAUUUCUUGAGAGAGAGAGAGAGCGAUCGUGUCUUGUUCUUGCCACGUCGGCUCAGUUUGGCAUUCUUGAACCAUGUUGUGCUGAAUUUAUUUUAUAAUUUGUUCUGAGAAAAUACACACAAAACAGGCAAAAGUUGGUUAGCCAAACACAAAAAAAAAGGACAAGGUGGUUAAAAAAGUUGGAUUAUCAUGAUCCACCUCAAUGCCAAACUCACCCUUAGAAAGAUAAACUGGAUUCCAUUUCCAACUCGUGAGGGUAUUAAUUUUGGUGAAAUUUCGCUAUGCCCCAGAAUUUCAAACUAAUUUAAGCCUAACCCAAAAAAAGCUUAUGUAAACUCGCUAUAUCCUAGAGUCCAGUAUCUUGUUCUUAUUUAUUCAAUGGGAACCCAGUAAUUAACUUGUGCUGGACAAAUCCUGCUACAGUUUCGAUAAAUUUUGGUGGAAUUUCAAACACCCACCACUAACUGUUUCUGAAAUUUCGAUCAUUUUGGUGGUUACCGAAAUUUUACACCUAGUAAACCACCCUUCAAAAUUGGACAGAGAGCUAUCUGAUUUGGUUUUGGAAAAUCAGAUUAGAGGGUAUAUUUCUUGGUUUUGGACAGAGAGCUAAAGUACUUGCUUGUGAGUGCCAACAGGCUGACAGGUAGGUUUCAACAAGCCAUCUUAAAUAUUUCUACUCUUGUUGAUCUUGGUCUUGCUGCUAAUCAAAUAACUGGGGAGUUACCGUCUAAUCUCGGCAACCAUCUACCCAAUCUCCAACGUCUCUUUUUAGCCGCCAACUUAUUCCAAGGGUAUAUCCCCAAUUUGUUUAUAAAUGCUUCGAAGCUAACCCUUCUUGAUAUGUCAAGAAAUAAUUUGACAGGGGUGGUGCCAAGCUCCAUUGGUAAACUAACCAAACUGUCCUGGUUAAAUCUAGAGUUCAAUAAAGUCGAAACACAUAACAAGCAAGAUUGGGACUUCAUGGACAGCUUAGCCAAUUGCACAGAGCUACGAAUAUUCUCGAUGAGUGGAAAUCGUCUUGAAGGCCAUAUACCAGCUUCACUGGGUAACCUUUCUGUUAAUCUCCAGAUUCUAUAUUUGGGACACAAUGAAUUAUCAGGCAAUUUUCCGGCUAGGUUAGCCCCUCUUCCCAACAUGAGUAGUUUAGGACUCGAAAGGAACCAUUUUAUGGGUGUACUUCCUGAAUGGAUCGGGAAUCUUAAGAAUAUACAGAGCAUGCAAUUACAAGACAACAAAUUUACUGGUUUUGUUCCAGAAUCAAUUUCAAAUUUGUCUUUGUUGGGGCUAAUCUAUCUAGACAAUAAGUUUCGUGGUCACCUACCCACGAGCCUUGGGAACCUCCGAAUGCUUCAAACAUUUUCAAUUUUCAACAAUGGCUUUACUGGUGGAGUACCAACUGACAUCUUUCGAAUUCCAACACUAUACGACAUUGAUUUAUCUUUCAAUAACCUUGUUGGACAACUUCCUACCGACAUUGGCACUGCCAAACAACUCGUAAAUUUGGCACUUUCGUCAAAUUAUAAACUAUCUGGAGAUGUUCCAAACACUCUAGGUAAUUGUGAAAGCUUGGAAAAUAUUCUGUUGGGCUCAAAUAUUUUCAGGGGCCUAAAAGUUCUAAACUUUUCAAACAAUAACCUAACUGGGCCAAUACCAGCAUAUCUUGGAAACUUAAAACUUCUUGAGAAACUUGAUCUGUCAUUCAACCAUCUUGAGGGGGAGGUCCCAAAAAAUGGAAUCUUCAGCAAUGCAACUUCCAUAAAGAUUGAUGCAAAUCAUGGGCUUUCUGGUGGGAUACAGGAGCUACACCUACUUGCUUGUUCGGUUAUGCCUUCAAAUUCGUCUAGGCACAAGCUUACCUUUGUACUUAAACUAGUAAUCCCAGUGGUCAGCAUGGUGUCACUUGCUAUGGUCAUAGUUCUCCUAUUGUUCUGGGGGAGGAAACAGAAAAAGAAAUCUCUGUCUUUGCCAUCAUAUGGUAGGGAAUUUCCUGAAGAUUCUUUCAUUGAUCUAGCCAGAGCAACAGAUGGGUUCUCAACAGCUAAGAUGAUUGGCAGAGAGACAUAUGGUUCUGUGUAUGAAGGGAAACUAUUUCCAGAUGGAAAUUAUGUUGCCAUAAAAGUCUUCAACCUGGAGACAACGGGAUCGCAAAAAGCUUCAUUACGGAAUGUAAUGCUUUAAGAAGUGUGCGGCACCGUAAUUUGGUCCAUGUAUUAACUGCAUGCUCAAGCAUUGACUCGAAUGGGAAUGAUUUCAAAGCUCUAGUGUAUGAGUUCAUGCCUCGAGGAGAGUUGCAUAAACUACUGUACUCUAUUCAAAAUGAAAGCACUUCUGAGUUGAGCCAUAUUACAGUAUGUUGGAGAAUACAAUGCAAGCUUCUAGAGUGUUCUCAAUAUUACAAGAAAGAAGACAUUACUAUGGAAUACUCUAGAAUAUAAAAUAAUAAAAGAGGGAACCUUCUAGUAUUUAGAUAUGCAUGAAGAAUUAUGUAGAAGCUUUGGAAUACUCUAGAAUAGGAGUUUAAAAUAAAUAAAUAGGAAACCUUCUAGUACCUAGAUAUUUAUGUACAAGUGUGUGGAAGGCUUUAGAUAUUUUGUAUCAAUGGCUAAGAUUUUGACACAUGUCAAAGAUCCAAUGGCCAUGUAGUCCUAUAAAUAGAGGCCCUUACCUCACACCUUGAGUAGUAAAGAAUAAGGAAGUGAAGAAGGUGGAGAACAAGGUGUGAGCAAGUGUAAGGUGUGUAUGCUCUCUCUUGUACUAAUAUUCCUAAAGCAAUAUAGUAUUACUUUGUUCAUAUAAGUCUCCCGGUUAGGCUUUGUUAUUUCUAAGUACUUAGUGCAUAUAAGUUGUGAUUUAACGUGAGCGGAUUCGCCCGGAAUCACAAUGGUCUUGUUUCAACGUGAGUGGCUCUGCCGCCCGGAUUCAAGACUUGCUUUAACGUGAGUGGCUUUGCCGCCCGGAAGCUUGCACUAAGUAAGUAGAAAUAAAAAGAGACUAAUCAACUACACCAAAGUAGUUGGUAUAGGUGAAUAGGCCCUCUCGUAGUGUGUUAGGUCCACCUCGAAAUCUCUACACAGUAUCUCAAAGGCUAAGCAUUGUUGUGGAUGUAGCAGAUGCAUUGGAGUACCUACACCAUAACAGCCAAAGAUUAACAGCCUAGCAACAUUCUUUUGGAUGACAAUUUGACAGCUCAUGUUGGAGAGUUUGGUCUUGCAAGGUGCAAAGUUGAUUCAGCGGUGCCAAAUCCUGCUGACUCAUACUCGACUUCUUCCAUUGCAAUAAGGGGAACCAUUGGAUACGUUGCUCCAGGUACCAUUGAUUUUUCAGAUCACAUUAUCCUACUCAUUAAAUUGGGAAUGACUUCUGUUCAUGCUAACAAUUUGAUUAAAUUUUUCUUGCGUGUGGACAACAGAGUGUGCAACAGGCGGCCAAGUUUCGAGAGCCAGCGAUGUCUAUAGCUUUGGAAUCAUUCUACUUGAAAUAUUCUUAUGGAAGAGGCCGAUAGAUGAUAUGUUUAAAGAUGGACUGAACAUUGCCAAAUUCGUCGAGAUGAACUUUCCAGCGAGGAUAGCACAGAUUAUUGACCCUGAAUUACUUCAAGAUCCCAUGGCCACGAAGGAAAGUUACUGGGAAUUUUUAGUCUCACUGCUAAACAUUGGACUUUGCUGCACCAAGUUGUCGCCCAACGAGCGCCCCAUCAUGCAGGAAGUGGCUCCAAGGCUGCAUGGAAUUAAGGAGUCAUAUCUCAGAGGGAACCAAGGUACACACUAGUUUGGUCUUUGGUGCAGGUUUAACACCGGUUACACAUUUUAUGAUUUGAGUUGCGUACAAACUGUAAUACUUCUAAAUGAUUGCAUUGUUUGCUUGUAGCUCUCUAGCAUCCGCACGGAACCCUUUGUGGAUGAGUUUCAUUCAGUAUGUGGGGAUGGUUUAGAUUUUAGAAAAAAUAAGGUGGUAACUAUCAUCAACUUCAAUUGGAACACAGCAUUGAGGUGCAGCUAGUGUCUUUGUUGUUAAGGAAAUUAAGGUUGUUCCAUCCACACAAUGCUAAUGGUUACCCCAAGUUUGGUUCCAUUGGAUGCACCUGGUAUUCAGAAGGCAGACCUUUUGUUUCCUCAAGAUGCUGUGGAGAAUGGAAAAUAAUUCUCAGCGAGUCCAAUGCUGCUGCAACCCAGGCAUUUCAUUUAGAUGUAUUUGCCAAGUUUUAGCCUUUUAGUUGCGAGAAACAAAUCGAGUUAAUUAUGGCCCUAUCUUUGUAGCAUUGUAGCACAAACCUGCCUAUGGAUGCAUUGUGACUGCCGUGAUAAAUUAAUUUUGUAUGCAACAUGGAAAACUAAAGGCUGGUAGAUAUACGUCCUUCUAGAGAUUUAUUGUAAUGCUAUCCGCUUUUAUAAAACAAAAGCCUGCCCUUUGCUCAGCAGUGCUUUGUUUUUCCUGCAUAGUUCUACACCUAAAAGUGGCAAUAAUUCCUUUCCUCAAGUGUCAUAUUCUUUCAUGGUCAUGUACUCAUGUCACAGGGAGGACAUGUUUGCGAGAGGUUCUGUGGUCUAUGGUUUGCCAUCUAAUUGAGCAAUAGUCCGUGAUGAUGUGGGCUUUUUUUAAGGAAACUGUGGGAAACCCCAGAUGGUAGUAUUACACAUCCAGUCCCCCAACCUUACUUCCUGAUGAUGUGGGAUUACAGGAAGCCGAGCUAAAUUUGCUUGUAGUUUUGGGACCUGCUAUUUCCGGUUUCUUUAGCUUACAAAGUAAAACCUAAUUAAACAUUUUCUUCCCACUUAAGGAAAAAGCAGAGCACCUCUUACUUCCCGUAAAUAAAGCAGAGCACCUCUUCCACCGGCGCGUCCCCUCCACGCAGCUUUCCCCUCUCCAUGCAAUGAUGCAGGUUGUCCCCUCCUCAUAGUUGUAAUUAACUGUAAAAUGGAUGCUAAAAUCUGUCUUUGCUUCGUCUCAAUUAACUGUAAAAUGGUUCGGUGGGACUUGGAGGAGGCUGCUUAUAAAAUGACUUUGGUCUCAAAGAUGUGAAGUUUGAUUCCACUAACAUUUAAAUUAAUUAACCCCUACACUUUCCGGAUGGAGAGUUGGUGGCCAGACCAUUCUGAAUUUAAGAGAUUCUGAUGACCUGAGUUCCAAUCCAGCUUAAAGGGAAAAAUUGCUUUCUGUAAAGCUGGGGCAAAAAGCCUUAUUUCUAAAAUAAAAGCAGCCUAUAAUGUGGAACAUUUCAAAACACAAAAGGUCAAAAGCUAGCAUGCCUUUGCUUAAUUUUUUCAAGUCACUGACUCACUGAGGCAUGAAUCAAGAUGCACAAAAUUCGCUAAACUGGUCUUAUUUUACUACUUCAAAAAGGUCCCGGAUUAGGAGCGGUAGACCCCUAUAAAUCAGAUCCUGUAAAUCAAGGAUGAAGCAGUUCUCAGUCUGGUAAUUAAGCAGCAAGAAGUUUUUGCUAUCAAUUGAUUGAUCCCCAAUCAGGCAAAGCAAAAGAGUUUCGAUUAUAAUCAAGGUCAAGAAACUCAAGUAGCAGAGAACCAUAUAAGGUACGUCUUUCGACAUAUGAAUAUGUGAUUAUCUACCAAUAUUUGUGUAAUUCUGAACCUUCACGGUUCUUUGGGAAAUUUCAGUUGCACGCAUGCAAGUACAUAAGGCCGAUCAGAACUAUUUGUGUCCCAGCUGCUUCAAGAACAUAGAUGAAUCUUAGCUAACAUUAACAAUAUAUUCCCUUCUUUAUGUCUGAUAUUUGAUAUUUCCCUUUUUUAAUCCAAUUUUUUCUUCGUUUUGCCCAUGCAUAAUAAAUAAAGGAGACAAGCAUGAAGGUUGAUACAACAAUCAAUUUGCUUGUCAUGGUGCUGAUGGCUGCCCGUGCAUAUGGUAUCACCUGCAGCUCCUUGUUUGGAAAUGAGACAGACAUGUUGUCACUGCUUGAAUUCAAGAACGCAAUCAGUGCCGAUCCACAGCAAGCCUUGAUGUCAUGGAAUGAAAGUACCCACAUCUGUAAUUGGGAAGGUGUUCGUUGCAGGAUGAAGAAUCCACAUCGGGUCACUAGUCUUGACCUUGAGCACCAAGGUUUGGUAGGGCAAAUCUCCCCUUCACUUGCCAACCUAACAUUCCUGAAAACGCUGAUCCUGUUGGAUAACAGCUUCACCGAUCCCCCCUUCCCUUGGUCGUCUGCGUCGCCUACGAUAUCUAUUCCUUAGUAACAACACAUUGCAAGGAGGGAUACCUAGUUUCUCAAACUGUUCCAGUCUCAAGGUUCUUUUGCUGAAUGGCAAUCAUUUAGCUGGGCAAAUUCCUAUAGGUUGGCCUUCUAAACUUGAAGAUAUGAAUCUUUCAGCUAAUAAUCUUACCGGAAUACUACCUGCUUCUCUUGCUAAUCUCACAAUGCUGAAUGAUUUUAGAUGUUUAUUCAAUAAUAUCAAGGGUGUCAUACCGAAUGAGUUUGCGAAGUUCCGCAGGCUGCACAUCUUCUAUGUUGGAAUCAAUAGGUUGUCAGGGAGGUUUCCACAAGCCAUGUUGAAUCUUUCUACGCUUGUUGAUCUUAGCCUUACACAGAACAGUUUCACCGGAGAGGUACCGUCCGACAUUGGUAACUAUCUACCUAAGCUCCAAAGACUCUUUUUAGCUAGUAACUUCUUUCAAUGGCAUAUCCCCCCUUCAUUGGUAAAUGCUUCCAAGCUAUCCCAGAUUGACAUAUCAAGAAAUAAUUUUACCGGGGUGAUGCCAGACUCUAUUGGCAAACUAAGCAAACUUUAUUGGUUAAAUCUAGAGCUCAAUAAACUUGAAGCACAUGAGAAUCAAGAUUGGGAGUUUAUGCACAGCUUAGCCAGCUGUAGUCACCUACGAGUUUUCUCGUUAAAUGGAAAUGUUUUCAAAGGUCAUGUACCAUCUUCAUUAGGUAACCUUUCUGUUAAGCUUGAAACAUUGAACUUGGGAGCCAAUAAAUUAUCAUGGAGUUUUCCUUUUGGCAUCGAAAAUUUUCUCAACCUAAUUCACUUGACAUUGGGAAUUAACCAACUUACUGGAGUGGUUCCUGGCUGGAUUGGGAGUCUAAAGAAGUUACAAUCAAUAGAUCUAAGUGACAAUAACUUUACAGGGUUUAUUCCAACAUCACUUUCAAAUUUGUCUUUGCUAGGGAAUCUCUACCUAUCCCAUAAUAACUCUGAUGGUCCCAUACCCCCAAGCCUGGGAAUCCUCCAAAUGCUUCAAGCAUUUUAUGCCUCCAACAAUAAUCUUCAUGGUAGAAUACCAAAGGAGAUCUUCAUAAUACAAACAAUAAUUGCAAUUGACUUAUCUUUCAACAACCUCGAUCGAGUUCCUGUUGACUUUGGCAAUGCCAGACAACUCUUAUAUUUGUCACUUUCAUCAAAUAAACUAUCUGGAGAUAUUCCAAACACUCUUGGAAAUGUUGAAAGCUUGCAGUACAUCAUGUUGGAUUCAAAUAUUUUCAGUGGAAGUAUCCCUACAUCAUUAGUGAAUAUACGAGGGCUAAAAUUUCUUAACUUUUAUAAUAAUAACUUAAGUGGGUCAAUACCAAUGUCUCUUGGCAACCUACAACUUCUUGAGCAACUAGAUUUGUCAUUCAACCAUCUUGAGGGAGAGGUCCCAACAAAUGGAAUCUUCAAGAAUGUAACUGCUAUGUGGCUUGGGGAAAAUCAAGGGCUUUGUGGUGGGAUUUUGGAGUUACAAUUGCAGGCAUGUUCUAUCAUGCAUUCAAAUUCAACAAAGCACAAGCUGUUUGUUGUGCUCAAAGUGGUAAUCCCAAUGGUCUUCAUGGUAUCACUUGCAAUGGUAAUACUUAUAUUAUUGUCGAGAGGGAAAAAGAAGACAAAAUCUAUGAUUUUGCCAUCAUUUCAUAGAGAAUUUCCCAAAGUUUCUUUCCUUGAUAUAGUUAGAGCAACGAAGGGGUUCUCACCAUCCAACAUAAUUGGAAGAGGAAGAUACGGAUGUGUGUAUGAAGGAAAACUAUUUCAAGAUGGAAAUUUUGUUGCCAUAAAAGUUUUCAACAUGGAGACGAGGGGAUCAACAAAAAGCUUCAUUACAGAAUGUAAUGCCUUGAGGGGUGCGCGGCACCGUAAUCUAGUUUCUAUAGUAACGGCAUGCUCAAGCAUUGAUUCUAGUGGGAAUGAUGUCAAAGCUCUAGUGUAUAAGCUCAUGCCUCGAGGAGACUUACAUAGAGUACUAUACUCAACUCAAGACUACAAAGAGUCUUCAGGUCUGAUACAUAUGAUAGUGCCUCAACGGCUGAGUAUUGUUGUGGAUGUCACAGAUGCAUUGGAGUACCUACACCAUAACAACCAAGGAACUAUUGUUCAUUGUGAUAUGAAACCAAAAAACAUUCUUUUGGAUGAAAAUAUGACCGCUCAUGUUGGAGACUUUGGUCUUGCAAGGUUCAAAGUGGACUCCGCGGUAUCACCUUCUGAUGACUUAUACUUGACUUCUUCGGUCGCAAUAAAUGGAACGAUUGGAUAUAUUGCUCCAGGUAUGUCUAACACUGGGAUUAAAUUACUCUUGGCAUGUGAAAUACAGAGUGUGCAACAGGUGGUCAUGUUUCGAUUGCUAGCGAUGUCUAUAGCUUCGGAAUUGUUAUACUUGAAAUAUUCUUAAGGAAGAGUCCAACCGAUGGUAUGUACAGAGAUGGACUGGACAUUGCAAAAUUCGUCGAAAUGAAUUUUCCUGGAAGGAUAUCACAAAUUGUUGAACCUGAAUUACUCCAAGAUCAACCUGAGUUUCCUAAACAAACUCCAGUGGUCACAAAGAGAAAUAACCUAGACUGUUUAAUUUCAGUGCUAAGCAUUGGACUUUGCUGCACUAAACUGUCGCAGAACGAACGCCCCAACAUGCAGGAAGUGGCUGCAAGUCUGCACGGAAUUAAGGAGUCAUAGCUCAGAGGGAACCAAGGUAUAAGAAAUACAAACUCCUGUUGCAGCUGUAAUUGUACAUGAAGAGCGUACGUAUUGAUUAGUGCUGAUGCUUAUUCUGUAGAUUGAAGAGAGUCGCCGUUCAAGAAAGAGUUCCCUCCCUCCCGGAUGAUGGACACCCAUAUUGUUUGGGGUGACAACGGUCAUGUUCUGCGAUAGUUCUUCUUUUGCCUGUUUUUUCUUCUUCCUUUUUGUGGAAGAAAUGGACUGUCUCCUAUUUUCUACUAGUGCCUUCGGUGAUGGCUUCUUAAAUUCACGGAAUAUGUCUUCUUGAUAUUUCUUUCAAAAUUGGUUGACUGUACGAACAGUCGAUGGAUCCAUCUAAUGUAACCUGUUUUUAUCACUAGUUUUGGUUAAUGCAUAACCUCUUCUAAUGUGUUUUGCACUUCUUAAUACUCCCUUCGUUCCUUUCUAUAAGACAUUAUAUCUUUGUCCCAAGUAAAACUUUUUAAAGCCUGACUAAGUAAAACCACAACUCUAAAUGGGUACAGAGGUCGCAGCUGGAGGCAGGAACGAAGCCAGAAAUUGGAAAUUGGAGAUUGGAGGCAGGAACUCCGUAGUAAGUUGAUGUAGAGAGCAUUUCCAUUAGGAUUGAUCCAAGAGAUCGAACCAAUUGGUUGGAACAACUUGUGGAUCGGAACUGUUUCUAUUCCUCUUUACGCCUACACACAAACAUGGUUGCAAAAUCAAACAUGUGCUUCCUAAUUUGAUUUCUCAUUUCUGCAUUGUUUGUACGCAUGUAGUUUCUGUUUCCACUUUGAUUGAAAAUUAGAGAUCAUUACGAGGUGAAGUAAGAAGGAUUUGCGCAAAACACAAAGUAAGAAGGAUUAACCGUGCGCCUGUGAAGCCGUGGAUCACCCCCCUUGGCGGAUCUCCGCUUGGAUACUUGAGCAGCGCGUGGAGGCGGCGGAGCGAAAUUGGCCAUCGCGCGUGGAGGCUGCAGCAGCACUUGCCUUCGGAUGUGGGCUGCACCUGGGCUUCUUUUGUGCCCAUAUUGCAUUCGGCCUGUUCAAAUUUGGGCCUUUCGGCCUUAUCAACGUAUUGGUUGGGCAAGGCCCACGCCCGCAGCCUCAAGUUCUAUUGUUCAUGGAUGAUGCCCGCAUGUUGUUACGGAAAUUUCCGGUUGAGUGAAACUGAUUAAAACAAAUGCAUAGUUUGAAUUAACUAAUGGGAACAAAAAGAUAAAGUUUUUUUUUCAUUUUCAGUUUGAAAUUAAUCUAUCAAUUCAAACCAUGUCACCUCAUCAAUUCAAUCAUGUGUUUUUUUUAAUUGAUGAGAUGGCAUAGUUUGAAUUUAUAGAUUAAUGUAAAAAAUGUAAAUGAAUACAUGCAAGGCUUAAAAAAAGAUAUGCAUGAUUUGAUUAUGGUGGGCCUAAUGAAAUGGCAUGCUUGCAUGUUGAGAAAAAUAGCCAGUGUGAAUCUCCUAUUUAGGUAUAGAAGCUAGAUUGCCGUCCAAUUUAUUUAUUUAUUCUUUAUUUAUGCUCAGAUGAAUGAUGAACAUUUUAUGUUGGUCUACUUAAAUGUCUUUUCAUAAAGUGAUGACCAUUGUUUAAAAUAUACGCUUUACUGGAGCAAGUAUUCAUAUAUCAAGAAAAACGUUCGUAGUUCUAAGAAUUAGAUGGUCAUGAUUUUUGAAAAAAAAGGCUGAUAUAAACAGAAAAAAUAAAUGUUUAUGCAUUUGUAUACAAAUAUAAGAAAACAAAUGGUUCCAUAAAACCAAAGGAGAGAGAAUUUUUAUUUUAGAGGAGACUUAUGCUCUUUUAGGUUCCCGAUAAUUGAUUAUUUUUUAGGGCGCCGUAUCCCGUGCAUCCGGUGCCUUCAUGCAUCCGUGCAUCCUGGGCCUAUCCGCCGCCCUCGGUACACAUCCUACGUCGUGGAUUAUAUUGAAAACAUGGGAAAAUUGCAAGUGGACACCAUAAGCCUCUCCGUUUUAGUCCUCGAUCCUAAUUGUCGAAAAACCCUUGGCUAAUACAUUCUCCCAAGUCCAAUUAAUUUCUUCCUCUGCGCGCAGCUUGGCAUCCUCGAGAUGAUCAAUUAUCCCGGCGAGCUCAUUGGCGCUGUUAUGCUGCGCUGAUGACCACGUCCUUAUGAAUGGGUGUACUGAACCUAUGUACAUUUUAUGCAUUCUGAAUCUUUAAUCUGCAUGCUGACCUCCACUGAUCUACAAACCGACGAAUGUGGAAAUAGAUAUCGAAUUUGGCUCCGAUAGAUGCAAAUGAGUCGCUAGCUAGUUGAUGCAUAUGUACACCUCUUCAAAUUGAUCAGAAUUUAUUCACAUGUAGAGGAGUACGUACAUACAGGUUGCUCUUGAUCAUUUGCCUGCAGAACCUCUGGAUGUGAUGCCGUGCCAUCGGAGAAAAUAAACAAACAACAGGGGCUGCUGUUCUGAUGGAUCUGCGCACAGGAACACCCUUAAUUGUCGUCGAUGCCGGUGUGGCCGUGUGGCUUCCCUAGCUCGAUUGUUGGAUCUGGCCAAGGUUGUUUUCCCUUGUUUUCAAUCCACUACGUAGGACGUGUAUCGGGCCGUGGACAGGUGGACAGGCCCAGGAUGCAUGAACGCACCCAGAUGCAUUAGAUACGACCGAAAAUGACGAUCAGCUCUGGCAUCGCGGAAUCCUGGGCACGAGGUUUGCUUCGUGAUCCAGACUACAAGGGCCCACGCCAUGUAUUUCAGUUGGCCCAGCCCGUAUUCACAACGCCAACGGCCAUCCAGCCCAUGUGCGCAGUCCUGUCCGGGGCCGUUUCUAUUCCAGUGCCAAGAUAUCUGCAUCUUCGGCCAUACGAACGAGCAGGGGGGGGGGGGGGGGGGGGGAGAUGCUGGGCCGUCAGCAGCAACGGAUAUAUGGCCCAUAAACCUAAAUGCUUAAUUGGACCGUUUUUGGGCACCGCAACGGAUAUAUGGCACAGAAGCUCUGCGAUUUCAACAACACCAUUUUUCGAUCAUUUCUGGGGGCACAACGUGGGAUGAUUGUCACGAACAAUUUUUGCCACUGUGUCAAUUUCUUUCUGUGCCACAUCCUGCUGGGCGCCCAUAUAUCCCGGCUUGUUCGGUCAUUUUUCACCAAUAUAUCAGAUCUUACCACGCUAAUUACACUUUUUUUGGGCCCCCUGCACCUUCCUUCUAAUGGCCCAUUUUCCGAACAUGGGCCUUCACAUACAUGCACCUCAUGCUUUUCCACGAACGUAACGUCCUAUUCUAAAAAUCAAAAAGUACGUCCAGUUGUUUCGUACGAGACCAGCAUAAUUGCGACAUACAUGCUCUGCCACGACAAUUCAUUGCGCAAUUACCAACUACGCAUUCACUCCCCCCAACGGCACAUAUUUGAAGAACUCAGGAAUUGUAACAGUGCUGUUGUAAUCGUACUUCCCAACACAUAGGAGCAAACACGAUGCAACAACAUGAAACCGAAAAACAAACCUCUGCGUCCACCCAGGCACCUGUUCUUCAUCUCGGGGAUCAACCUGACAUGCUUCAAAAGACGCUAUUCUGGACGCCCACGCCUUCAUCGCAGACUCAAUCGCCGUCAACAUUAAGAGAAGGGUCAACAACCGCACCGUCCACUGUGCAAACAGGAGAAACACCUGGAGGUCCACCGCGUUUUCAAUUGGCCCAGCACACCGGUAAUCCGGCACAUCGCUGGGCCGGUCUAUCCACCAUCGAAUUCAAAAUGGCCCAUACAAUACAAACCAGCCGUGCCUAACUUUUGAACCGCCGUCUCUAAAUCAAAAUGGCCCAUCCAGACAAGAGAUCACAACCAGUGCCGGAUACCUCGUGUUGGGCCUGAAUCCUGUUUCCAUGGCCCGUAUUCGCAAUAACCGGAAAAGGAAAAGUUUGGAGGCCCACCUGCAUUCAAGAGCGUCGACCACUACUACAAAACGGUGCAUAUGUGACGAGACAUCAGUGACGGACCUUUCGCGCUCGUCACUGAUGAUCCUCAUCAGUCACGGGCCUUUCGUGCCCGUCACUCAUGUCGCGUCCACGCCCGUCAAUUAUGACCUCUCAUCAGUCUCAUCAAUGACGGACGCGGUACGCUUGUCACUGAUGACCAAUCAUCAGUCACGGGCCCGGAAGGCCCGUCACUAAUGGUUCAAUGCGAAAAAUAACAAAAUUUAGAAAACACACAUCAGUGGCGGGCUCAAUAUCAAGGCCCGCCACUGACGAGCCCUGUAGACCUUUGAAGAUUGGAAAAAUCAUAACUAAUUCAUAAAUAAUCAGAAAAAUGUGAUUCUUUUUGCUAAAGUCUUAGUUUUUUUUGCUUGACAUGAUUGAAUAAUAAUAUCAUAUGUUGACAUUUGAAAAUGACUUGUGUGGUACAAUUUUGUAGUUUCCCGCGGUUGAGUUUAUGGUUUAAGCCAAAUGAUCAAAGUUUUGUCCAUUUCCAUGUCCUAAUUCAUGAUAAUGUAUCCAUUUUUUGCACAUAGGUGUUAUAUUACCAUGCCAAACAGUGUUGCCAAAGAAAUGUACAAAUGUUUGGUUGAAAAACGUAUUCUUGUUAUAUCUAAAUGCAAAAGGUAAGGUGUUUUGUGAAACAACUACAAUUAAUAUGGUUCAAAUAACAUCUAUCCAAUUUUCACAUAAAGUAGACCAUAUUCACAAAUUUAUAGGCCAAUUAUAAGUUAUAAAAUACUUGUAUUUUAUACUAAGCUAGAAAAUACAAAAAAAAAAUCAUGUUCGGGCCAUCAACGACGGGUCCUAUAGCUACGCCCGCCACUAAUGCUUAUAUGGGCCAGCCCAACUUAUUUGAGGCCUAGAACCAACCCCAAAUCGUAUAUAAUACAACCUAACCCUAACCCCCACCCUUGCCUCUCUUUCUCCCUGCCGCCGCCACCUCUGCCCGGUCCCAUCUCAUCUCCUCUAUCUCCCGAUUUCUCCUCCUUCCUCUCCCCAGUCCACACGCAUCCAUCUCUCCAUCUCCUUUCUUCUCCUUCCUCUCCUUUCUUUCUCCAUCCCGAGAUGUUGCCGCGCUUGGCUGUUCCCCUCUCUCCCAGCCGGUUCUCCUACUUCCUCCCAGAGCGCCCGAUUCCCCUCUCUCCCAACUCGGUUCUCCACCUCCCCGUCGCGGAUCCGGGCCGGAGGCCACCGGAUCCCGCCUAUCUUCUCCUCCCGCGCGUGUCCCGCUCCCUCGAGCAACUGCAGCAGCGGCCGCGGAGGACCAUGGAGCAGCGGUGCUUGGAGGCCGUCCACCGGCGCCGCCAGAUCCAGCACCCCCGACCCUGCCCACAUCUGGAUCUGGCGCCCCCGCUCCCGCGUGCCGUCGGUUAGUCUCUCCCACUACUAAAAAACAGUGUAUAUGUGACGAGUCAUCAGUGACGGGCCUUUUGUGCCCGUCACUAAUGACCAUCAUCAGUAAUGGGCUUACCACGCCCUUCACUGAUGACACAUCAUGAGUGAUGGUCGCGUGCUCAACCGUCACUGAUGACCACUCAUCAGUGACGGGUGAGCAGGACCCGUCACUGAUGACCAAUCAUUAGUAACGGGCGCGAAAGACCCGUCACUAAUGUUCAAUGUGAAAAAUAACAAAAUUUGCAAGAACACACAUCAGUGGCGGGCUUUACAUUUAGGCCCGCCACUGAUGUCCACUCAUCAGUAACGGGCGCGGAAGGCCCGUCACUAAUGUUCAAUGUGAAAAAUAACAAAGUUCGCAAGAACACACAUCAGUGGCGGGCUUUACCCGCCACUGAUGACCACUUGGGCCCAACCCAUUUGCGGCCCAAACUGUCUAACCUAUAUAAACAACUCUCACCAAAUCCCCCAAACCUUAAGUUCAUUCUCCUCCUCUCAGCCGCCGCUCUUCUCUCUGCCGAGCGCCCCUCCUCCCCCCCCCCCCUUCUCUUCUCUCCCGAUCUCCCUCUUCUCAUUCCCCUUCCGAUCUCCCUCUUCUCUCCCUCCCAACCUAUCCCCCUUCUUUCCUCCUACAGCAACAGCAGGCGGCCGAGCCCGGCAGCAGCAGGCGCCCGAGCCCGGGGCCUCAACCACGGCCGCCCCCGGAUCCGGAGCCCCCGACCAGCCCCACCGCCAUGGAUCCGACGACCUCGGCCCCCGGCCCUUCUCCUCCUGCAGCAGGUGCCUCCACCACCCUCCCGACCCCGCGCGCCGCCGUGGGAAGCUGCAGCCGGAUCCCGUCCCCGGUCGCCUCCCUCGCGCCGCCGUGGGAAGCCGCCGCCGGAUCCCGUCCCCGGCCGCCUGCCUCCUGCCUCGCGCUGCCGUGGGCCGCCGCCGAAUCCCGUCCCCGGCCGCGUGCCUCGCGCCGCCGUCCGGAUCCGGGCUCCCCCGUCGCCAGCCGCCGGUAACCCCCCCAUCUCUCUCUCUCUCUCUCUGUGUGUGUGUGUGUGUGUCUCGUUCUCUCUCACAGGCCCCGACCAUCGCCGCUGGAUCCGGCCUCCCGUCGCUGUGUAUAGCAGAUCAUGGACAUCGGCUUUUCUUUCGUGAUUUGUUUUUGUAAUCUCUAUUGUGAAUGGAUGCGACCAUGUAAUUUUUUAUUUCUAAUUCUAUUCUGCUGUGAAUGCACGCAACUUGAUUGCUAAUUAUCUUCUGCUGUGAAUGCAUUCGACGUUUGAUCUUGAUUUUCCCGUACUGCUGCUACUAUCUCUACUGCAAAGUUUGUACGCAAUUAGAAAAAGAAAAGCAUGGCUAGCAUAAUAAUAUGCUAGCCAUGAGCUUUUUUUUUAAUUUCGCUCAAAACUCAUCACUGUCGGUCACCAAGUAGGCUGACCGCCACUGAUGAUGUACAUCAGUGACGGUCAGAGCGACCGUUACUGAUGAUACCCAUCAUCAGUAACACGAAGUUAGUAACGGUUGCCCUGACCGUUACUGAUGUUGUUUUUCGACCGUUACUGAUAAACCUUUCUGUAGUAGUGUCCCUCUCUCGAAUUUCUCUCACUCUCGGUUUUCUCCAGUGAGCGAGCAGCGGCGGCGGCGUCUGCAGCGAGCGGCGGCAUCUCCAGCUAGCGGCGGCAUGGGUUAGGUUUGGGCUGCAGUGGGUUCCGUUCGGGACUAGCUAGGGUUCUUUUUUUUCUUGUGUUUCAUCCAAUUUGUUGAUGUUGAUGUGAAGCAAUGCCAUAUUUCUUGUCUGAUUUGUGUCCAAGCUAGGGUUCUUGAUCUAAUUUGUGUCCAUGUUGUGUGUUCGAUCAUCUCUAUUCAUCGAUUCGUUGUUGGCUGGGGAGAUCUCCGAGUUUUGGGCUGCCUGCAGAUGCCGGCGACGGGGAACGAGCAGGGAUGCCUGCUCCUGAGGCAUGGGCGUGGCGACGGGAACGUGCGGGCUAGGCCAAUGCCCAGCUUUUUUCUUAAAUGUGAAAAAUGAUAUCAGUGUCGGUCUUUACAAGGUCCGCCACUGAUGUACCCCACAUUACUAGUAGGAAGUUAGUGACAAGUAGUGGACUAUGAUGCCUGGACGAGAUUACGAGCGGCCAGAGUAGCCAGGGAGCCAAAAAUUCACGUCCAGAUACGACGCCUUUUUUUACCAUCGAUCACAUUGACGCAAGGUCCACGCCAGUCAAUCACUCUUAACUUUUUUUGUCGCCUUACUUUUCCCCACGCCUGUGCCUUAUUAUAUAGGCCCAGGCUCAUAGUCUAGAGUAACCCAUAUAUAGUUUAGAGUAAGUUCCAAACCCAUAUACUAGCUUGGAUACUUCUCUUCCUCUCAAUAGAGAAAACUGGUUCGGAAUUUUCUCUUUCUCCUCUCACGAAACAAGUACAACGGUAUUGGUGCUUUUAUUUGUCUCCGGGUCUCCUUCGGAAGCAUAAUAAUAUCAACUAGUGGCUAACGGCCAAAUAACUUGAGCUUGUUUGUACAUUGAUCGUGAUACAUGCACGACCCACAUGGUUGGUGGUUCCAGCUAAUUAACUCUCACUCAAGACAAGUACAGAUACUGCCAAGGCACCUAUCAUAUUCAUAUGGUUACGCGAAGCCUCAAAGGAAACGCACAGUGCAUUUUGGCAAAACAACAAAAGUAAAAUACCCAAUUUAUUGAUAAAAACCACGACUGCCUCGAUCACCUCCUCCGCUUGAGUUUCAGUAGGGAAUCAACGGCCUAGAGAUUCAGAAGUUUAGACGGAGAGCGAAGAUUUUACUGCAAAUUAACAUGGAAUUUGGAUACAAGGAGGGAAUCUUUUACAGGGUACCAAUGCAGAAGCAAAAGAUACAGGAACAUCAUGCACAUCGAUCAUCGCUGCUAAGAUGAUGUCGGGGCAAUGCAAGCUCUUAAUUAGUAGGCAGGCAGGACGGGCGUCCUAGCUAGCCUUUCUUGAGAGACACGAGCGUCCCAAAGAGGCCGAGGGCUCCAGCAAUGGUGGUGACCACGGUGACGAUUUUUCCCCAGUGAUUGAAGAAAAACUUGUGCGCGUUGACCCGAACCGGCCUUCCUUUAUCAUACAUGGAAAGUUUUAUCAUCACAUCCCAGUAGCAGGGCCCUUUGCGCAGGUGUUUGCCAACAGUGGUGAAGAAUUGGAGCGCCUCCUUGUUGGUGAGCCCGACUCCAUCUCCUGUUGUCAGAAGAUCCCUGGCUCGCAGCUCCUGCACGUCCUCUUCACGUUCCACAAACAUGGCAAGGAGGAGGAGGUAUGAGCAUACCGCAGAAUUCUGAUAGUAUGUAUAUUCAUCCUCCCCACUGUCGUCAAAGAAAUCUGGGUUAGUGCAUAGCUCGAACGCCGCCAUGUUGACGAGCCUGGCAGCAGCCGUCUCGUUCAGGUACAUCGGCGGCAGGCAAAGCUUGCCGUGGAUGGGACCUGUUGGGACGGCCAAGUCCAUGUACCCUUCUGUUUUGCUGGGUGUUAUCUUGACGCCCAUCUCCGCGAGCUUUGUGGCAGUGAAAGAAGUGCCAAUUAAUUUCUUGAGUUUAUUGGCUGAGGCGGGCUUAUAUACUCCGCUUCCUUUUACCAUGUAGUAGCGGUAAAGGCCAAGGAGAUGCGGCGGCGUGUAACCAUCCCACGCAAAAUCUUGGCCUUCAAAUUCCUCCUUGGUGCUUUGGAAACCGACUCUGAUGCAAACAAUGAACUCCUUGACGAGCCCCGGGCGAACUAAAUCAACGAGGGUAUCAACCACCGGCCAAGGAAGCUGGUUCUCCAGCAGCAGGAUGUCGUUGUCGAUAUCUAGCUGGUUGGAUUUGAAAAAGCUGAGCAGCCAGGUAUCCAUCUCGUCUUCGUCGACAUACCAUAACAUAUACUGCACCAAGAAGCAAGCAUCAUAGAACAUCAUAGGCCAGAAGUCGUCGUCGACGAUACCUGCCAUCGCUUCCUUGUGGUAGAGAAGGCGCACAACGUGUGCGACGGAGACCACCGCAUCGUACAGCUCCUGGACGGGGCGGCGCGAGAGCUUGAUGCAGCGGUAUGCAGCCAGAUGCUUAGCCUUCUCCGCGGGCUGCAGGUGGCAUCGGUAGUGGUGGUACGGGCCGAUGGCGAUGGUCAGAGGGACGGUGUACCGAUCGUCGAGAUCCACUAUGCUUCGAGGGUACAUGUGGAUCUUCGUUAGUAUCAUGUCGAUGUCGUCGCCGAACGCUCGUGCUGAUUUCUCAAACACAACAAUGGGGCUCCCGUAGUUGGGUGUGGCUGCAGCGGCAUACUCAACCAGCUCCUGCUGCAGCUGCCCUCCGCUAGAACUACUAGUGCUAGUGCUAGGUUGUACAAGUGUUUGGAAACAUGACGACAUCUCGGUGGACACAGCUGGGAGACCAGGAACCCAUGAAGCAGGUUCCGAGGACCAAUAACCGGCCUGGAACUGAUCGCGCCAUGCUUGUUCCAUCAUGCUAGCUCGUCCUCCCGAUCGAGGGGGUCGGAAGAAUUUGGAAUUAAACUAGCUCUAAUGUCAAGAGAAAGGAUUGCAAUAUAUGCAUGCCUUGGGCAGAAGAAGCAUACUUCUCCUCUUAUAGCCAGCCCAACCAGGUAGCCGCUUUAAUCUAUUCUGUAUGUUCGUGGUCAGGUCCGAAUUCGGCCUUCCACCGACGGAUGCAUAGCCAUGGCUCUACUGUUGCCAUGGUAAAAAGGUGUAUCCUGUUCAUCCUUAAUUUGGUCCUUCUCUCAAGAUGUACGUACAUGAAAAACAGACAAAUGUCAACAGAUUCCUACCUAAUCCUUCUGUUGUAAUUUGGCAUAUUGUAAGACAGGUAACUAAUUAAUAGUACAAUGUGGUACGUAGUACGUAGAAGAUGAAGGCAUUCUGUCAUUUCAUCAGUUGCGCUAGCUAGCUCUUCCCUAAUUUUGGAACAAGCUGACAAAACGGCUAACUAGAUGCAUGGCACGUCGAGUAAGAAUAUAUAUGGAGCUGAUCUGGAUAGGUUAAUAUGAAGAAGCAUCAUACUUGGGCCAGCGAGUCAAUUUAUAAAACCAGCUAGCUGCAUUUGAUGCUAUUAAACGGUUAGAUGGUCCGUAAGGCAUGUGAAGAACAGCUAACAACUAUCCAAACUAUGUUGCAUUAUAGUGAGAAAGCAUGGAUAUAGUAAUAUUACUCACUAAACGAUGUGUCGCAUCUACUGGUGUGACCUGAUCCUUGGAAACCAGCCAAAUUUGAUGCGACACAAGUUGAGAUGCCACAUAUAAUAUGGUUGUUUCAGCGAUCGAUGAGAUAUACGACGAGCGGCCGCCAUAAUAUAUAUAGUAAAAUAGCUCUUCUACACACAAAAAGGCAGAAUAGCCCAUGUUCCAUCGUGCCCCAGUUUCAAGUAAGGCAAGCAGAAACAGUAGUUAGACAAGAAUUAAUAAAUGAUAUUUAGACUAGCAAACAAAUCAUUAGAGCAGAAACAAAAAUUGUUAAAAUGGCAGGAAAAUUGCUAGGCAGCAGCAAAUAACGUUAAUUACACAGAAGAAAAUCAUUAGACCAGCAGGAAACUAUUGUUAGAGCAUGAAAACAAAUGUUUGUCAGAAAAGUAAAAUGGUUGGACCAGCAGGGAAAAAUCCUUAGAGAACCAAAAAAUAAAUAUUAGAUCAGGAAGAAAGAUGGACUGUGACGCCCUAGAGAUGCUGAUGACACAAUUACUUAAUUUUUUGGAACAUGGCCUAGAGAGGAGCAGUUAGUAUGAAGUUAAUUCUCAGCAUUUUUUAACAACUCUCUGGUCUCAAAAUUAACUUUCAUAAGAGUGAAAUCUUCUGUUUUGAUUAAACCAAUGAGGAAGCUAGCUAUUGGCAUCUUUUGGGGUGUGAAUCGGGAACACUGACUUUUCACUAUCUUGGUAUCCCUAUUCAUUAUCGGAAGUUGCUCAACAAAGUGGAAACUUGUUGAGGAUCGAUUUGAAGAAGUUGGGUUGUUGGCAGGGUAAACAGCUCUCUUAUGAAGAUCGGCUUACGCUGAUUAAUUUUGUGCUCAACGUUAUGUCUAUGUUUAUGUUUGUCUUUUCUCGAACUGCGCAUCGGGGUUCGUAAGAGAUUAGAUUUUAACCGAUCCCAUUUCCUUUGGCAAUCUAAUGGCAUAUAUAAGCGCAAAUACAGAUUGACAAAAUGAAACAUUAUUUGUUGUCCAAAGGAUAAGUGUGUUGUCGGUAUUGAGCUUGUAGAGAUUAAAAAUGAGUGUUUACCCAACAAGUGGUUGUUUAAACUCCUAAAUGAUCGAGGAAGGUGUGUGGCAAGAGUUACUACGUAAUAAAUACUGCAUACCAACACCCUUUGGCAUGUUAAAAGUCCUACUUCUGACUCCACUUUUUGGAAAGGUAGAGUCAAAGAAGAGUUUUUUAGUCAGGGUAUAUAUGUUACGUUUGUCCCUGGCUACAGAAAGGACAUACCAUUUUGGCAAGAAACCUGGCUCGGGGGGUUUGCUUUCGCCCAUCAGUAUCGGAUUGUACAACAGAAAAACGUGAAAAUACAAAUAUUUUUCACACCAUCCAAAAUACGUACUAAGAGCUGAGAGAGCACCGGAAGACACAAAUAUUAGCAUGCCUGCAUCUGCUCCAGAAAUCAAUCAAUUAAGGAGUAAUGCCGCAGCCGAAACCUACAUCAAAACCAUGGAGCGUUGAUCAUGUACUGCCACCAAUAAUUAAGGGGGAGUUUGCAUUUCCAGAUGAAGGCCAGGUCAGGACCAGCCAUAUUGAUAGGAUGGGCUGCACUCCAGGCUGAGGCCGAAGUUUUCGAUGGUAUAAGGCCGAAAUGUUUUUCUAUAACCCAGGGCAUGGCCCCAUUAUUUUUUCCUUUUUAUACUACAAGACGCCGGCGCCAAGUGAACAUAAUAAGAUUUGAGUUAUCUUCCACGCUUGUUUUAAGCAUGGCUUUAGUUGUAGUAUUUUGUUCUCAAAUUUGAUUAUGAAUUUAUUGCUCGUCCAUAUUGUUAGCAUUAAUUUCGGAGUUCCAUUUGCAUGAUUUAGUUCUUUUUGCAUGUAGUUUGGGAGUUCCUUUUUGGGCUAAAGAGCAAACGAGACAAGAUGCAGAGGGCCGGGGAGACAUCGAUGUGCCGUGAGAAGCGGUGUGGGCGCUGUUCCCUGCUGGAGAGAUUACAGGAGCUAAGGGUCUGUUUGGUUGCUACCAUGAGCAACAUGUCUGAGAAUUUCAUGUCUGAGAAUGGCCCGAGUCCAUUUCACAAAUUGCUUGGUCAGGCACAUGCAAAAUAGAGCGAUGUGUUUAGUUGCUAACCUGAGCAACAUGCAUGUGUGGCUAAAACUCCAAGCCUUAUUUGGACGAAUCAUCUGCGUGUGAGUAUGUUCACCACUUGUUACAUGUGACGAGGUUACCUUUCAUCAACAUUAAUGAAUACUAAUACCAAGUCGAAUAUUAAAAUCUCAGGGUUGCAACCAAACAAAACUCAGGCUAGUCACAGGCUAGGCAUUUUGAGUCAGGCAGCAACCAAACAGGCCCUAAUAGACUUGAGUAUGUUGUGUGGCCGAAUCGUUAGGAUUUGGAGAGAAUCCAGGGAUGACGAGGAUUGAGGUUGAGUACUAAUUAAUGCUUUUUUUUUUGGCAAAAGGAGAUUUUAUUACAAUUUCAUAAACAUGUCACUAACAACAAUGUGCAAACCUGCACAUUUAGAGAGCUGAUAACAGCUUUUACAGGGCAAGAUGAAGAAUUAUGUGCUAACCCUGCACAACUAUAAAAGCAAGCAUGAACAUUGUGGAUUUUGUAAGCAUCAUGUGCUUGCCUGUGAGCAAUACUGUUGUUUUCUCUUCUAAUAUUGAUAACUCUUGCAUCCAAAUUUUGAAUAUAACUGAGAAUCUGGUGCAGAUUUGGUCUUAUAGACCAAUGUCCUGGAUGCUUGAUCGACCUUUUAGCUUCAGCAAGGAUAUGGCUAUCAGUUAAGAAAUUCGGCUGAUGAACUCUCAUGGCUGCUCCAAUCUGUGUUGCCAGCUCCAGCGCUUGAGCCUCCGCUUCAAGUGCUGAUCCUGCAAAAGAAGAAGCCUCCACGAAGACAGCGUACUUUUGAUCACCUCCAAUCCAAUGCAUAAAGAUACCAAUGCCUGCUUUACUCUUUGUACCUGCAAGAAAAGACACAUUUGGGGACAAAUUUGAAGCCGGGAGCUUCCAAGCUGCAUCAGAAAAAAUAUUAGGUCCUUCAGCCAUGCGAUGCUUGUGAAACUGAAAAGAAAUUGGUGACACAUUUUCCUGCACAGGAAUUGGAUUGCCUUGCCUUCGCUCAUCAAUGUUUUCACCUGUAUUCAAUAAAGCACUAGUGGCAAAAAGAACCUGCAAGGGGUUUUUAUCUUUCCUUUUGAAAACAAAGAUCAUUUCUAGAUUUCCAAAUAUUCCAAAGUGUUAUGAAGAUGAGAGCAACAGAACCAUCUGAUUUGUGAGUGUCCAUCAUGUGAUGUAUGGCAUCCUCGGUUUGGUAGAUUCCCUGUUGUUGGAUGAGCCCUUCAAUUCGCAAACCUAGAGGGGAAGCAAACCAAACUGCAUGCACAAACUUACAGUCAAAAAAUAGGUGAAAAUCAGUCUCUUCCUUUCCACACCUCACACGUCUAGGAUCAAUAUGGUUUGAUCUAGCCGAUGCCCUGACUCCGGUGGGAAUAGCUUUUCUAAGAAGUCUCCAUCCAAAAACCUGCACUCUUGGAGGCAUUUGAUUAUUUUUCCAAAUAGUUUGUAUCAUGUUCCGCACUUGAAUAGAGAGACCAGAUUGAUUACCUGCACGCAACCGUAAAAGGAGGGAUGGAAAUUUUGGUAGGCACUUUUAGUAGAACAAAUUCCUGAGGGAGUGUACUUCCAAACAAGGAUGUCAUCAUUGUCAUUAUUGAGAACAGGGAUUUGGGCAAUUAAAUUAGCAUUCUCAAAACAAAACAGAUUAGUGAUAAGAGGCAUAUUCCAGUUUUUUGUUCCAGGAAUCCAAAGAUCGAAGAUGGAAGCUGGAUAGUUGUAGCUGGGAUUUUGAAUAUUAAGCUUAUCAUGAAUGUUUUCCCAAAACUGUACCAGGGGGGAGACCAAAUGGAGGAGUUACCAUUAGAAAUUUGUAGAGUGGUGGCGUUGAUGAGGGGUUCUCUAACUUUCAGAAUGGCUGUCUAGAAAACAGAUUUUGAAAUAUUUUUUGGGGCUUUACAAAAGGAGGUAUUAGGAAAAUAUUUGGAUUUAAGUACUUUGAAAGUGAUGCUAUCUGGAGAGGUGACAAUAUUCCAAGCAGCAUUAAGAAGCAAAGCUUUUUUGACAGCCUCGAGAUUUCUGAUACCCAAACCUCCUCCUUUCUUAGAUUUAGAAAUCUCAGUCCAGGCUUUCAAAUAAAGCGGUCUAGGGUGAGUAUCGUGUUGAAUACCUGUCCACCAGAAGUCCCUUAUGACCGCAUUCAUCUUGUUUAACAACUUCUUGGAGAAAAGAGUAUUAGACAUGUAAUAAACGGGCAAGGAAGAGAAAACCGAUUUGAUAAGAAUUAAUCUACCAGCAUGCGAGAGUUUAUUUGCCUUAGCAAUUUAGUUUAGACUUUAAUUUAUCAAGGACAAAAGCAUAAGCAUUAGAUCUGUUUUUUGCAGGCAUUAUGAGAGGGUGACCCAAAUGAGUAGUGUGAUUGUCCAUGUUUACGACUCUAAAAAUCCUCUUGACAUCAUCUUUCUGGGCAUCAGUAACAUUUUUACUAAAGAGAAUUGAAGAUUUAGACCAGUUAGGGGUCUGACCUGAUAAGCUACAGAAAUCUUGAAUACUAUUCCAAAUGACUGAAGCCUCUGUCUGAUUCGCUUGUCCACAAACAAUCAAGUCAUCUGCAAAAAUAAGAGAAUAUACAGGUGGAGAGUUGGGGCCUAGAACAAUUCCUUGAAGAUUUUUCCUUUGCAUUUCUUCCUGCAGUUUGGCUGCUAACUCAUUGAUUGCUAUAACAAAUACGUAAGGAGAUAAAGGGCAACCUUGUCUGAUACCACGCUGACCCUUAAAUCUACCAUGAUGAUUUCCAUUUAUAAUAACAGACUAAUUAAUGCUUGAGUUUAGGGAUUAGUGGCCUACACUGGCUACUAUAUAUAUGCAGCCUGACACAAGGGGAUCUUACCACCGUGUAAAUUGUGUAAAUUGGACCCUUACAUAUUAACUAAGCUUCAAUUUACACAAUUGUCAAACUGAAUUGUACUAGUGAACUUAUUCUAUAAUUUAGUGUGUAAAAAUAACCAUGAAAGGAAAAAAUACUGCUGAUUAUCCAAACGGCAAACAGUAAGCAAACGGAUUAAUUGGCGUCAAUGUUACGUAAGCAACUAAGAGUUGAAAAAAGGAACCAGCUGCAGAAAGAGAAAAUGGAGAAGACAAGACAAAAGAUCCCCGAUUCCCAAGCAUCUUGUUCCUCAGGGAACCCAGCGAACAGUUGAUCCUAUUCCUAGGCAGCUUCGAGGGAAGCUCCAGCUCCAUCCCGUCACUUGACAUGAAGCCACCAACCAACCAUGGCCCCUUGUACUGCCGUGCUGUUCACAUGCAUUUUGUCCUUGUGAACCAAUACAUCGAGACGAGACCGAGAAUGGCCAUUCCUGCUACAUUCAUGGAACGGUGACUCGGAAAGUCAGAAUCAUGCAAGUGGCCUGUACUAGUAUGUAUGUACGCAUGCAUCUCCAAGAUUGGAUUACGGCCGAAAUGCAGCACGAGGCUUAGCUUGACUGGCGGCUAGCUUGGCUGGCAACUGGCAUUAUCUUUUUUACACACCAAUCAUGACCCCGUGCAGCAAAUUGCCUGAAGAAAGUAAAGCAGCAUUAUUAUCUGAAAAAACAGUUAAUCAACCACUGCUGCAGGAGCCGCCGGAACCAGCAGCUAUAAAUCGAGGAAACGUUUGGGUCUUCAGUAAGCAACAGCACGCUAGUCUCCUCAUCCUUCGUUGAUUGCUCAGCCCUUGAUUGAUCUCUUCGCCCUACUGGAACUAUCGAGCUGUAAGCAUCUCGGUCGGUCAUCUUGUUUGUAUAUUUAUAUGCUUUUCCAUCUCCAUUUAAUCUAUGUGUUCCCGGCUGCAAUUUGUGAUACUUGGGGAGUUGGGGCCUUUCUGAUCUGAUCAGAGUGCAUCUCAUCCUUGUCUGAAGGAACUUUAUAUUCUGCAUUUUCCUUGAGGAUAUAUAGUCUGAAUUUCUUGAGAGAGAGAGAGAGAGCGCGAUCGUGUCUUGUUCUUGCCACAUCGUCGAUCCUCCAUGUAGGGCAAAACAGUGCAGGUUUCACAUGUCAGUGAGGCUUAGGCUUAGUUUGGCCUUGUUGAAUCAUGUUGUGCUGAAUUUAUUUUAUAAUCUGUUCUGAGAAAAUACACACAAAACAGGCAAAAGUUGGUUAGCCAAACACAAAAAAAGAUAAGCUGGUUUAAAAGUUGGAUUAUCAUGAUCCACCACAAUGCCAAACUCACCCUUAGAAAGAUAAACUGGAUUCCAUUUUUUUCCAACUCGUGAGGCUAUUAAUUUUGGUGAAAUUUCGCUAUGCCCCGGAAUUUCAAACUAAUUUAAGCCUAACCCAAAAAAAAGCUUAUGUAAACUUGCUAUAUCCUAGAGUCCAGUAUCUUGUUCUUAUUUAUUCAAUGGGAACCCAGUAAUUAACUUGUGCUGGACAAAUCCUGCUACAGUUUCGAUAAAUUUUGGUGGAAUUUCAAACAUCCACCACUAAUCGUUUCUGAAAUUUCGAUCAUUUUGGUGGUUACCGAAAUUUUACACCUAGUAAACCACCCUUCAAAAUUGGACAGAGAGCUAUCUGAUUUGGUUUUGGAAAAUCAGAUUAGAGGGUAUAUCAUGGUUGGUUUUUAAUUUUGGAGGUUGUGGCCUAAGUAACAAAGUUCAGAUAAUUGAUUGUUAACAUUAGUUUAAGCAUGUGAUCAAUUAGUUCGACCACAUUUUAAUUAAGGCUAAUGACGGUUGAUUAGUAACCGAUGCCGCUUCAUUAUUCAUUUAUUCCCACGUUUUUCCUCUGUCUUUCUCCCGAACGGGCGCCUGUGCCCAAGUUACAGAUGACUGUGCAUGUACAGGGUCUCUUAGCAAUGUAUAUAUUCAACAUCAAUCAAUGGAACAAGACAUAUUUCAUUCUCAAUCUCAUUUACUCUCAACAUUAAUCUGAUCAUCUUCCACGUGUAUUAUUUUGCUAGCAAUAGAUUACUGAAUACUUCAUCGAUCUCACUUCUUGUUUCGCACUUGGGCCUGUGUAUUUUAUUAUUCAUACCAACAGAUGAAUAUGUGCAGUUCAAAAUAAAACAGAUGAAUAUGUGUAUUAGCAACCAACAUUUGUUUAACUUCUUGUUACGAGAAACAUUCGAUUAACCAAAAUUUGUUUAACUUCUUUUUGCGAGAAACAUUCCAUUAACUUUUGUGGGGUAUUUUAACUGCACAUCGCGUACAAAUGCAUCCGAGUAUUUGUCACUUUCCCAGCCUUCUUCAAGAACAUCCAUGAACCUUAGCUAACAUUAACAUCUUUUCUCUGUAAAGACACAUUAACAAUGUAGUUAGUAUAAAUCUAAAAUUUCCCUCCUUUAUAUUUGUCAUUUCCCAUUUUUAAUAAAAUUUUCCUUCUUUUUAUCCAUGGGUGAUAAAUAUAUAUAGGAGCCAAGCAUGAAGGGUACGGCAAUAAUCAGAUUAUUUGUCAUGGUGCUCAUAGCUUCAUGCGCAAAUGUUGUCACCUGGAACUCCUUGUCUGGAAAUGAGACAGACCGUUGUCACUUAGUGAAUUCAAGAAGGCGAUCAGUUUCGAUCCGCAGCAAGCUUUGAUGUCCAGGAAUGACAGCAUCCACUUCUGUAACUGGGAAGGUGUUCGUUGCACUUUGAAGAAUCCACGCCGGGUCGCUUCUCUUGACCUUACAAACCGAGGUUUAGUUGGACAAAUCUCUCCUUCGCUUGGAAACCUGUCAUUCCUGCAAAACCUACUCCUGCCGAAAAAUGCAUUCACUGCAGACAUCCCUCCUUCCCUUGGUCACCUGCGUCGCCUUCGGCAUCUCUACUUGACUAAUAAUACACUGCAAGGAAGGAUACCAAACUUUGCAAACUGUUCAUAUCUCAAGGCCCUAUGGCUAGAUCGAAAUAAUCUAGUCGGACAAAUCCAUACAGAAUGGCCUCCUAACCUUCAAGAGUUGCAACUUGCAAAUAACAAUCUUAGUGGAACCAUCCCUCCUUCUCUAGCCAACAUCACCACGUUGGAAACUUUUCACUGCUCGUUGAAUAAUCUCGAGUGCAAUGUUCCGGAUAGUUUCGCAAAGUUUUCCAGACUAAAGUACUUGCUUGUGAGUGCCAACAGGCUGACAGGUAGGUUUCAACAAGCCAUCUUAAAUAUUUCUACUCUUGUUGAUCUUGGUCUUGCUGCUAAUCAAAUAACUGGGGAGUUACCGUCUAAUCUCGGCAACCAUCUACCCAAUCUCCACGGUCUCUUUUUAGCCGCUAACUUAUUCCAAGGGUAUAUCCCCAAUUUGUUUAUAAAUGCUUCGAAGCUAACCCUUCUUGAUAUGUCAAGAAAUAAUUUGACAGGGGUGGUGCCAAGCUCCAUUGGUAAACUAACCAAACUGUCCUGGUUGAAUCUAGAGUUCAAUAAACUCGAAACACAUAACAAGCAAGAUUGGGACUUCAUGGAAAGCUUAGCCAAUUGCACAGAGCUACGAAUAUUCUCGAUGAGUGGAAAUCGUCUUGAAGGCCAUGUACCAGCUUCACAAUGCGAAUGGUUACCCCAAGUUUGGUUCCAUUGGAUGCACCUGGUAUUCAGAAGGCAGACCUUUUGUUUCCUCAAGAUGCUGUGGCCAACGGAAAGUAAUUCACAGCGAGUCCGAUGCUGCUGCAACCCAGCCAUUUCAUUUAGAUGUAUUUGCUAAGUUUUAGACUUCACUUGCGAGAAACAAGUCUAGUUACCGAUGCUGCUGCAACCCAGCCAUUUCAUUUAGAUGUAUUUGCUAUGUUUUAGACUUUAGUUGCGUCCCCAUCAUGCAGGAAGUGGCUCCAAGGCUGCAUGAAAUUAAGGAGUCAUAUAUCAGAGGGUACCAAGGUACACACUAGUUUGGUCUUUGGUGCUGGUUUAACACCGGUUACACAUUUUAUUAUUUGGGUUGCUUACUCCUCAUUGUAAUACUUCUAAAUGAUUGCAAUUUUCGCCUGCAGCUCCCUAGCAUCCGCAUGGAACCCUUUGUGGAUGAGUUUCAUUCAGCAUGUGGGGAUGGUUUAGAUUUUAGAAAACCUUCUGAUGGUAACGAUCAUCAACUUCAAUUGGAACACAGCAUUGUCGCAUUGAGGUGCAGCUAGUGUGUUUGUUGUUAAGGAAAUUAAGUUUGUUCCCUCCACACAAUGCUAAUGGUUACCCCAAAUUUGGUUCCAUUGGAUACACCUGGUAUUCAAAAGGCAGACCUUUUGUUUCCUCAAGAUGCUGUGUAGAAUGGAAAAUAAUUCUCAGCGAGUCCAAUGCUGCUGCAACCCAGCCAUUUCAUUUAGAUGUAUUUGCCAAUUUUUAACCUUUUAGUUGCGAGAAACAAAUCGAGUUAAUUAUAGCCCUAUCUUUGUAGCAUUGUAGCACAAACCUGCCUAUCGAUGCAUUGUGACUGCCGUGAUAAAUUAAUUUUGUAUGCAACAAGGAAAACUAAAGGGUGGUAGAUAUAGGUCCUUCUAGAGAUUUAUUGUAAUGCUAUCCGCUUUUAUAAAACUAAAGCCUGCCCUUUGCUCAGCAGUGCUUCCUUUGUUUUUCCUGCAUAGUUCUACACCUAAAAGUGGCAAUAAUUCCUUUCCUCAAGUGGCAUAUUCUUUCAUGGUCAUGUACUCAUGUCACAGGGAGGACAUGUUUGCGAGAGGCUCUGUGGUCUAUGGUUUGCCAUAUAAUUGAGCAAUAGUCCGUGAUGAUGUGGGCUUUUUUUAAGGAAACUGUGGGAAACCCCAGGUGGUAGUAUUAUACAUCCAGUCCCCCAACCUUACUUCCUGAUGAUGUGGGAUUACAGGCAGCCGAGCUAAAUUUGCUUGUAGUUUUGGGACCUGCUAUUUCCGGUUUCUUUAGCUUACAAAGUAAAACCUAAUUAAACAUUUUCUUCCCACUUAAGGAAAAAGCAGAUCACCUCUUACUUCCCGUAAAUAAAGCAGAGCACCUCUUCCACCGACGCGUCCCCUCCACGCAGCUUUCCCCCCUCCAUGCAAUGAUGCAGGUUGUCCCCUCCUCAUAGUUGUCGAUCUACCUUCUACACUCAACACUCAACGGCACAAAUAUUUUCAGGAUCAAAACUACAAGAGAAACCAAGUUAAGAGCGACUAGAAAAACAAGUGUGCUUCGUUCAUCCCUUCGCCAUGGAUGUACCAGAGCCUGCGACCAAGCACACGGCUGAAGUUGUGUUUCAGAUUUCUGAAGUCCUGAAUGCCGAUCUGGGAGAGCACUUUGGAUCAGAAAAAGAAUUUGUGGAUUUUUUAUACAAGAAAUAAUCGAAUAGUGAAUAGUAU